rnacentral:lncRNA from 1 species
AGUUCUUAUUAGAUAGAUAUAAAAAGAUCUUUCUUUGUUUCUCUGCUGUAAUUUGUGGCUAUCCCACUCUGUUUUGCCAGUCAAGCUGAGUCUACGUUGAGACAUAAUUUUGACAUCAGAAGCGGCCUCAAUUAGUUUGGCAUUUUUAUAACCUCCUUGAAGGUUUUACGAUAAACAUAAAUCUACUGACAAAGUGGGCAAAAAGAAAAUGCAUGUAAAAGUAUGAGUUAUCAAAUAAGAUUAAAACUCACCCAAUUCAAUCCAUCAGAUUCCGUAAGGAUACAACUGGAUGUCAUACCGCCACUCCAUAUUCUCGAAAGUCCGUAGUCCUUGUCUCAACUGUGUCUGGGGCCAGUGUAAGUCCAUUUUUGCGCAAGCUCUUUAUGCACCACAGCUCUUCUGGAAGCUUUCUCAAGUAAGCACACGGGUUGACAAUUAAGCAUUCAAGUUUCGGCAUUGCUCCAGCCCCCAUCGUCCACUCAUCUAGCCAAUACAUUGACUUCAGGUGCAAAACCUUAAGUUCGGGAAAGCUACUCAAGCCAACACAAGCAAGCUUUCUUCCUAAAUACGAGUUCUGCUUCAGUUUCAGCACUCGAAGGCGUGGAAGAUUUUCCAGAAUUGGCAUGGGAUCCUCCAUUAGCUCAGUAUUUGAUAAGCUCAGUUGGAUCAGACUUGGGGGAAAUUGGUAUUCAGACAGGACCAUCCGUGAGGGCUUGCUCUCAUUCACCAGCUUCAAGCAUUCAAGUUUGUGGAGUUCGCAUAGGCUUUUGGAAACCCCUGAAUGAUAGCAACUCAAAUCUCCAGAUAUCCGAAGAGUUUGAACAUUAGGUAGUCUGCCCAAUAUAUCAGGAGUACAACUACUGGGGUUUAAAGUUGAUAUGAAAAUGAGAUUUUUCAGGGAGCUAGAAUAAUUUUUUGGAGGUGCGGGCAGAGUGAUAGAACCAAAGUUUAGAUGCAUGAGUUUUUGCAUCUUCCAAAUAUCCUCUGGUGACUGAUCUAUGUAGCUAGAUGGCAUUUCUAGUGUUUGAAGGUUUAAAAGGGUGCAUAGCAGUGAAGGAAGGCAUUUGAGCGAAGGGAUAUUCAAUUUCAAAUACUUCAAAAGGAAUAAAUUUUCUAAUCCGGGUGGAUAUUGGUCCAGGACUGCAGAACCCAAGUUCAGUACCCGAAGGUAUUUGAACCUUUUAAAAAAAUUCUCGCAAUCUUUCGGAUUAAGAUGAUAUCUUUUUGGACUGUGAUUGAGAAAAGAUUGGAGAUACAUGUCAGAAUGUUCUAAAGAAAGGAACUCAAUCAAAUCAUCGACAAUGAAGCACCGUUUAACAUUUGCGGGUGGUUCCUCUUCCACGUCAUGCAUCCAGACAAAUCCCGUCUUCUUUGCCACCACAAACAAUGAAGUGUAGUAUACAAUACUUGGAAAAUAACACGAUUUAAUUGUGCCUCCGGCCCUUCUUUUACUCACUUGAAUGAAGCCGCGAUGGAUUAGUUCUUUCAAGUAAUGUUCGGCAGUUUCUUCACUGUUGUAUGGUAUGAAACCUUCAGCUACCCACAAAUGAUAUAAUUGCCUCGUGGAUAUCUCAAUGCCUGGAGGGAAGACACACAAAUAGAUGCAGCAGAUUUUCAAGUGAAAAGGUAACUCCAACACAGAACAAAUUCCAAUGAAAAUUGUCGGAAUCGUUUCGCCUUGAACAUAAUUUUCUAAUGGCAUACUUCCAUAGUGUAGGAUGAAAAAUUGCCAGGCUUCAUGCUUUAAUCUGAUCAAUGGUCCUCCAAUGAGCACCGAAUCAAGCCGAAUCUUCUCUCCAUUUUCCAUUUCAAGCGACGCAAGGAGGUCUGGAUCAGUGACUGUUAUCAAUACUCUGCUUCCAUUCUGAUUAUCAGGAAGAACUUCUUCAAGAUCAUCCCAUAUGUCAAUGUUAUCGCAGACAUCAUCAAGCACAAUAAAGUACUUCUUGUUUGUUAGGUAAUCUCAAAGAAUAGAUUCCUUGAAUUGAUAAUCUUCACCGAUAAUUACACUAACCCGAGAUGGAGGCAUCACAGACUUGAUUAUGUCAUCCAAUAUCUUGCCCAAAUCGUAGAAUACAGAAACCCUGACCCAAGCAAGACAGUCAAAAUAGAACCUGACAUGAUUAUUGUUGUAAGUAUCUGCAGCAAAAGCAGUCCUAUCGAAGCCACUGCUGUCGAGAAUUGCAACCACUGCAAGCCCAGAUGGUCCCUCAAUCAAUAGAUCAAACAACUUCUCUCUGCCCCUUUCAAAUUCACUGAUAUCGAGCCGAGGUUGUCCCUCAUUCAAUAGGCGAAUGAUUUCGUUACUUUUUUCACUGAUAUCAAAACCAUUGUCGCCGGGCGGAAGUUGUUGCAUCCGAUUUCUAAUAUCAAUGAUUUCACUGUGGACAUGAAGAGCCAUAUUAGUGCUGCUUUCACUUUCGUUUUCACUGUUUUGCUGCUGCAUUAUGUUGAUGAAGAAUCUGUCAAUGGCUUCCUCAGAUUCAUGGACAAAGUCAUUGAUGUGCACCAGAAUUUCCAAAAUAUCUGGUCUUUUAACGUCUUCUUCAUCGCUUUCUUCUAAGUCCAACAGUUGCAAAAAAGGAAAAGAUAUUUCGAAGUCAUCGAAUUCUUCUAGAAUGAGUUGAAACAAAUGCCGAGCCAUGUCAGCUUCAUAGUUUCCCAGAAGAGUAGCAGCAAUAAUUUCGGACUCCGUAAGAAGGUUUUGAAAAAGUGGGGUUAAAUUUGUUGAAUCUGGCAGCGGCAACGUGCCUUCUUCACCUGCUAACACCCUUUUCAACCUCUCACAAAUCAGUCGGAGGUGGAAUUCCAGCAUUUCUCCUUCUCUCCGUAGCACUCAAUUAGAAUUAUCUUCGAAUUCUAAUUUAAUUGACUAAGUAGUUAUAGCUAUUCUAUUGAUUAGGUCUAGCUAUUAUAUUCUAAAUGAUUAAUUGAGAGGUAUAGUUGAAAGAUUAAACACCAUGGAAGAAUUUGAAAGGAAAAUGCCAAGAAACUGUGUAAGUGGCUAAAUUCCACAAAUAUGACAUUAUUGCUCAUUUUUUAACUCAAAAAAAGGGUACGCAUUCAUUUAGAGAAAAGUCCAAGACGCGUGCUUUUUAAAAAGAACAGGUAUCCAACCUCUAUCUUAUUAAAUUACAACCAUGACAUAAUUGAUGGUGCUUAAAUCAAUUGUUUCUUUUUUAAUUUAAAGAAUUUUUCAUUAAAAAAAUAUUUUAAUAUCAAAUUGCCUUCAGUGGCGUAACUGCCUCAGGCCCAGUAACAGGACUAAUUAAAAAUUUUACAAUUUUUGGGCAUGGAAAUAGUAGUAUUAAACAUUAGAAAGGUAAGGUUGUUCUGUUAAAGAAUUGAUAUUGACAUAAUUUUAUUUUGGUUUUCGUGGAAAAAAAAUUUGUUGACAAGUAAGAAAAUAUUUUUAUUUUUUAAAAUUUAUUAUGCAUAUUUUAUCAUAUUAAAGUAAUUUUAAUAAUAAAUAGAAACAUAAUAUUACAAUAAAUAAAUUAUAGUUUAAAUUAUUUUGAAUAUUAUAAAAAAUAAUGUUAAUAUUAUUAAUAGGAAGACAUUUUGUUAAUUUUAAAAUCUUUUUAAUCCAAAGGUUUAUUUAAAAUCUCUAUAAUAAAUACAAAUAUAAGAUUAAAAUAAAAAUCAUAAUUUCAAAAUUUUAAUAUUAUUUUAAAUGUUAAAUAUACUUUAAUGUUAUUAGCCUACUACGUAGAUUUUAUUAUUUAUAUUAUAUUCGUAUUGAUUAAAAUUUUUUAAAGUCAAUUUUUUAGUUAGUACAUUCAAGAGGUAUCAUAGUUAAAGAAAAGAUUUUGGUGCAACUGUUUUAAAAUUUCAGGGUAUAAAUGAUAAUUUUUUUUAAAAUUUUAAGGAAGUAGGUAUUAUUUUUCCGACAAUUUAUUUUAUUUUGAGGGAAAUCCGAUGAGAAAUAUCAUCAGAGAACAUUAAUUUAACAUUCUUUACCUUUAUGAAAAAAGUGGAAACCAAGAACUAUUCAAAUUUUUUUUUUUUGUGUAAUUCAAAAAAUGCAUCCACCAAACAAGCUUAUCAUAAUUUUCCCACUUUAUUCAUUUUCGAUGCUUUUCAAAAGAGGUUCCUUUAAUCCAUCUAGCAUCUGCAGCCCCCACUAUUUUACAAAUCUCCAUCCCACAUCUACACUAUCAAAAAAGUUGAUGGAAAUUGAACCCAUUAAGUUAUGUUCAUUACUGGUCAUUAUCUUUCUAUGAGCCACUUAUUUUGAGCAUUAGCGAUCUUCUAAGGAAUCAUGCCUUUUCAGGAUCGUUUUCUUUCAUUUCCUUAUUGUAGUAGUUAAUUAAAUAAAGAACGAACAAGUGAACUUUGUCUAUUUCGAGGAAGAACUAGGUUUCCAACACUAGAGGAACUUUGAAGAAAAUUAAUUGGAAGCCUUUAUUCAUCUUUGAAGAAAAUUACGUGCCAAUGUAACCAAGGCUUUUAUUCAUCUUCGGACUAUGAAUUUAUACAAAAACAUUAACAGAAAAUAACAAAGACACAGCUAAAUGAUAGCAACAAGUGUUGAUUUAGUGGACCACUUCUACAAGUAAAUAAAAACUAAAUAUUUAUUUAAGGAGGGCUUUUGUUAGUAGAGUUUUUAUAAAUAGAAAUUUAACAAAAAAAAAUUAUAGUUAUUUAGUUGUCAAUGUCCAAAUUGAUGAAUUAUUGUUCUUUUUGUUAACAUGUGUUUGUUUUACUUAAUAAUAAAAGUUUAGUUUACAAUUACACCGGUGUCAAAUCAGCAGAGCAUUUUUGCAGCCAGUCACAUUAUACAUUAUAUACUAAUAGCAUCGGCAAGAGUUUUCGAUUGUUGCAACUUGCAAUGCACGCGAUGCGAGAAAAUGAGAAUCUUGUUUAAUUGCAAUAAUGACAAACCUAAUCCUUUCAUUAGGAGUAAAUUAAUAAUCGUUUGUUAUUAUUGAAUAUGUAUAAAGAAAGGACAAUUCUAUUCAUAGAUUCGACUUAUUUUUUGUUUAAAGUAAUUAAUCAUUCAACCAUCUUCAUUUGCCUCUGGCCAAUGCCCUUGUAGAUUAGUUGAAGCGUUUAUUACUUAAUUCAGAUAAUUACAACGUCCUUUUCGCUAAUUAAUUAUGAUUAUGAACAUUUUCAUAUAGCAAGUGGCAUUGUAGAUCUAAACUACGUUGCUAUUUCAAUACGUUAAUUAAGUGAUUCUCCUCAUUGUCAUCAACGUUAUAAACAGGAAUUGUGCAAACAGUACACAAUGCUGCAGCAAGGCGUGGGUGGCUAGAGUUUUGCAACCACCCUUGAGAUCCUGUGCUGCCAGUAGUAAAAGAAUUUUACGCCAAUUUGGUAAGCCCUGGUCAGCACAACAUUUGGGUAAGAAACUCACUUGUUCCAUUAGACUCUCGAGUUAUAAAUGUUUUUUAUAAUUUACCUGCUGAAAUUAAUUGUGAGUAUGCCAAGUUGCUUGACAAAUUGACCCCGCAACAAUGGAACACAAUUUUCACGACACUUACGGUAGAGGGUGCAUCGUGGGCUAAUGAGGAGGGGCAUGUAAUUAACAAGAUAGAUUUAAAACCCAUUGCUAAGGUGUGGGUGAAAUUUCUAAAAUCCAGGCUUAUGCCAACCACCCACACCACUACUGUUUCACAGGAAAGGUUGGUGCUGUUAUAUGCUAUUGUUAGAGGGCUUCCCAUAGAUGUGGGAAGCAUUAUCGAAAAAGAAAUUCGAGAUUGUGCCAUGAAAAACCACAAGGCUGCUGCCUUGUUAUUUCUUUCACUCAUAACCAGCAUAUGUGUAGUAUCAGGUGUUCGUCUUGAUGCAAAGGAUGAAAUUUGUAAUUAUAUUAUGGCUCCAUUUGGUAUAACUUUUUAAUUCGAACUUAUUUAAGGAGAAUUUUUAUUAGUAGAGUUUUUAUAAAUAGAGAUUUUACUAAAAAACAAAAAUUAUAGUUAUUUAGUUGUCAAUGUCCAAAUUGAUGAACUAUUGUUCUUUUUGUUAACAUGUGUUUGCCAGUCACAUUAUACAUUUUUGCAACUUGCAAUGCAAGCGAUGAGAGAAAAUGAGAAUCUUGUUUAAUUGUCAAUAAUGACAAACCUAAUCGUUUCAUUAGGAGUAAUUUCAUAAUCGUUUGUUAUAAUUGAAUAUGUAUAAAGAAAGGAAAAUUCUAUUCGUAGAUUCGACUUAUUUUUUGUUUAAGGUAAUUAAUCAUUCAACCAUCUUCAUUUGCCCCUGGCCACUGCCCUUGUAGAUUAGUUGAAGCGUUAAUUGCUUAAUUCAGAUAAUUACAACGUCCUUUUCGCUAAUUAAUUAUGAUUAUAUACGUUUUCAUAUAGCAAGUGGCAUUGUAGAUCUAAAUUAUGUUGCUAUUUCAAUACGUUAAUUAAGUGAUUCUCCUCAUUGUCAUCAAGUGGAAAAUAGCUCAAUUGUUUCCCUGCAUCGAUUUUCAUUGGUAAGUGAUUUCUUAUGAUAUUCGUUUGAGCUUUCCUUAUUAAAAAAGCUUGAGCCUUGAUCACCUAAUACUGAUAUCAAUUAACUUGUGAACGAUUUUGUAAUGAAAUUAGGAGUUAAAUAUAUAAGAUUUUUACGUGAUGAAUUUUGAUUUUUUUAAUUUUUUGAUGUAGUCAAUUUGCUAAUUUUAUAUAUUUCAUAUUCAACGGAAUUUGGGCACGGAAAGUUUGGAUUCUAAUAUUUAUAUAUUUAGCUUUAAUCAGCUUGACUUUAGCAAUCUUUUUCCCUCAUCAUUAAGGGAUUCAGAAUUAGAGAAACGCUAGGAAGAGGAAGAAAAUAACUUUGGAAGUAAGUAAGAGGGAAAAAAUUAUGAAAUUUGGAAUUAUUUUUUGUAAAGUAUGUUGCGUUUACUAAACUGGAAUUAGAAUGAGCUGAAAUCAGAAUGAAUAGGAAUGCGAAUGUGCUGAAAUCGGAAUAGGUAAUGAGAAUAAGAAUAAGUUGUUUACUUGAACUGUAAAAAUCAAAAUCGGAAUGAGCUGAAUUGCAAUUACUUUGUCUUGGAAUCGGAAUCGGAAUCGGAAUGAGUUAGAUUAUAACAAAUUACUGAAAAGUACUUAAUGAAUUAUUGUCAUAAUUAUUAUUUUAUAUUUUAAUUAUAGUGAUUAUUUAUUCAAAAAUUAUUAUUAUUAAUUAUUUCCAAUAAUAUAUUAAUAUGUUAAUUAAUUUUAAAAAUUAUUAAUUAAUUUAUUAUAAUAAUAUACUAAUUAAUUAUAAUUAUUAUUAUAAAAAUAUAUUAAUAAUAAAAUUACUAAUUUAAUUGUAAUAAUAUAUGAAUUAAUUAUAAUAAUUAUUAUAAUAGUAUAUGAAUUAAUUAUAAUAAUUAUUAUAAUAGUAUAUUAAUUAAUAAUAAUAAUAAAAAUAUAUUAAUUAUGUGAUUAUUUAUUCAAAAAAUAUUAUUAUUAAUAAUUAUUGUUAAUAAUGUAUCAAUAUACUAAUUAAUUAUAAUAAUUAUUAUAAAAAUAUAUUAAUUAUUAAUAAUAAAAUUACUAAUUUAAUAAUAAUAAUAAAAAUAUAUUAAUUAUGUGAUUAUUUAUUCAAAAAUUAUAAUUAUUAAUAAUUAUUGUUAAUAAUGUAUCAAUAUAUUACUUAAUUAUAAUAUAUUAAUUAAUUAUAAUAAUAUAUUAAUUAAGUAUAAAUGAGGACAAAGUGGGUAUUUUUAAUUUCACGAAGGGGCAAAAUGGUCAAUUCUAGUAAUGGGAGACUCACUCCCACCCUCUCCUUUGGGAAUGAGUCUCCCAUUCCUCAUUCCCAAAUUGUGGUGGGCCCCAUGAUUUUGACUCCGAUUUCUAACUCAAUUUUGCGAAGUAAACGCUACCAAUGAUUCCGAUUUCGGAUUCUGAUUCACUUAUCUGAGAAGUAAAAGCAACAUAAAUGUGUAUGAAUAAUUGAUACCUAUGAAUAGUUUUGGGAGUUUUAGCUAGGAGUCAUCUAUUGAAGAUGUUUAGCAAUUGAAGAUCUCUGUCUCAGUAGUUUUCCCAAUCAAAAUCAAGAAGCAAAAAAACUUGCCAUUUUUCUACUUGAUAAUUAAUUGAAAUUUAAGAAAAUACAAUGGCAUUUCAAUUAGAAUUGGUAAUUGUUUAUCUUUUUUCAUUGAUCAAAUUCUAAUCGUGAUCCAAUAGUUAUGGAUGAAGGAAAUAUUAUGAGAGGCGAUAGGCCAAGUGAAGACGUACCAGCAAAUUCAAAAUAGUCGGGAGGUGGACGUCCAGCAUAUCUCCUUCUCUCUGUAGCACCCAGAUGCAUUGUUAUUUGCUCCAAGAAAUGUUAAAAGGAUUGGCCCUAUCUCAAUGUGGUUAGUGGCAAGGGCGGAGACAGCAUAUUAAUUGACUGUGGGCUUACUCAACUGCGAUAAAAAAAAUUUAAAAAAUAAUAAAUAAUAAAUUUAAAAGAUUUAUCAUACUUCAAUAUAUGUUUAUAAUUAUCCUUUACGAGUUUUCAUACAUUGAUAACGUUGUAUUACAACUUCAUUAUCAAUAUUAUUGUGGGCUGUUUAAAAAUUUGAUUAAUAUUAAUAUUUAUAGGCUUGAUUUUAUUUUGUAAAGCCCAUCUCUUUUUAUUUGUUUUAAAAACUUAGAGUGUGAGAAUUUAAGUAUAAUUAUGUAUUAGGAACUUGAAUAUAAAUUAGUGGGGGCUUAGGAAAAAUUUAUUAGAAAUUUUUGGCAAAUCAAAUUAGUUAGUAAAAGAUUUUUUUUUUUUUUUUCAGUGGGGACUUAAGUCCCCACUGGUCCCAAGCUAGAUCCGCCACUGGUUAGUGGUGAAAAAUUAAACACCAUGGAAGGAUUUGCAAGGAAUAUGCCAAGAAACUGGCUAAGUUCCACAAAUAUGGCAUUAUUGCUCUUUUUUUUUUAAAGAAAAAUUAUACACGUUAAUUUAGCAAAAAGUCUAAGACACGUGCCUUUUGAAAAGAAUAGCUAUUACCAUGACACAAUCGAUGCGGCUGAAACCAAAAUUUUCUUUUCUUAAUGUAAAGUUUUUUUUUUAAAUAGAUUUUAAUAUCAAAAUGCCCUUCGAUGUUAUUACUCUCACAAGCCCUGUAACAGGAGUAAUAAAAAAGUUUAGAAUUUUUGGGCAUGAAAAAAGUAGUAUUAAACAUCAGCAAGCAAAGGUUGUUCUGUUAAAGAAUUGAUAUUGACGUGAUUUUAUUUUGGUUAUCGAGAAAAAAAUAUAUUUGUUGACAAGUAAGAAAAUAUUAUUAUAUUUUACAAUCUAUUAUACAUAUUUUAUUAUAUUAAAUAAUACUAAAUAGAAACAUAAAAUUAGAAUAAAAUAAAUUAAAAUUAAAAUUAAAAUUAUUUUGAAUAUUAUGUAAAAAAUAAUGUUAAUAUCAUUGUUACUUGUAAAAUAUAUUUAGCCUAAAGAUUUAUUUAAAAUUUUAUAAUGAAUAAAAAUAUAAAAAUAAAUUAAAUAUCAUAGUUUAAAAUCUUAAUAUUAUUUUAAAUAUUAAAAAUACUUUAAUGUAUCUUAAUAUUAUUUUAAAUAUUAAAAAUACGUUAAUGUUAUUAUUCUACUACACAUGUUAUAUUAUUUAUAUUAUAUUUGUAUUAAUUAAAAAUUUUAAAGUCAACUUUCUAGUAACUAUAUUCAAAGGUAUUAUGGUUAAAUAAAGGUCUUAGUGUUUCUUUUUCAAAAUUUGAGGGUCUACAUGAUAAUUUUUCCAAACCCUAAGGUAUAGGAGUCCUUUUUGUCAAUAAUUUAUUUCACUUUUGAGAGAAUACGAUGAGAAAUAAGAUCAGAGAAAUGUCAAUUUAAUGUUCUCUAGCUUAAUGAAAAAAAAAUGGAAACCAAGAACUAUUCAAUUUUGUAUUUUUUGUUUGUAAUUCAAAAAAUCCAUCCGCCAAACAAGAUUCACGCAUUUAUGUUGUCAUAAAAUGAAAAAACAGUUUGUGAAAAAAUGGCACCAAACAUACCCUUAAUGUCCCACAUGAUUUCUUAUGAAGCCCAUAUUAGAUAUAUUUAUACAUUUUACUGCAUUUAGGACAUGUUUGAUAGCCUGCAUUAUAUAGGAUAAAAACAUAAUUUUGUAUUAAAUUAAUGCACACUCACGUUUGGCGCUAAAAGUAACUCCAGCCGCAUUGCAUUAAUGGGCUGCUACUGCGGCAAUUGCCGCACUAGCUUGCCUCUUUUUCUUUUUAAUUUUAUUUAUAAUAAUAAUAAUAAUAAUAAUAAUAAUAACAUAAUAUAACUUUUAUUUUAAUAUAAUAUUAAGUAUAAUUUUUAUUUUUACAUUAUAAUUAUUGAUAUAAAUUAAUAAAUUUAUUAUUUAUUAUUCAAUAAUAUUAUAUUAUUAUUUUUUUAUUUUUACAUUAUAAUUUAUUAGUAAAUUUAUAAUUUAAUAUAAUUAAUGAUAAUAGAAAAUAUCAUUACAUGUACUACAAAACUCUUACUUGGAUUAUUUAACACAAUUUAUUUUAUUCGUGAAUAUGUUAUAACAAUUGUAUCACUUUAUUGUUUUGUUAUUAUUUUGUGGUAUGUAUAAAUUUUUAUUCUAUUAUUCAAAGAUGACUUUUGAACUAAUCUUAUAGGUUUUAACUAUUUAUUUAUGUUGUUAUAUUAUUAGAGAUUAUUUGAUUAAAUUAUUUGCUUCGAUCUUUAUUUUACAGGUCAUAUAUUUAGAAAUUACUGAAAAAUAAAUGUUCUACUUCCAAAAAAUUUAAGGCUAUAAGCUCGAUCUUUAUGAAUAAUUGUGAUAUUUUUUAACAUUUACACUAAAAAAAUUGUUAAAUUUCUAAAAUUUAAGACUUCUAUAUUUAGUAUUUUUCCAAUUACUAAUAAGUAUUAUUUUCUAAAUAUAUAAUUUAAAUUAAUCACAAAAAAUUAAUACAGUACAGUGCAAUAUCAAAUAUAAUAUAAUUAAAAAUUAUACAGUACAAUGUAGCACCAAAUAUUGUACAAUAUUAUUAUAAAAUAGUACUGAUGCAAUACAAUAUAAUACAAUAUAGUGUGCCAAACGCACCCUUAGAGUGUGUUUGGAACAUGGGAUUAUAGGGUAUUAAAACACUGUUCACAUUAGCUUAAUACCAAUAUCAUGUUUGGAAAGAAAUUUUAAGGGAUUAAAGGGGGGUGAGCUAAUGCCAUAACUGCGCCAUUAGUGUCUUGGUUUUUUUUUAAAUAAUAAUAAAAAAUAUAAAUUCCUAAUUUUAUGUAAUAUUAUAUAAUAUUAAUUUUUAUUUUCUUUGAUCUUUACAUUAUAGUAAUUAAUAUAAGUUAAUAAAUUUAUAAUUUAUUAUUCAUAUUUUAAUUUUUAUUAUAUUAAAAAUAUAACUAAAUAAUUUAAUUUUAAUUAUAUAAUAAUUAAUGUAUAAAAUUGAUUAAUAUUUAAUAAGUUAAUACAACUAGUAAUAAGUGCUUAAAUAAUAUAUAAAAAUAAAAAUAUAACAUAAUAUUACAUUAUUUAAUUAUAUUACAAUAACUAAUAUAUAAAAAUUGAUUAUUAUUUAACAAUUUAAUAUAGCUAAUAAUAGAUACUUAAAUAAUAAUUUAAUAUAACUAAUAAUGAAUAUUGAUAUAUGAAUAUAUUUAAAUAAUAUUAAUACCAAUAUAUAUAAUAAUAUAAAAUAUUAUUACAUGUACUGUAGUAUUCUUACUUGGAUUAUUUAGCGCAAUUUAUUUUAUUAGUGAAUAUGUUACAACUAUUGUAUCACUUUAUUAUUUAAAUUAAUCAAAAAAAUUAAUACAGUACAAGAUAGCACUAAACAUUGUAUAACAUUAUUAAAAUACAGUGUUAAUGCAAUACAAUAUAAGACAAUACAUCUAUAUUAAAAUAAAAUAAAAUAAUUUAAUUUAAUAUAAUACAGUAUGUCAAACGCACCUCGUAUAUUUUAAUUUCAAAAGAAGUUGGUCCUUCCGUUAUUUAUAAAAGAUAACUUUAUUUUCAGAUUACCACUAAACUCUGAAGUAGAAUUGGUGUAAUGUUAAGAGAGAGUAACACAGUUUUCCAUUACCAUCUUUGAAAAUAGAAAGAUAUGGAUCAGUGUAUUUAAGAGUUAUCGUGAAAAUCAUACAGUUCAAUUCCCUGACACAUAUAUUUAUGAGCAUAUGCCAAAAGAAUAAAUAGAUAGAAAGUAAAUUUACAAUCCUCACUUCCUCACAAUUGUUAAAAUGAAGAUGCAUUACAACUGUGAACUGUCACUAUUUUAGCCUUUUUUAUUUUUUACUUUUAGUUAUAGUGCGAUGGAGACAGUGAACAUCAAGGAUGAGAAUAAAAGUUAAAGAUGACCCACCCACUUUCUUUUUAAAGUGCUCUGCUCAAAGACAAACUUCCUCUGGCUAAUUAAUUUAGAUGUGAAGAGAGAAUAAAGUCCUAGAUGCCUUCUGAAAUUAGAAAUACAUUUUAUAUGCUUUAAUUAUGAUUAUUUGGUAGACUAUAGACCUAAAAGACAUGUUAGAUUAUAAAACAGUGCGAUUAAAAAAAAAAGAGUAUUUGUGACGUCAAAUAACAAUUGGUAACUAAAAUCCAAAAUAUUUGAGUUGUUAAAAGCAAAUAAAAAAAAAGAAGGUAAGAGUGAUGCAGAAACACAAUAUUAGCUUAUCUUGAUUUUCCCACUUUAUUCAUUCUCGAUGCUUUUCAAAACAAAUUCUUCUAAUCUUUCUGGUGUCUGCAGCCCCUUGUCACGGGACGAGAGGUUUCGAGCCCGUGCGGUACUCUCGCAUCCCAUACUGCGAGAGUAAACCUAGUGGAAGUGGCACAAUAUCGACUGGUUUCACCCUGUCUUGGGCUCAUCAGGAGAACGGCUCCAGUUCCCAACCAGUGUGUGAAGAGCUUCGCCUAAACCCCUCUUCAACGUUAAGUCCUUGACUAGCGACAAGCUCCCCAAACUCAACCAGGUUGGCCUGCCUGAACUCCAAGAAAUCUAGGAUCAUUGUAUUCCCCACACGACGCCCCUGAAGCACGUCUCCUACAAUCAGCACAACCCUUAUCGAUACCAGCGUACAAACGCAUAUCUUCGGCGUCACAAUUGCAGUCCGUGACACCCUGCUCUUGUUAUAAAACUCCACCCCAAAUCUACACUACAAACAAGUUGAUUGAAAUUAAACAAUUGCUUUUUGAAGUGGACCCAUUGAGUCGUGGUCAUUACUCGUCAUUGUCUAUUUUUUCUAUGAGCCAUUUAUUUUGAGCAAUAGUGAGCUUCUCUGAACUACUCCAAUUAUUGAUGUAACUCCAGUGGCUGCAUCCAUAGUUGAAUAUAUGACAGUAUUAGCUCUUAUUUGAGAAUAUAGGGGGAUCUUUCUUUGUUUCUUUGUUGCAGUGUUCUAGUUUAUAGUCUUGCUGUUAAUGAAUUCACUGAGGCAUUAUUAAUUUAAUUUCAGUGAAGUAAUUAUGGAUGAAAAAUAAAUAAAGGAUAACAGAAUAGAGCUGAAGUGCUGAAUCGGCUAUUAAAGAAAGUGUCACGUGAUCACAAUCACACUGAUGCACAACUCUCUCUAUGUACUCCAAAUUCAGCCAAACCAUACAUGCCUCAACAAAAUUAAACCGUAGUUCUCAUCACUACAGUAAAUGAAGCCCACAAAGACAGCUGAAAUGGAAAAUAUUGACUAUUGAAUGGAUCAAUGCUGAAUUACACUUGAAAUGGGAAGCUUGGCUGCGGUUACGAUGUUUCCCCCUCUGAUUUUUCUCCAAAACAAAUUCCGUUGUAAAUAAUAUUCAAUGUAGCAACACUUUAUUCAGCAAAGAAAAUACCUAAUUUUUCAACUAACAAAUUCUCUUGUCUAAACUAAAAAAACUCACAUCUCUCCAAUCUAUCUACAAAAUAUUGGAGAUGAGAGGUGAUUUGUCAACUCGAUAAAUAAAUUCAUGCAUAAUGUUACCAAUAAUGAUAAAUUACUUAAUAAUUCUUAUAAAGAAUCAUAAAUAAGGAACAUUAACCAUUUUACAGUCUAUUACAUAAGUAAGAUUAAUCUUAUAAUAAGUUAACUUAUAACGUAAUAAAUAUUUCAAUUCAUAAUUAUUUAAGAAGUCACUUAACAAUAAAAUAUUUUUUUAUUUAAUUGAUCAUGUCAUAUAACGUUAUCUAAACUCCUGACGAUAUUAUUAUUACUCACUUUUCUCAAAAAAACAUGACUAACGUUUAGAGAAAAGUCAUGCCUUUUAGAUAGAUAGAAUAUGAUUACAAGCUAUCCAUACUUUAUCUUACCAUGACAAAAUUGAUGGUGAUUAAAUCUAUUUUUAAAAUAGAUUUAAUGCACAAACAUGAUGACUUUUGCCAAAAAUUAGUUUCAGAAGAUAACUAAAUUAAGUUGCAAAGGAGCUUACUUCAAUUUCUAAGCUUUUCAAUCAUGAUUCCUCCAUGCCUUCCUCUGAUACCAUUUUGUUACGUGCCAACGUAAUUGACCUUGUAAUUGGUUUGUAUAAGGAAUGAAGCCCUUUCAAGAUCGUUUCUUUUGUGUCCAUAUUGUAGUAGACUAGUAGUCAAGUAAAUAAAGAGUGAAUAACUGAAUUUGGUCUAUUUCGAAGAAGACUAUGGCCUCCACACUACAAGAAAAUAGGCGAUAGAUAACGGGAAAUAACCGUCAUAAAAGGUGGUGUAUGACAGACAGUUUAUUCGUCAUCUAUGUCACUGUCAUUAAUUUAUGACAGAAUAUUUUCCGUCAUGAAUUCUUGAUGUUAUUUUACAAUCAUAUAUCCAUCACACAAUAUUUUAAUGAGAAAAAAUAAUUAAAUAAAAUUUGAAUUUAUUAAAAUUUUUGCUCUAUUUUUUAAUUUUUUGGCGGAAAAUUAAAUUGUCAUUUGUAAAUUUCUUAUUCAAUUUUGGUGGAAAAUUUUUUUAUGACAGACUUUAUGAUGUGUAUUUCCCAUCAUAAAGUUAAUUUUUUUAAAUUAUAUUGUGAUUAUAGUUUAUUUCUGAAUUCCUGUUUACAAAUUUAAUUAAUUAAUAAAAAAUGAAUAUUGUCAAAAAAUAAAAAAAUAAUAGUAACUAAAAUCCAUUCAAUCCAACAAAUUAAUUUCAAAAUAAAUACAUCUAAUAUUCAAUGUCAUUACCACUAAUACAUAAUAAAACAUCCCAAAUUAAAAAAAAGAAUGUCAAAAUAUAAAACAAUAGUUAAAUUCCAAUUAAAUUCCAAGAAAUGUAAUUCAAAUUCCGGACACCGAGCCAAGCUCCCCAGCAAAACUUCCAAAGAUUAAUGGAAAUAUUCCAAUAGCAAGACUUCCAGAAGCAAUACCCUCUUCCAGUGGCAAUACAUUGACUAAUCUUUGAAGCCAUGACUCCUCAAGCCAAUGCCAAAAAUGUGUGCAAAAUUAAUGCUCUAUCCACAAAAAUUUCAGUCUAUAUUGGUAAGAAGAAACAUGAAGAAACAAUUACCUCAGCAUCAUCGUCAUUGGAAGCCAAAUCAGCUGUAAAGACCACAAAAUGUUUGGUUAGAACUAGUGGAAGUCUUACUCUAAAACUUUUAAUUUUUGAAUUUCGAAAGAUCUAGUAAUGACAAAGAUUCUCAUAUCCAGUGACCAAGUUUUGAAAAUUAGAAUACGGAAUAACGUCAACUAAAUUCACUAAUAUAGGGUGCAUUUGAGAUUGAGGUUGGACAGCUGUAGCUUAAAAGCUACAGUAGUAAAGUGUUUGGUAAACACUAGUUGCUGUAAUUUAAAAACUAUGUUGAUAUGAUUUUUCACUUGUAUAAUGGAGAAUCUAUUUUUUUAAAUAAUUAUGUCAAAAUUAUUAUUUAAAAUUUAUAUUUACUACAUAUUAUUAAUUUUUGUUUCAUAGUCACAGUUUUUUUUCCACAGCAGUUGUAAAGCUACAUCACCUCAAUCCCAAACGCACCCUAAGCUAGAGGAAUCCCUAGUUGAUAUAGCACACAUGCACACAUGAUAUGCAUGCAUCAGAAUACACAAUAAUAAAUUAUCUCAAAGUCAAUAAGAAGCCAAAACUAGAGAUAAACCUUUAGCCACUAUAAGGAAGACUGAUAUUUGCAGUGUGAUUACAAUAAACAAACAGAAACUUCACUACCCAUAAGUAAAGCAAAAUAAAUAAAGGAUAAUAACUAACCAAGAAAUGGAAAAGCUCACAUUCUCUGAACACGCACCCCAAAAAGAAAGAAAGAAAUAAAUGUUCCCAUUGGAUCUGAAGCACAAGCAAUCCACUGACAUCCUUCUAUAAUUAGGUAAUUUAAAGGGGUUAAGCUCACAUCUUUUACGGAAGCAACAAGAGAAUUAACAACAUUCCAGAGGAUUUAGGGAAAAACCACGAGGCAAGAAAAAAGAAAGAUCCUUCUUCAAUCUAGAUAUCUUGACACUGCUCACCAUCUACAGCAGUCUGGGGCUUAAAAAGCAUGAUCUCUCCCCCCCUCUGGCACCAUUUUCUCUCAUGUGAAUCUGUCAUUGCCCGUAGAAACAAACCAGAACUGCAUAAAUUCUCUUAUCUUCCAGCAGCUUCUUUUCUCCAGAAAUAGGCACAACUAUUUGACAUGGAAACAAUUUAUCUAACAUGGCCACCUUUAAAGACAAAGACAUACUAAGGACAUGGUUUUAGAUACGGAUACAAGAAACAAUCACAAAAUGUAAAAUCUAUACAUAUGAUAUUAAUUUCCAAUGGAUACAGCACUUCAUUCUUUGACUUAACUUCAUUAGAUUACUAGGUUUGAUUAGGUUAUACACACAUUUAUUCAUUUAUGGUUUUCAACCUAUAAUCUACAUGCACUUAGAAUGAGAGGUACCUAUAAAAACAAGUUACCAGAAAACAAUACAGCUAGAAAACAUUAAAACAUUAAUCUAAGCAGUUCUAUAGGUUUAACUAACUGCAGGAAAAAACCGUUGAUUUUGUCCGUCGGAUUAUUGAGAUCCUAAUUCUGGUAAAAAGAAAAUGAGAUAAUAGAAAAUCAAAAAUUAAAUAGACACAAAAUGAGAAAUCAAGAUCAUACGGCAACUAAUAUAUAGCAUGGGCUGCAGCUAACAAGCAAUAUAAGCCAUGAUAUUAUGCCAGAUACAAAAUUUUGAGAUCCAAGAGAGAUCAAGAAGCAUGAAUAUUGAAAGAAGUGAGUGCAGAAGGAUAAGAAAUCAGGUUGAUAUUCUUCAUACUUUGGGUCAACACGUAGUGAUGCAAUAAACUUGUAAUUAGCUUCAAGUGUAUAGGCUACCAUGUCAACAUUUCCGAAAACACACAAGAUUGUGCUGGAUUCAUAUAUAGUACAUAUAUAAAAAAACAAUCUGCUUCUAAACUUCAUGAGAACAUCGAAUAAUGAACUUACAAUUUGAUCCCUCAUCAUCUUCAUCGCACCAUUUGUUCCAAUCAACCUUAAUGUAAGGUGCUGGUUUCUCUUCUGACUUGAGUAGCCUUUUCCACCAACCUUUCUCUUCUUUUUGCACCGAGCAUAUUAUGUUCCUUAAGCCAACUUUAGUCUUACAUUUCUGCACCACCAGCAACAAAAUUCAAAGCAUUACAAAAGAGGUAUAUUUAGCCGCUCUUGACUCGAGUGAGAGAACAGGAUAAACAGCCUAGGUAUAUCCACAUCCAUGUUAUGAGAUUAAUUAUGCAACAACUAACUUUAAUAUAAAGUUUGUGCUCCAACAAAGACUAAAAUGUUUGUAAUUGUUAUGCUUCCGGAGCUAAAAUGUUUCGCAAACACUCACUUUUACUCUGCAGCUAAUAUCUAGCACCCAGCCACACAAAGUCCGUAGUCUUUGUCUCAACUUUGUCUGAGGCCAAUGUAAAUCCAAUUUGCACAAGCUCUCUAUGCACCACAGCUCUUCUGGAAGCUUUCUCAAGUACGCACAAGGGUUGACAAUUAAGCUUUCAAGUUUUGGUAUUGCUCCAGCCCCCAUCGUCCACUCAUCUAGCCAAUACAUUGAUUUCAGGCGCAAAACCUUAAGUUCCGGAAAGCCACCCGAGCAAGCACAGGCCAGCUUUCUUCCUAAAUACAAGCUCUGCUUCAGUUUCAGCACUUGAAGGCGUGGAAGCUUUUUGAUAAGGAAAGGGAGCCACGGAGGUCAACAAAGGUUCAUAAGCCUAACUACAGAUACGAGGGCUUUGUUUGAACAUUCGUAAGUCUCAUGCAGCCAUGCAUGCGGUCAUGCAUGUUGCAUGCAAUACCAUGCAAGACUUAUUUACGCAUGGAUUAAAGAGUAGUCUGUUUCUAGUUUUUUAUUUAAGAUUGCUCAGUUAUUUAAAUUGAUUUUAGCCGUGAAUUGUGGCUACAAAUCCUUAGUAGUGUUUGUAUUAACUACUAUAAAUAAGCUCCAGCAAUUAAUAAAAGGAUUAUGCAAAAAAUUAUCUCAAAGUACUAUUCUUGGUCGUUUUCACCGUAAGUAGAACAACGUAAACUUAGCUAUUGUUGAACGUUUUUGAUUGGGACCUAUCACUUUUCCAGCCUUGGCAUGGGAUCCUCCAUUAGCUCAGUAUUUGAUAAGCUCAGUUGGGUCAGACUUGGAGGAAAUUGGUAUUCAGACAGGACCGUCCGUGAGAGCUUGCUUUCAUUCACCAGCUUCAAGCAUUCAAGUUUCUCUAGUUCGCAUAGGCUUUUGGAAAUCCCAGAUUGAUAGUAACUCAAAUCUCCAGACACUCUAAGAGUUUGAAGAUUAGGUAGUCUGCCCAAUAUAGCUGGAGUGCAACUACUAGGGUGUAAGGCUGAUAUGAAAAUGAGAUUUUUCAGAGAGCUGGAAUAAUUUUUUGGAGGCGCAGGCAGAGUGAUGCAACCGAAGUUUAAAUGCACGAGUUUUCGCAUCAUCCAAAUAUCCUCUGGUGAAUGAUCUAUGUAGCUUGAUGGCAUUUCUAGUGUUUGAAGGUUUAAAAGAGUGCAUAGCAGUGAAGGAAGGCAUUUGAGCGAGGGGAUAUUCAAUUUCAAAUACUUCAAAUGGAAAAAGUUUCUAAUCCGGGCGGAUAUUGGUCGAGAAUUGCAGAACCCAAGUUCAAUACCCCAAGGUGUUUGAACGUUUGACGAAAAUUCUCGCAAUCUAUCAGAGCGAGAUGAUCGCUUUCUGAACUGUGAUUCAGAAAAGAUUGGAGAUAGAUGUCAGGAUGUUCUAAAGAUAAAAACUGAAUCAGAUGUUCCAAAAUGAAGCACCGUUUAACAUUUGCCAGUGGUUCCUUUUCCCUUUCAUGCAUGCAGACAAAUUCCGUCUGCGCUGCCACCAAAAACAAUGGAGUACAUAAAAAACUUGGAACAUAACACGCUUUAAUUGUGCCUCCGGCUCUUCUCUUACUCACUUGAAUGAAGCCGCAAUAGAUUAGUUCUUUCAAAUAAUGCUCGGCAGUUUCUUCACUGUUGUAUGGUAUGAAACCUUCAGCUACCCACAAAUGAUAUAAUUGCCUCGUAGAUAUUUCAAUACUUGGACGAAAGACACACAAAUAGAUGCAGCAGACUUUCAAGUGAAAAGGUAACUCCAUCAAAGAAUAACUGUGUCUCUAAAUUGUCGGAAUCGCUACGCCUUGAACAUAAUUUUCUAAUGGCAUACUUCCAUAGUGUAGGAUGAAAAAUUGCCAGGCUUUAUGCUUUAAUCUGAUCAAUGGUCCUCCACUGAGCACUGAAUCAAACCGAAUCAUCUCUCCGUUUUCCAUGUCCAACAGCGUAAGGGGGCAUGGAUCAGUGACCAAUAUCAAUACUCUGCUUCCAUUCUGAUUGUCAGGAAGAACUUGUUCAAGAUCAUCCAAUACAUCGUCACUCUCUUCACAGUAAUCAUCAAGCACAAUAAAGUACUUCUUGUUUGUUAGGAAAUCUCGAAGAAUAGAUUUCUUCAAUUGAUAAUGUUCACCGAUAAUUACACUAACCCGAGAUGGAGGCAUCACAGACUUGAUUAUGUCAUCCAAUAUCUUGCCAAAAUCGUAGAGUACAGAAAUCCUGACCCAAGCAAGGCAGUCAGAGAAUUGCAACCACUGCAAGCCGAGGAUGUCCUUCAAUCAAUAAAUCAAACAACUCCUCUCUACCACUUUCAAAUUCGUUGAUAUCAAGCCGAGGUUUUCCCUCAAUCAAUAAGUGAAUGAGUUUGUCCCUUUGUUCAGUGAUUACGAAACCAUUGUCGCCGGGUGGAAGUUGUUGCAUCCGAUUUCUAAUAUCAAUAAUUUUACUGUGGAGUCCAACAAGAAGAGCCAUAUUAGUACUGCUUUCACUUUCUUCUUCACUGUUUUGCUGCUGCAUGAUGUUGAUGAAGAAUGUGUCAAUGGCUUCCUCAGAUUCAUGGACAAAGUCAUUGAUGUCCUUCACAAUUUCCAGAAUGUCUGAUCUUUUAACGUCUUCAUCGCUUUCUUGUAAAAAAGCCAAAUAUAUUUCGGAUUCAUCGAAUUCUCCUCUAAUGAGUUGAAACAAAAGCCGAGCCAUGUCAGCUUCAUAGUUUCCCACCAGAGUAGUAGCAAUGAUUUCUGACUCCGUAAGAAGGUUCUGAAAAAGUGGAGUCAAAUUUGUUCAAUCAGGCAACGUUAACGCGCCUUCUUCACCUGCUAGCACCCUUUUCAACCUCUCACAAAAUAGUCGGAGGUUCACGUCCACCAUAUCUCCUUCCCUCCGUAGCACUCAGAGAAGAUUGGUCCUAUCUCAAAGUGGUUAGUGCUGUAAAAUUAAACACCAUGGAAGAAUUUGAAAGGAAUAUGCCAAGAAACUGGCCAAGUGGCUAAAUUCCACAAAUAUGACAUUAUUGCUCAUUUUCUCUCAGACACGUGAUACACGUUGAUUUAGAGGAAAGUUCAAGAAUUUUGCUUUAAAAAAAAAAAUUGAUGGUGCUUAAAUUAUUAUUUUUUUAAUUUAAAGAGUUUUGCUUUUAAAAAAAAAUUAAUAUCAAAAUGCCUUCAAUGUUAUUACUGCCACAAGCCCAGUAACAAAACUCAUUAAAAAUUUUAGAAUUUCUGGCCAUGGAAAGAGUAGUAUUAAACAUCAGAAAGCAAAGGUUGUUCCGUUAAAGAAUUGAUGUUGACAUAAUUUUAUUUUGGUUUUCGGGAAAAAAAAAAUAUUUGUUGGCAAGCAAAGAAAAUAAUUUUAUACUUUACAAUCUGCUAUACAUAUUUUAUCAUAUUAAAGUAAUUUUAAUAUCUAUCAAAAAAAUAAAUUUAAUAAUAAUUGGAACAUAAUAUUACAAUAAAUAAAUUAAAAUUAUUUUAAAUAUUAGGAAAAAAAUAUUAUUAAUAGGAAGAUAUUUUGUUAAUUGUAAAAUCCUUUUAUUCCAAAUAUUUUAUUUAAAUUUUUUAUAAUAAAUAAAAAUAUAAAAUUAAAAUAAAUAUCAUAAUUUAAAUUUUUUAUAUUAAAAAUAUUUUAAUGUUAUUAGUCUACUACAUAAAUUAUAUUAUUUAUAUUAUAUUCGUAUUGAUUAAAAUCUUUUAAAGUUAAUUUUAUAGUUACUAUAUCCACAGGGUAUUAUAUUAUAUUUAAGAGUAAUUUUUUCAAAUUUUAGGAUUGCAGAUGUCCUUCUUCCGAUAAUUUAUUUCACUUUUGAGAGAAUCCAAUGAGAAAUAUGAUAAGAGAUGGUCAGUUUAAUGUUCUCUGCCUUUAUGGAAAAAAAGUAAAAAGUAAAAACUAUUCAAUUUUGUACUUUUUGUGUCCACCAAAUAAAUUUUACACAUUUAUGUUGUCAUAAAACGAAAAAAAAGGGUUUGCCAAAAAAUGGUACCAAGCAUACCUUUAAUGUCCCACGUGAUUUCUUAUUAAGCCCAUAUUAUAUAUAUUUAUACAUUUUAUUGCAUUAAACAUUUUUAUUAUAAAAGAAGUUGGUCCUUCCCCUAGUGAUAAAAGAUAAAUAUGAUAAUGUUUGAGAUGGGUUUAGUCUUUUAUAUUUGCUGAGUCCAGUGGGUUAAAGAAUUAGAGUAAAGCAUCUGGGCAUUCUUUCAUGCAAAACUAAAAAUCCUGAAAAUAGUUGGCUUUAACUGAUUAAGACAAGCUUGGUCGAAUUGAGUUGAACUUCAUAUAUAAAAGCCAAAUAUAUUGCGGAUUCAUCGAAUUCUUCUCUAAUGAGUUGAAACAAAAGCCGAGCCAUGUCAGCUUCAUAGUUUCCCACCAGAGUAGUAGCAAUGAUUUCUGACUCCGUAAGAAGGUUUUGAAAAAGUGGAGUCAAAUUUGUUAAAUCAGGCAACGUUAACGCGCCUUCUUCACCUGCUAACACCCUUUUCAACCUCUCACAAAAUAGUCGGAGGUUCACGUCCAGCAUAUCUCCUUCUCUCCGAGAAACUGUGUAAGUGGCUAAAUUCCAGAAAUAUGACAUUAUUGCUAUUUUUUUAACUCAAAAAAAUGGUACGCGUUCAUUUAGAGAAAAGUUCAAGACGCGCGCCUUUUGAAAAAUGGUACCCGUUCAUGUAGAGAAAAGAACAGGUAUCCCAAUCGGUAUCCAACCUUUAUCUUCUUUAAUUACCACCACGACAUGAUUUUUUUUUUUUUUUUUUGAUGACAUGAGACUAUUGCUUAAAUUACAACUCAAAUUACAACUCAUAUUACAUGAGAGUAUAAUUGAUAUGUACAAUCAUAUAUACAUACUGAGAUCUAUUGACAUUAAUGCUGAUAUGACACUGCUCAGAUUUUUGUAACCCUCUCAAAUAUUCGAGGGACGUCAAACUCCUAUCCUGGGAGAAAGACUGCCUUCACUCGAGCUCUGUGGCUCCAAGGAAGGAAAUAUAAAUUAAACCUCUACAAUGCGACUGCGGAGGCUCGAACCCCUUCCCUCACAUAUGUGAGGGAGUGGCUCUAGCCACUUGGGCUAGCCCAAGUGGUUCCACGACAUGAUUGAUGGUGCUUAAAUCAAUUGUUUCUUUUUUAAUUUAAAGAAAUUUUCAUUAAAAAAAUAUUUUAAUAUCAAAUACCCUUCAAUGGCAUAACUGCCGCAAUCCCAGAAACAGGAUUAAAUAUUUUUUUUUUUUUGAAUUUUUGGGCAUGGAAAGAGCAGUAUUAAAAAUCAGAAAGCUAAGGUCGUUCUGUUAAAGAAUUGAUAUUGACAUAAUUUUUUUUUGGUUUUCGGGGGAAAAAAAAAAUUGUUGACAAGCAAGAAAAUAUUUUUAUAUUUUACAAUUUAUUAUACAUAUUUUUUUUUUUUGGAUCAAUAAUGGGCUCUAAAAGAGCUAAAGCACCAGUAAACGGGAGUGGGCAACCCCAGACACAUCGUUAUGAAGAAUACUCUGUAAAUUAGGAGGAGCAACAGUAAGUAACUGCAAUCCUAAAGGACAAGACAAAUUAAAUGAGGCCAGAAAAUCUGCUGCUAUGUUUGCUUCUCGAUAGAUGUGGUUCACUUUCACGACCCAGUCCCUGCUGAUCAGCUCACGAAUGGCAAGGAUAAGAGAAUGAUGCUCAUUAACAGGAGUGGUCGGAUUCUCCAAGAUUUGAGAUUUAUUAUACAUAUUUUAUCUUAUUAAAGUAAUUUUAAUAAUAAAUAGAAACAUAAUAUUACCAUAAAUAAAUUAAAGUUUAACUUAUUUUGAAUAUUAUAAAAAAUAAUUUUAAUAUUAUUAAUAGGAGGACAUUGUAUUAAUUUUAAAAUUUUUUAACCCAAAGGUUUAUUUAAAAUCUUUAUUAUAAAUACAAAUAUAAAAUUAAAUAUAAUAAUUUAAAAUUUUUAAUAUUAUUUUAAAUAUUAAAAAUAUUUUAAUGUUAUUAGUCUACUACAUAGAUCAUAUUACUUAUAUAAUAUUUGUAUUAUUAAAAAUUCUUAAAAUCAAAUUUUUAGUUAGUAUAUUUAUGAGGUAUUAUGGUUAAAAAAAAAACCUUAUUAUUACUUUUUAAAACAUUGAGGGCCUGCGUGAUAAUUUUUUCAAAAAGAAAAUGCUUGGUAUCUAGGAGGGUUAGAGAAACAGGACUACCAAAAUCUCUCACCCUUUUUUAAUUAAAAAAAAUUAAAAUAUCAAUAAAAAAAAUAAAGAAAAUAGAAUUUUAUCUGCUCCUUACUCCAUUUUUGUAACUCUCUCACCAUCUCUGUCGAGCAGCCCUCUCUUUCACUGUCUCUCACUAUUUCACAAUCUCUCUCUCACUCACACAGUCCUUUAGAAAAGCCCAAAAUAGGCCCAAUAAGCCCAUAAUUAAAAUAAUCGAAUCGAAUUAUUUCAAUUAAUCGAGUAUUUGAUUAUUUCGGUAAUUUGAUUAAUCGCGAUUAUGAUUUUAAAAUAAUCGUAAUCGAACGAUUAUGAAAAAUUUAGUAAAAAACCGAAUUGAACCGAACCGCACCCACCCCUACAUAAAAGAACAACAAUUACUUGUCAUUUUCAAUUUUUUCUAUAAGCUAUUUAUUUUGAGCAUUAGUGAUCUUGUCUGGACUACUCCAAUUAUUGACGUAACUCCAGUGGCUGCAUCCACUGGAAAAAGUGGAUGAGAACAUUUUUUUUUUUCAUAAAGGUAACUACUCCAAUUAUUGACAUAAUUGAUGGUGCUUAAAUCAAUUUUUUUUUUUAAUUUAAAGAAUUUUGCUUUAAAAAAUAAUUAAUAUCAAAAUGCCUUCAAUGUUGUUACCGCCACAAGCCCAGUUAGAGGACUCAUUAAAAAUUUUAGAAUUUUUAGGCCUGGAAAGCGUAGUAUUAAACAUCAGAAAGCAAAGGUUGUUAUGUCGAAGAAUUGAUGUCGACAAAAUUUUAUUUUAGUUUUCGGAAAAAAAAAAAAAUUUGUUGACAAGCAAGAAAAUAUUUUUUAUACUUUACAAUCUGCUAUACAUAUUUUAUCAUAUUAAAGUAAUUUUAAUAAUAUAUGGAAACAUAAUAUUAUAAUAAAUAAAUUAAAAUUACUUUGAAUUAUUGAAUAUUACAAAAAGAUAAUUUUAAUAUUAUUAAUAGGAAAACAUUUUUAAUUGUAAAAUCUUUUUAAUACAAAAAUUCAUUUAAAAUCUUUAUAAUAAAUACAAAUAUAAAAUUAAAAAAAUAUCAUAAUUUAAAUUUUUUAAAAUUAUUUAAAUAUUAAAAAUACUUUAAUAUUAUUAGUCUACUACAUAAAAUAUAUUAUUUAUAUUAUAUUCGUAUUGAUUAAAACGUUUUAAAGUCAAAUUUUUAAUUAGUGUAUUCAAAGAUACAAAAGAUUUUAGUAUUAUUUUUAAAAAAUUUCAGGAUAUGAAUGAUAAUUUUUUCAAAUUUUAAAGAUGUAAGAAUCUUUUUUUCUGAUAAUUUAUUUCACUUUUGAGAGAAUCCGAAAACGUUAAUUUAACAUUCUUUACCUUUGUGAAAAAAGUGAAAAUCAAGAACUAUUCAAUUUUGUUUUUAUUUGUAAUUCAAAAACUUUAUUCAUUUUCGAUGCUUUUCAAAAGAGACUCCUCUAAAUCCUUUUGGUGUCUGCAGCUCCUGCAAUUCUCAUAAAUCUCCAUCCCACAUCUACACUAUCAAACAAGUUGAUGGAAAUUCUUAUCAAAAAAAAAAAAAAAAACAAGUCGAUGGAAAUUGAUCAAUUACUUUUUGAAGUGGACCCAUUGAGUCAUGUUCAUUUCUGGUCAUUGUCUACUCUUUCCAUCAGCCAUUUAUUUUGACCAUUUGCGAUCUUAAAGGAUAUGAGAACGUAGCUGAAGUGCUGAAGGGGCUAUUAAAGAAGAGUGUCACUUGAUCACAAUCACAUUGAUGCACAACUCACUCGUGGCAAAUUUCGACUAUACGUUCUGCAAAUUCAGCCAAACCAUACAUGCAUGAACAAAACUAAAAUGUAGUUCUAAUCACAACUGCAGUUAUAAUGUUUACCCCUCUGAUUUUUCUCCAAAACAAAUUCAGUUCAAAACAAUAAUUAAAUAGCCACAUUUUGUUCGUCAAAAUAAAUGCCCAAAUUUUCAAUUAACAAAUCAUCUUCUCUAAACUAAAAAUCCCACAUCUCUAAAAUCAAUCUACAUAAUGUUGGAGAUGAGGGGUGAAUUGUUAACUCAGUAAAAAAAACUCAUGCAUAAUAUUACUAAUAAUAUAAAAUAUAUAUUAAUCAUUAUAAAGAAUCAUAAUUAGAAAAAUUAAUCAUUUUAUAAUUUAUUACACAAGUAAGAUAAAUCUCAUAAUAAGUUAUAACAUAAAAAAAACGUUAUCAAUAUAUAAUCAUUUAAGAAGUCAUUUAACAAUAAAAUCGUUCUUUAAUCAGUUGGUCAUGUCACAUAGUGUCAUCUAUAUUUACGGUGAUAAUAUUAUUACUCAGUAUUAUCAAAAAACAUGAUUUAACAUUUAGAGGAAAUUCUUGCCUUUUAAAAAAAACAUGUAUGCAACAACUACCCAUGCUUUAUCUUACCAUGACAAAUAUUUUCUCAAUGAAAGAAAAUUUUUUAAAAAUUGAUUUAAUGCACAAAUAUGAUGAUUUUUCCAAAAAUUAGUUUUGGAAAACAUAGUGAGAGAAAAUAGUGACGAUUAUUGUUUAGAUGUAUAAAUAGCCUAAACAUAAUCCUUAAUACCAAUAUCCUAAUGCAUCUUAUCAUCUUUCAUGAUAUUCUUUCAUUUAUGUCCAUUGGUUCAAGAUUUGAAUUUGAUCAUUAAAUCAUGUUCAAUAAUAUUAGAGAUUCUAACAAAUGAGUACCAACUUAAAUCCCAAUGUUAUGUGUCAUUGACCAAUUUUGUGUCAUUUUGUUAUUAACUAGGUGAUGAAUUUGUAGUUGAUAAAAUCACUUAAAAAUAUCUUAAAAAUCAAACAAUAGUUUGCUUAAUUUUUCCAAGUUAACUGCUCAAGAUGCUCUAUUAUAAAUAAUAACCUAAUUAUAUUCAUAAAAAAUGAUAUUUUUUUUGUGGUGUUGAUAAUGAGAUUAUCAUUCAACAUUUUAAAAUGUGAAAACAUAUGGAAGAUGGUUGUAAAUUGAUUGAAUGAAAACAUUUCAGUGAAGUCUCAAAAAUUUGGUACUUGUUGUCUUAUCGAAAGUUUUCUAAAUUAUAUUCGUGGCACAGCCACUAUCCAAACCAUACAAGUCCAAAGCUAUCCAAACCAUACCUGCAAGUCCGGGGCUUAAAUGGAGUACUUCUAAGCAAAAAAACAUUGACUAAAAUAGAAUAUAUACAUACAGACACACAUACAUACCAGCAUAUUCAAAAUAGCAAAAGGAGUGCAAAAGUUCAAGUUUGUAGACAACAUUGCAACCAUAGCAUGUUUAUAGCAAAUCCUCAAAAUCUGCUAAAUAAAACAAUGCCCUGUCUCAUGAAUCAAUGCUGAAUUAAAAUUGAAACUGAAAGUCUGGAUGGUUUUGUUUGUUGAGAAUGUCAAAUAAAACGGCAUUGAAGGAAGUUUUCAAAGGCAGAAUCCGCACUUGUCAAAGGGAUGAUCUGCACUUGUCAAAGACACUAUCCGCGCCGAACGGAUCGACACAUUUCCUUCCGUAUUCACAUAUGUAAUCUUUGAAAAAAUAUAGCUUCUGCAUCUAUAAAUAACGCUCAGUGUAUAAUGUUUUAUUCAAGAAAUAAAAACAAGUUUCUACAUGGUAUCAGAGCCAUGAAUGCGCUCAAGUUUCUUCAAGUUUCGCUGCUCUGUUUGUCACAAAAACAGAGGAAACCAAUUAAAUUCGUCCCACAACCAUUUUUUCCACCAUUUUCUUCCUUAAAAUCAUUCCUAACAUUACAGAAAUCCAUGCCGAUCAAAAAACAUGAAAGACAAAUUACACAUGUGCAGUAACCAAUGAUCAUAUUUCGUUACUGUCAAACACAAUGCAUCUGAGCAAAACAUUGGAAGCCAACACCAGAAUACAUAUGAAUAAACAAUUAAAGAUAGAGAAAAAAGGCUUAAACCUUGGGGGGAAAAAGUGAAAAAACAUGAAAGACAAAUUACACAUGUGCAGUAGCCAUCGAACUUAUCAGUGACAGCUGCAUCCAUUACAUUGCUCCAACAACACAAUGGCAAACCACCAGUUUCAAAUUGAGGAUAGCUAUCGAGAAUGAGAAAGUGUCCAAAACGUCAUAAAUAGACAUGUUCCGAUUGUGCAUAAUUUACAUUAUAGGCAAAUAUUCUUAUACCAUCAAAGGCAAAACAUGACACUAACAAUUGAUCACCCCCCCCCCCCCCCCCCCAACAACAAAAAAAAGGAAAAAAACAAUACAGAAAAGAUUGAAACAGAUAAGGCUACACUGAGCACAGGAUGCCAUGAAACAUAAUCCAGGAACCAAAUUAAUAAAAAAGGAAGCCAAACCAUUAUUUAACAAUCUGUUUUGUAUUUGGGAAAGUCUGAUAAAAUCUACUUGGGGAUAAUUAGAGAACCUCAACUAUUAAUCACACCUCAUAAAUGAACUAACAUUAAACAUCUACCAUCCCAACGUCACACAAACAUUCUCUACACUUCUGAACCUAAUACUUCCAUCUUCAAUUGGGGUUUUUUUUUCUUUUUCUUUGGGGGGGGGGGGGGGGGGGAUUGAAAUGCUGAUUUCGAAUCACUAACAGUAAAAUUGGAAGCUCAUGAAAAAAUAGUUUUAUCUCAAAAUUACAUCUCGAUAUAAAUUCUCUUUUCAUUUCCUUCAACUUUCUAAUUAAGCUUAAAAAAUGUACCUUCAACCACAAAGGGGUUUAAAAUUUAAAAUAUAAAAAAUAAAUUCAGAUAACAAUAAUUAAUUUAAUUAAAAAUAUAAAUAGAGUUACAGAGAAAGAGAAAAUAGAGAAAGACGUAAUGUUGAGUCCUUUGGCGCAAGUCUCUUCAUAGGUCCGAACCAUUUCUUCGGGCGUGGGUUUCGGGUCUUUAGGAUACUCCAUAGUGAUAAGCCAGUGAUUGUAAUCGCAACCCUCGAACAGAAUCGUGUCGGGUGUGAUCUCGUCGCCGUCCUUAUACAAGUGGUACGUCUUGUUAACCGACGGCGUAGACGAGAGGGAGAUCGUCGGGGACGAUCUGAACGGCCGAGAUUGGAUAAUGAUGGAGGAGGAGAAGAUUAGCGAUGACGACGCCGAUGAAAUGGAAGGGUUUACCAGAGGAGUGGAUGCGAAGAAUGCAGGGACGGCCGCAAAGAGAGAGCGGCGGAGAGCGGCGACGGACGGUAGUGACCAGCGGAGGCGGAAAAUGGCGGUAUGGGCCAUUGCUUGCGCGUCGGUGAGUGUCUCGAGUGAGAGAGUGAAGGGUUUUGGGAAAUGAAAAAUGCAAAUGUUUGAUUUUGUUGCUAGAAACUUCUUCUGCCGCUGCCUUUUAUUUUCGCUAUAAUAAUAAUAAUUUGUUAAUCAAAUAUUUUCUUAAAAAAGAUAAAUUUCUACAACAAAAUUUAUAUUAAAUCAAAUUGUAAAAAUGUCUAUUAGGGUUAAUUUCUCCUUAAUAUUAUUAUUAGUAGAUGUAGAUUUUCGAAUUAGUCUUGAUAUAUUUCAGAGUUGUAUUAUAAAUGUAUAUGUAUCUGGAUUGCAAUUAUAUUUUUAAAAAAUAUAAUUUUUUUAAUUAUUGCACAAUAAAUGUAAAUAGUAUCUAUAAAAUAAUAUUAUUAGGACUACGAAAAAAAUAUUAUUUUAGAGAAGUUAUUUAUUUAUUAUUGAAUGAAUAAAAAAAUUAGUUUGGCAUUUUUAUAACCUCCUUGAAGGUUUUACGAUAAACAUAAAUCUACUGAGAAAGUGGGAAAAAAAAAAGAAAAUGCAUAUAAAAGUAUGAGUUAUCAGAUAAGAUUAAAACUCACCCAAUUCAAUCCAUCAGAUUCCGUAAGGAUAUAACUGGAUGUCAUACCGCCACUCCAUAUCCUCGAAAGUCCGUAGUCCUUGUCUCAACUGUGUCUGAGGCCAGUGUAAGUCCAAUUUGCGCAAGCUCUUUAUGCACCACAGCUCUUCUGGAAGCUUUCUCAAGUAAGCACAUGGGUUGACAAUUAAGCUUUCAAGUUUCGGCAUUGCUCCAGCCCCCAUCGUCCACUCAUCUAGCCAAUACAUUGAUUUCAGGUGCAAAACCUUAAGUUCGGGAAAGCUACUCAAGCCAACACAAGCAAGCUUUCUUCCUAAAUACGAGUUCUGCUUCAGUUUCAGCACUCGAAGGCGUGGAAGAUUUUCCAGAAUUGGCAUGGGAUCCUCCAUUAGCUCAGUAUUUGAUAAGCUCAGUUGGAUCAGACUUGGGGGAAAUUGGUAUUCAGACAGGACCAUCCGUGAGGGCUUGCUCUCAUUCACCAGCUUCAAGCAUUCAAGUUUGUGGAGUUCGCAAAGGCUUUUGGAAACCCCAGAUUGAUAGUAACUCAAAUCUCCAGAUAUCCGAAGAGUCUGAACACUAGGUAGUCUGCCCAAUAUAUCAGGAGUACAACUGCUACGGUUUAAAGCUGAUAUGAAAAUGAGAUUUUUCAGAGAGCUAGAAUAAUUUUUUGGAGGUGCGGGCAGAGUGAUAGAACCAAAGUUUAGAUGCAUGAGUUUUUGCAUCAUCCAAAUAUCCUCUGGUGACUGAUCUAUGUAGCUAAAUGGCAUUUCUAGUGUUUCAAGGUUUAAAAGGGUGCAUAGCAGUGAAGGAAGACAUUUGAGCGAAGGGAUAUUCAAUUUCAAAUACUUCAAAAGAUAUAAAUUUUCUAAUCCGGGCGGAUAUUGGUCCAGGACUGCAGAACCCAUGUUCAAUACCCGAAGGUGUUUGAACUUUUUACAAAAAUUCUCGCAAUCUAUCAGAGCGAGACGAUCGCUUUCUGAACUGUGAUUCAGAAAAGAUUGGAGACGCAUGUCAGAAUAUUCUAAAGGAAAGAAGUCAAUCAGACGUUCCACAAUGAAGCACCGUUUAACAUUUGCCACUGAUUCCUCUUCCAUGUCAGGCGUCCAGACAAAUCCCGCCUUCUUUGCCAGAAAAUACAAUGAAGUGUAUACAAAACUUGGAACAUAACACGCUUUAAUUGUGCCGCCGGCGCUUCUCUUACUCACUUGAAUGAAGCCGCGAUGGAUUAGUUCUUUCAAGAAAUGGUCGGCAGUUUCUUCACCGUUGUAUGGUACGAAACCUUCAGCUACCCACAACUGAUGUAAUUGCCUCCUGGAUAUCUCAAUACUUGGAGGGAAGACACACAAAUAGAUGAAGCAGACUUUCAAAUGAAAAGGUAACUCCAUCACAGAAAAAAUUUGUCUCCAAACUGUCGGAAUCGCUUCGCCUUGAAGAUAAUUUUCUAAUGGCAUACUUCCAUAGUGUAGGAUGAAAAAUUGCCAGGCUUCAUGCUUUAAUCUGAUCAAUGGUCCUCCAAAGAGCACUGAAUCACGCCGAAUCUUCUCUCCGUUUUCCAUUUCCAACGACGCAAGGAGGUCUGGAUUAGUGACUGUUAUCAAUACUCUGCUUCCAUUCUGCUUAUCAGGAAGAACUUCUUCAAGAUCAUCCCAUAUGUCACUGUCAUUGAAGACAUCAUCAAGCACAAUAAAGUACUUCUUGUUUGUCAGGUAAUCUCGAAGAAUAGAUUUCUUCAAGCGAUAAUCUUCACUGAUAAUUACCCUAGCCCGAGAUGGAGGCAUCAAAGAAUUGAUUAUGUCAUCCAAUAUCUUGCCAAAAUCGUAGGCUAUAGAAACCCUGACCCAAGAAAGACAGUCAAAAUAGAACUUGACAUGGUUAUUAUUGUAAGUAUCUGCAGCAAAAGCAGUCUUAUCGAAGCCACUGCUGUCGAGAAUUGCAACCACUGAAAGCCCAGAUGGUCCCUCAAUCAAUAGAUCAAAAAACUUCUCUCUGCCCCUUUCAAAUUCACUGAUAUCGAGCCGAGGUUGUCCCUCAUUCAAUAGGCGAAUGAUUUCGUUACUUUUUUCACUGAUAUCAAAACCAUUGUCGCCGGGUGGAAGUUGUUGCAUCCGAUUUCUAAUAUCAAUGAUUUUAGUGUGGAGUCCAACAAGAAGAGCCAUAUCAGUACUGCUUUCACUUUCGUUUUCACUGUUUUGCUGCUGCAUUAUGUUGAUGAAGAAUCUGUCAAUGGCUUCCUCAGAUUCAUGGACAACGGGAUUGAUGUCCUCCAGAAUUUCCAAAAUAUCUGCUGUUUCAACGUCUUCUUUAUCGCUUUCUUCUAAGUCCAACAGUUGCAAAAAAGGCAAUGAUAUUUUGGAGUCAUCGAAUUCUUCUCUAAUGAGUUGAAACAAAUGCCGAGCCAUGUCAGCUUCAUAUUUUCCCAGCAGAGUAGUAGCAAUAAUUUCGGACUCCGUAAGAAGGUUUUGAAAAAGUGGAGUUAAAUUUGUUGAAUCAGGCAAAGUUAACGUGCCUUCUUCACCUGCUAACACCCUUUUCAACCUCACACAAAACAGUCGGAGGUGGAGUUCCAGCAUAUCUCCUUCUCUCCGCAGCACUCAGAGGUAUAGUUGAAAGAUUAAACACCAUGGAAGAAUUUGAAAGGAAUAUGCCAAGAAACUGUGUAAGUGGCUAAAUUCCACAAAUGCGGCAUUAUUGCUCAUUUUUAACUCAAAAAAUUGAUACGCGUUCAUUUAGAGAAAAGUCCAAGACGCGUGCCUUUUGAAAAGAACAGGUAUCCCAAUCGGUAUCCAACCUCUAUCUUAUUUAAUUACUAUCAUGACAUAAUUGAUGGUGCUUAAAUCAAUUGUUUCUUUUUUAAUUUAAAGAAUUUUUCAUUAAAAAAAUAUUUUAAUAUCAAAUUGCCUUCAGUGGCGUAACUGCCUCAAGCCCAGUAACAGGACUAAUUAAAGAUUUUACAAUUUUUGGGCAUGGAAAUAGUAGUAUUAAAUAUUAGAAAGGUGAGGUUGUUCUGUUAAAGAAUUGAUCUUGACAUAAUUUUAUUUUGGUUUUCGUGGAAAAAUAAAAUUUGUUGACAAGCAAGAAAAUAUUUUUAUAUUUUAAAAUUUAUUAUGCAUAUUUUAUCAUAUUAAAGUAGUUUUAAUAAUAAAUAGAAACAUAAUAUUACGAUAAAUAAAUUAAAAUUUAACUUAUUUUGAAUAUUAUAAAAAAAAUUUUAAUAUUAUUAAUAGGAAGACAUUGUAUUAAUUUUAAAAUUUUUUAACCCAAAGGUUUAUUUAAAAUCUUUAUUAUAAAUACAAAUAUAAAAUUAAAUAUCAUAAUUUAAAAAUUUUAAUAUUAUUUUAAGUAUUAAAAAUAUUUUAAUGUUAUUAGUCUACUACAUAGAUCAUAUUACUUAUAUAAUAUUUGUAUUAUUAAAAAUUCUUAAAAUCAAAUUUUUAGUUAGUAUAUUCAUGAGGUAUUAUGGUUAAAAAAAAAAAAGACCUUAUUAUUACUUUUUAAAAAAUUGAGGGUCUGCGUGAUAAUUUUUUCAAAAAGAAAAUGCUUGGUAUGUAGGAGGGGUAGAGAAACAGGACUCCCAAAAUCUCUCACCCUUCUUUAAUUAAAAAUAAAUAAAAUAUUAAUAAAAAAUAAUAAAGAAAAUAGAAUUUUAUCUGCUCCUUACUCCAUUUUUGUAACUCUCUCACCAUCUCUGUCGAGCAGCCCUCUCUUUCGUUGUCUCUCACUAUUUCACGAUCUCUCUCUCACUCACACAGUCCUUUAAAAAAGCCCAAAAUAGGCCCAAUAAGCCCAUAAUUAAAAUAAUCGAAUCGAAUUAUUUUAAUUAAUCGAGUAUUUGAUUAUUUCGGUAAUUUAAUUAAUCGCAAUUAUGAUUUUAAAAUAAUCGUAAUCGAACGAUUAUGAAAAAUUUAGUAAAAAAACCGAACUGAACCGAACCGCACCCACCCCUACAUAAAAGAACAUCAAUUACUUGUCAUUUUCAAUUUUUUCUAUAAGCUAUUUAUUUUGAGCAUUAGUGAUCUUGUCUGGACUACUCCAAUUAUUGACGUAACUCCAGUGGCUGCAUCCACUGGAAAAAGUGGAUGAUAACAUUUUUUUUUUUUUCAUAAAGGUAACUACUCCAAUUAUUGACAUAAUUGAUGGUGCUUAAAUCAAUUUUUUUUUUAAUUUAAAGAAUUUUGCUUUAAAAAAUAAUUAAUAUCAAAAUGCCUUCAAUGUUGUUACCGCCACAAGCCCAGUUAGAGGACUCAUUAAAACUUUUAGAAUUUUUAGGCCUGGAAAGCAUAGUAUUAAACAUCAGAAAGCAAAGGUUGUUAUGUCGAAGAAUUGAUGUCGACAAAAUUUUAUUUUAGUUUUCGGAAAAAAAAAAUUUGUUGACAAGCAAGAAAAUAUUUUUUAUACUUUACAAUCUGCUAUACAUAUUUUAUCAUAUUAAAGUAAUUUUAAUAAUAUAUGGAAACAUAAUAUUAUAAUAAAUAAAUUAAAAUUAAAAUUACUUUGAAUUAUUAAAUAUUACAAAAAGAUAAUUUUAAUAUUAUUAAUAGGAAAACAUUUUUAAUUGUAAAAUCUUUUUAAUACAAAAAUUCAUUUAAAAUCUUUAUAAUAAAUACAAAUAUAAAAUUAAAAAUAUCAUAAUUUAAAAUUUUUAAUAUUAUUUUAAUAUUAAAAAUACUUUAAUAUUAUUAGUCUACUACAUAAAAUAUAUUAUUUAUAUUAUAUUCGUAUUGAUUAAAACGUUUUAAAGUCAAAUUUUUAAUUAUUGUAUUCAAAGGUACAAAAGAUUUUAGUAUUAUUUUUUAAAAAUUUUAGGAUAUGAAUGAUAAUUUUUUCGAAUUUUAAAGAUGUAAGAAUCUUUUUUUCUAAUAAUUUAUUUCACUUUUGAGAGAAUCCGAAAACGUUAAUUUAACAUUCUUUACCUUUGUGAAAAAAGUGAAAAUCAAGAACUAUUCAAUUUUGUUUUUAUUUGUAAUUCAAAAACUUUAUUCAUUUUCGAUGCUUUUCGAAAGAGAUUCCGUUAAAUCCUUUUGGUGUCGGCAGCUCCUGCUAUUCUCAUAAAUCUCCAUUCCACAUCUACACUAUCAAACAAGUUGAUGGAAAUUCUUAUAAAAAAAAAACAAGUCGAUGGAAAUUGAUCAAUUACUUUUUGAAGUGGACCCAUUGAGUCAUGUUCAUUUCUGGUCAUUGUCUACUCUUUCCAUCAGCCAUUUAUUUUGACCAUUUGCGAUCUUAAAGGAUAUGAGAACGUAGCUGAAGUGCUGAAGGGGCUAUUAAAGAAGAGUGUCACUUGAUCACAAUCACAUUGAUGCACAACUCACUCGUGGCAAAUUUCGACUAUACGUUCUGCAAAUUCAGCCAAACCAUACGUGCAUGAACAAAACUAAAAUGUAGUUCUAAUCACAACUCCAGUUAUGAUGUUUACCCCUCUGAUUUUUCUCCAAAACAAAUUCAGUUCAAAACAAUAAUCAAAAUAGCCACAUUUUGUUCGUCAAAAUAAAUGCCCAAAUUUUCAAUUAACAAAUCAUCUUCUCUAAACUAAAAAUCCCACAUCUCUAAAAUCAAUCUACAUAAUGUUGGAGAUGAGGGGUGAAUUGUUAACUCAGUAAAAAAAACUCAUGCAUAAUAUUACUAAUAAUAUAAAAUAUAUAUUAAUCAUUAUAAAGAAUCAUAAUUAGAAAAAUUAAUCAUUUUAUAAUUUAUUACACAAGUAAGAUAAAUCUCAUAAUAAGUUAUAACAUAAAAAAAACGUUAUCAAUAUAUAAUCAUUUAAGAAGUCAUUUAACAAUAAAAUCGUUCUUUAAUCAGUUGGUCAUGUCACAUAGUGUCAUCUAUAUUUACGGUGAUAAUAUUAUUACUCAGUAUUAUCAAAAAACAUGAUUUAACAUUUAGAGGAAAUUCUUGCCUUUUAAAAAAAAACAUGUAUGCAACAGCUACCCAUGCUUUAUCUUACCAUGACAAAUAUUUUCUCAAUGAAAGAAAAUUUUUUAAAAAUUGAUUUAAUGCACAAAUAUGAUGAUUUUUCCAAAAAUUAGUUUUGGAAAACAUAGUGAGAGAAAAUAGUGACGAUUAUUGUUUAGAUGUAUAAAUAGCCUAAACAUAAUCCUUAAUACCAAUAUCCUAAUGCAUCUUAUCAUCUUUCAUGAUAUUCUUUCAUUUAUGUCCAUUGGUUCAAGAUUUGAAUUUGAUCAUUAAAUCAUGUUCAAUAAUAUUAGAGAUUCUAACAAAUGAGUACCAACUUAAAUCCCAAUGUUAUGUGUCAUUGACCAAUUUUGUGUCAUUUUGUUAUUAACUAGGUGAUGAAUUUGUAGUUGAUAAAAUCACUUAAAAAUAUCUUAAAAAUCAAACAAUAGUUUGCUUAAUUUUUCCAAGUUAACUGCUCAAGAUGCUCUAUUAUAAAUAAUAACCUAAUUAUAUUCAUAAAAAAUGAUAUUUUUUUUGUGGUGUUGAUAAUGAGAUUAUCAUUCAACAUUUUAAAAUGUGAAAACAUAUGGAAGAUGGUUGUAAAUUGAUUGAAUGAAAACAUUUCAGUGAAGUCUCAAAAAUUUGGUACUUGUUGUCUUAUCGAAAGUUUUCUAAAUUAUAUUCGUGGCACAGCCACUAUCCAAACCAUACAAGUCCAAAGCUAUCCAAACCAUACCUGCAAGUCCGGGGCUUAAAUGGAGUACUUCUAAGCAAAAAAACAUUGACUAAAAUAGAAUAUAUACAUACAGACACACAUACAUACCAGCAUAUUCAAAAUAGCAAAAGGAGUGCAAAAGUUCAAGUUUGUAGACAACAUUGCAACCAUAGCAUGUUUAUAGCAAAUCCUCAAAAUCUGCUAAAUAAAACAAUGCCCUGUCUCAUGAAUCAAUGCUGAAUUAAAAUUGAAACUGAAAGUCUGGAUGGUUUUGUUUGUUGAGAAUGUCAAAUAAAACGGCAUUGAAGGAAGUUUUCAAAGGCAGAAUCCGCACUUGUCAAAGGGAUGACCUGCACUUGUCAAAGACACGAUCCGCGCCGAACGGAUCGACACAUUUCCUUCCGUAUUCACAUAUGUAAACUUUGAAAAAAUAUAGCUUCUGCAUCUAUAAAUAACGCUCAGUGUAUAAUGUUUUAUUCAAGAAAUAAAAACAAGUUUCUACAUGGUAUCAGAGCCAUGAAUGCGCUCAAGUUUCUUCAAGUUUCGCUGCUCUGUUUGUCACAAAAACAGAGGAAACCAAUUAAAUUCGUCCCACAACCAUUUUUUCCACCAUUUUCUUCCUUAAAAUCAUUCCUAACAUUACAGAAAUCCAUGCCGAUCAAAAACAUGAAAGACAAAUUACACAUGUGCAGUAACCAAUGAUCAUAUUUUGUUACUGUCAAACACAAUGCAUCUGAGCAAAACAUUGGAAGCCAACACCAGAAUACAUAUGAAUAAACAAUUAAAGAUAGAGAAAAAAGGCUUAAACCUUGGGGGAAAAAGUGAAAAAACAUGAAAGACAAAUUACACAUGUGCAGUAACCAUCGAACUUAUCAGUGACAGCUGCAUCUAUUACAUUGCUCCAACAACACAAGGGCAAACCACCAGUUUCAAAUUGAGGAUAGCUAUCGAGAAUGAGAAAGUGUCCAAAACGUCAUAAAUAGACAUGUUCCUAUUGUGCAUAAUUUACAUUAUAGGCAAAUAUUUUUAUACCAUCAAAGGCAAAACAUGACACUAACAAUUGAUCACCCCCCCCCCCCCCCCCCCCAACAACAAAAAAAAGGAAAAAACAAUACAGAAAAGAUUGAAACAGAUAAGGCUACACUGAGCACAGGAUGCCAUGAAACAUAAUCCAGGAACCAAAUUAAUAAAAAAGGAAGCCAAACCAUUAUUUAACAAUCUGUUUUGUAUUUGGGAAAGUCUGAUAAAAUCUACUUGGGGAUAAUUAGAGAACCUCAACUAUUAAUCACACCUCAUAAAUGAACUAACAUUAAACAUCUACCAUCCCAACGUCACACAAACAUUCUCUACACUUCUGAACCUAAUACUUCCAUCUUCAAUUGGGGGUUUUUUUUUUCUUUUUCUUUGGGGGGGGGGGGGGAUUGAAAUGCUGAUUUCGAAUCACUAACAGUAAAAUUGGAAGCUCAUGAAAAAAUAGUUUUAUCUCAAAAUUACAUCUCGAUAUAAAUUCUCUUUUCAUUUCCUUCAACUUUCUAAUUAAGCUUAAAAAAUGUACCUUCAACCACAAAGGGGUUUAAAAUUUAAAAUAUAAAAAAUAAAUUCAGAUAACAAUAAUUAAUUUAAUUAAAAAUAUAAAUAGAGUUACAGAGAAAGAGAAAAUAGAGAAAGACGUAAUGUUGAGUCCUUUGGCGCAAGUCUCUUCAUAGGUCCGAACCAUUUCUUCGGGCGUGGGUUUCGGGUCUUUAGGAUACUCCAUAGUGAUAAGCCAGUGAUUGUAAUCGCAACCCUCGAACAGAAUCGUGUCGGGUGUGAUCUCGUCGCCGUCCUUAUACAAGUGGUACGUCUUGUUAACCGACGGCGUAGACGAGAGGGAGAUCGUCGGGGACGAUCUGAACGGCCGAGAUUGGAUAAUGAUGGAGGAGGAGAAGAUUAGCGAUGACGACGCCGAUGAAAUGGAAGGGUUUACCAGAGGAGUGGAUGCGAAGAAUGCAGGGACGGCCGCAAAGAGAGAGCGGCGGAGAGCGGCGACGGACGGUAGUGACCGGCGGAGAGCGGAAGAUGGCGGUAUGGGCCAUUGCUUGCGCGUCAGUGAGUGUCUCGAGUGAGGAGUGAAGGGUUUUGUACUUUUGUUUAGGGUUUUGGGAAAUGAAAAAUGCAAAUGUUUGAUUUUGUUGCUAGAAACUUCUUCUGCCGCCGCUUUUUAUUUUCGCUAAAUAAUAAUAAUAAUUUGUUAAUAAAAUACUUUCUUAGAAAAGAUAAAUUUAUAGAACAAAAUUUAUAUUAAAUCAAAUUGUAAAAAUGUGGAAUAGGGCUAAUUUCUCCUGAAUAUUAUUAUUAGUAGAAGUAGAUUUUCGAAAUAGUCUUGAUAUAUUUCAAAGUUGUAUUAUAGAUGUACAUGUAUCUGGAUUGUAAUUAUAUUUUAAAAAAUAUACAUUUUUUUUCAUUAUUGCACAAUAAAUGUAGAAAGUGUCUAUAAAAUAAUAUUAUUAGAACUAUGAAAAUAUAUUAUUUUAGAGUAGUUAUUUAUUUAUUUUUGAAUAAAUAAUUUAUUAAUUUAUUAAUUUAUUGAUAAAUUAAUAAAUAUUAAUUUAAAGAGAGAUUUUUUUUUUUGGGGGUUUUUAAGAAGAGUUUUGUUGGUAUAUGUACAAACUUAUAAAGAAAUACAAAAAAUGCUUCCUCAAGUCAAUAGUAUUUACUUUAAUUCAUAAUAGUAUAGUUUAAUCAAGAAACUUAUAAUUAUACUAUAUCUUUCUUUCUUUGUUCUAUUUGGUGGGACAUUGUGAUAAAUCAUUGGAUUAAAAUGCAUUUCUAAAUGAAAACUUGUUAAAACCUAAUUUAUUUGGGAACGACAUUUUAUUUGUCAGUCGUAUUUCUCAACUUCGUAAGUUAUUUCUAAUUUAUCGGUCUCUAUUGGUUCUCUUAAGUACCUAUUUGGCAUGACUUAUUUAAUAGUAAUAAGUGCUUAUUUAAUCUCAUAAGUUUUUUCCCUCUCUGACAAUUGAGUUAGGGGGUCAAACUUGAAAGUAUCUUAAAAUUAGACAACAAUUUAACUAUUUUUUUUUUUUUAGAUAACUGCUAAUAUGCUCUAUUAGACAAUGAUGAGUGAUAACCUAGGUGUUUGCAUUUAAAGGGAUACUUUUUGUGGUGUUGAUAAAGAGGUUAAGUAUGAUUCAACAAUUUAAAAUAUGAAAACAUAUGGAAGACGGCCGCAAUUAAAUUAAUUGUAUGAAAAUAUUUCAAUGAAAUUUUAAAAAUUUAGUAUUUGUUAUCUUAUCGAGAGUUUUUUAAAAUUAUAUUACUACUUGAACUUGACUGCUUUUGUAUUUAAUUCCUACCGUUGCCAUUGCUUCUACUCAAAAGCCAUUUAAGUUUGUGUAAGCUACGUAUAGUUUGAACAACAAUUUACUCAUGAAUUGUUGUUCAUAAUAGCAUCAGUGCAUGCAUCAUUUUAAUGAGAAAGAAUAUUCUAAGAACGAAAUUGAACGUGGGAGGUAUCGGGAAGGAAUUGGAAUGGAAUAAUAUCGAUUCAUAUAGAUACAGAAGAAAAAGUUCUCUAUUGAUUCAAAUGCUGUGCCUAUGGGAUAAGGAUAGAGAAAGAGGAAAAAACCGAAGCCAGAAAUGUACACGCAUGAGGAACUUUUCCUAGAAGAUUGAUAUUUCUUUGACUAGCAAACCAUACAAGUCCAAAGCUAGCCAAACCAUACCUGCAAGUCGGGGGUUUAAAUGGAAUACUUCUAAGCAUAAAACAUUGAUUAAAACAGAAUACACACAUACAUACCAGCAAAUUCAAAAUAGCAAAAGGAGUGCAAAAGUUCAAGUUUGUAGACAACAUUGCAACCAUGGCAUGUUUAUAGCAAAUCCUCGAAAUCUGCUAAAUAAAACAAUGCCCUGUCUCAUGAAUCAAUGCUGAAUUAAAAUUGAAACUGAAAGUCCGGCUGGCGUUGUUUCCCUCUCCAAUUUUGCCUACAUAAGUGAAAAUAAGAAUAAUAAAUGAAAAUCUGCUUUUACGGUUCUUAUUAGAUAGAUAAAAGGGGGAUCUUUCUUUGUUUCUCUGCUGCAAUGUGUGGCUAUCCCACUCUGUUUUGCCACCCAAGCUGAGUCUAUGCUGAGACAUAAUUUUGACAUCAGAAGCAAUCUCAAUUAGUUUGGCACUUUUAAGCAAUCUCAUAUUUUGCUCACUUGAAGGUUUUACGAUAAACAUAAAUCUACAGAGAAAGUGGGAAAAAAAAAAGAAAAUGCAUAUAAAUAUAUGAGUUAUCAGAUAAGAUUAAAACUCACCCAAUUCAAUCCAUCAGAUUCCGUAAGGAUAUAACUGGAUGUCAUACCGCCACUCCAUAUCCUUGAAAGUCCGUAGUGUUUGUCUCAACUCUGUCUGAGGCCAAUGUAAAUUCAAUUUGCGCAAGCUCUUUAUGCACCACAGCUCUUCUGGAAGCUUUCUCAAGUAAGCACAUGGGUUGACAAUUAAGCUUUCAAGUUUCGGCAUUGCUCCAGCCCCCAUCGUCCACUCAUCUAGCCAAUACAUUGAUUUCAGGUGCAAAACCUUAAGUUCCGGAAAGCUACUCAAGCCAACACAAGCAAGCUUUCUUCCUAAAUACGAGUUCUGCUUCAGUUUCAGCACUCGAAGGCGUGGAAGAUUUUCCAGAAUUGGCAUGGGAUCCUCCAUUAGCUCAGUAUUUGAUAAGCUCAGUUGGAUCAGACUUGGGGGAAAUUGGUAUUCAGACAGGACCAUCCGUGAGGGCUUGCUCUCAUUCACCAGCUUCAAGCAUUCAAGUUUGUGGAGUUCGCAAAGGCUUUUGGAAACCGCAGAUUGAUAGUAACUCAAAUCUCCAGAUAUCCGAAGAGUCUGAACACUAGGUAGUCUGCCCAAUAUAUCAGGAGUACAACUACUAGGGUUUAAAGCUGAUAUGAAAAUGAGAUUUUUCAGAGAGCUGGAAUAAUUUUUUGGAGGUGCGGGCAGAGUGAUAGAACCAAAGUUUAGAUGCAUGAGUUUUUGCAUCAUCCAAAUAUCCUCUGGUGACUGAUCUAUGUAGCUAGAUGGCAUUUCUAGUGUUUCAAGGUUUAAAAGGGUGCAUAGCAGCGAAGGAAGGCGUUUGAGCAAAGGGAUAUUCAAUUUCAAAUACUUCAAAAGGAAUAAAUUUUCUAAUCCGGGUGGAAAUUGGUCGAGAACUGCAGAACCGAAGUUCAGUACCCGAAGGUGUUUGAACUUUUUACAAAAAUUCUCGCAAUCUAUCACAGCGAGAUGAUCGCCUUCUAAACUUUGAUUGAUAAAAGAUUGGAGAUAGAUCUCACCAUGUUCUAAAGAAAUGAAGUCAGUCAGAUGUUCCAAAAUGAUGUAGCGUUUAACAUUUGCAAAUGGUUCCGCUUCCAUUCCAGGCAUCCAGAGAAAUUUCGUCUUGUCUGCCACCAAACCCAAUGAAGUAUAUACAAAACUUGGAACAUAGCAAGCUUUAAUUGUGCCGCCGGCUCUUCUCUUACUCACUUGAAUGAAGCCGCGAUGGAUUAGUUCUUUCAAGUAAUGUUCGGCAGUUUCUUCACCGUUGUAUGGUAUGAAACCUUCAGCUACCCACAACUGAUAUAAUUGCUCCGUAGAUAUCUCCAUACUUGGAGGGAAGACCAACAAAUAGAUGCAGCAGACCUUCAAGUGAAAAGGUAACUCCAUCACAGAAAAAAUUUGUCUCCAAACUGUCGGAAUCGCUUCGCCUUGAAGAUAAUUUUCUAAUGGCAUACUUCCAUAGUGUAGGAUGAAAAAUUGCCAGGCUUCAUGCUUUAAUCUUAUCAAUGGUCCUCCAAUGAGCACUGAAUCACGCCGAAUUUCCUCUCCAUUUUCCAUUUCCAACGACACAAGGAGGUCUGGUUCAGUGACUGUUAUCAAUACUCUGCUUCCAUUCUCAUCAUCAGGGAGAACUUCUUCCAGAUCAUCCCAUAUCUCACAGUCAUCGAAGACGUCAUCAAGCACAAUAAAAUACUUCUUGUUUGUUAGGUAAUCUCGAAGAAUAGAUUCCUUGAAUUGAUAAUCUUCACCGAUAAUUACACUAACCCGAGAUGGAGGCAUCACAGACUUGAUUAUGUCAUCCAAUAUCUUGCGAAAAUCGUAGAGUAGAGAAACCCUGACCCAAGCAAGACAGUCAAAAUAGAACUUGACAUAGUUAUUAUUGUAAGUAUCUGCAGCAAAAGCAGUCUUAUCGAAGCCACUGCUGUCGAGAAUUGCAACCACUGAAAGCCCAGAUGGUCCCUCAAUCAAUAGAUCAAACAACUCCUCUCUGCCCCUUUCAAAUUCACUGAUAUCAAGCCGAGGAUGUCCCUCAUUCAAUAGGCGAAUCAUUUCGUUACUUUUUUCACUGAUAUCAAAACCAUUGUCGCCGGGUGGAAGUUGUUGCAUCCGAUUUCUAAUAUCAAUGAUUUCACUGUGGAGUCCAUCAGGAAGAGCCAUAUUAGUGCUGCUUUCACUUUCGUUUUCACUGUUUUGCUGCUGCAUGAUGUUGAUGAAGAAUGUGUCAAUGACUUCCUCAGAGUCACGGACAAAGUUAUUGAUGUCCUUCAGAAUUUCAAAAAUAUCUGCUGUUUCAACGUCUUCUUCAUCGCUUUCUUCUAAGUCCAACAGUUGCAAAAAAGGCAAAGAUAUUUUGGAGUCAUCGAUAUCUUCUCUAAGGAGUUGAAUCAAAUGCCGAGCCAUGUCGGCUUCAUAGUUUCCCAGAAGAGUAGUAGCAAUAAUUUCGGACUCCGUAAGAAGGUUUUGAAAAAGUGGAGUUAAAUUUGUUGAAUCUGGCAGAGGCAACGUGCCUUCUUCACCUGCUAACACCCUUUUCAACCUCUCACAAAACAGUCGGAGGUGGACGUCCAGCAUAUCUCCUUCUCUCUGUAGCACCCAGAGGUAUUGUUUUUUGCUCCAAGAAAUAUUAAAAGGAUUGGUUCUAUCUAAAAGUGGUUACUGGUGUAAAAUUAAACGCCAUGGGAGAAUUUGAAAGGAAGAUGCCAAGGAACUGGCGAAGUGGCUAAAUUCCACAAAUACGGCAUUAUUGCUCAUUUUUAACUCAAAAAAUUGAUACGCCUUCAUUUAGCGAAAAGUCCAAGACGCUUGCCUUUUGAAAAGAAGAGGUAUCCAUAGAUAUCCAACAUUUAUCUUAUUUUAAUUACUACCACGACAUGAUUGAUGGUUGUUAAAUCAAUUGUUUCUUUUUUAAUUUAAAGAAAUUUUCAUUAAAAAAUAGUUUAAUAGACACAUAAUAUUACAAUAAAUAAAGUAAAGUUUAAAUUAUUUUGAAUAUUAUAAAAAAUAAUUUUAAUAUUAUUAAUAGGAAGACAUUUUGUUAAUUUUAAAAUCUUUUUAACCCAAAGGUUUAUUUAAAAUCUUUAUUAUAAAUACAAAUAUAAAAUUAAAUAUCAUAAUUUAAAAUUUUUAAUAUUAUUUUAAGUAUUAAAAAUAUUUUAAUGUUAUUAGUCUACUACAUAGAUUUUAUUAUUUAUAUUAUAUCUGUAUUGAUUAAAAUUUUUUAAAGUCAAUUUUUUAGUCAAUAUAUUCAAGAGGUAUUAUAGUUAAAGAAAAGAUUUUGGUGUUAUUUUUUGAAAAUUUUAAGGUUUAAAUGAUUUUUUUUUUAAUUUUAAGGAUGUGGGUAUUAUUUUUCCGACAAUUUAUUUUAUUUUUGGGGAAUCCGAUGAGAAAUAUCAUGAGAGAAGGUUAAUUUUACAUUCUUUACCUUUAUGAAAAAAGUGGAAACCAAGAACUAUUCAAUUUUGUAUUUUUUGUUUGUAAUUCAAAAAAUGCAUCCACCAAACAAGCUUAUCUUGAUUUUCCCACUUUAUUCAUUUUCGAUCCUUUAAUCCAUCUAGCAUCUGCAGCCCCCGCUAUUUUCACAAAGAGUAAUGAUACAGCCACAAAUUCUUGUACAAAUUUAUUUUGUAUAAACUGACGUGGCAUGAUAAGAUUGGUUGAAUUAAAUAUCACUUGGCCCACAUGAUUUGUUUUUAUUAUUUUAUAUUUUUAUUCAACCAAUGAAUUAAUGCCACGUCAGUUUGUACAAAAUAAAUUUGUACAAGAGUUUGUGGCUGUAUCAUUACUCUGUCAAGAAUCUCCAUCCCACAGCUACACUAUCAAACAAGUUGAUGGAAAUUGAACAAUUGCUUUUUGAAGUGGACCCAUUAGGUUAUGUUCAUUACUGGUCAUUGUCUAUUCUUUCUAAGAGCCACUUAUUUUGAGCAUUAGCGAUCCUAUCUGGACUACUCCAAUUAUUGAUGUAACUCCAAUGGUUGCAUCAACAGUUGAAUGUAAGAUAGUGUCAGUUCUUUUUUGAGAAUAUAGAGGGAUCUUUAUUUGUUUCUCCGUUGCAGCGUAUUAGUAUAAAUUUCUUGACCUUACAGUUCCUACAGUCUUCCUGUUAAUGAAUUCGCUGAGGCAUUAUUGAUCCAAUCUCAGUGAAGUAAUUGUGGGUGAAAAAAAAAUAAAGGAUAAGAGAACGUAGCUCAAGUGCUGAAUUGACUAUUAAAGAAGAGCGUCACCUGAUCACAAUCACAUUGAUGCACAACUCACUCGAGGCAAAUUUCAUCUAUAUAUACUGCAAAUUCAGCCAAGCCAUGCAUGCAUGAACAAAACUAAAAUGAAGUUCAUAAUCACAACUGUAAUUAGAGCUACAAAAGGUGGCAAACCAUACAUGCAUGAACAAAAUUAGACAUAAAUUGAAGCCACAACAUUAAUUGAAGCCACAAAAGCCAGCAAAUCCAAAUGAAAACUUAAAAGGAAGAUCUUAUCGAAGUUUGUCCCCAAAAGACAGCGGAAAUGAAAAAUAUUGACUAUCGAGUGGAUCAAUGCUGAAUUACAUUUGACCUGGAAAGCUUGGCUGCAGUUGCGAUGUUCCCCCUCUGAUUUUCCCUAAAACAAAUUCAGUUGUAAACAAUAACUGGAGUAGCAACAAUUUAUUCAUUAUAGAAAAUACCUAAAUUUUCAACUAUCAAAUCCUCUUGUCUAAACUAAAAAACUCAUAUCUCUAAAAUCUAUAUACAAAAUGUCAUAAAUGAGGGUGAUCUCUCAAUUCGGUAAACAAAUUCAUGCAUAAUAUUACCAAUAAUGAUAAAUUACAUAAUAAUUAUUAUAAAGAAUCAUAAAUUGGAAACAUUAAUCAUUUUAAAAUCUAUUACAUAAUAAAAAUAAAUCUUAUAAUAAGUUACGUUAGAACAUAACAAAUAUUUAAAAUGAUAUAUAUAAUUAUUUAAGAAGUCUUUUAACAAUAAUUUUUUUUUUCUUUUUCAGUUGAUCAUGUCAUAGCGUUAUCUAAAAUGCUAGCGAUAUCAUUAUUCCCCACUUUUCUCAAAAAAAAGAAAAAGAUAAAGAAAAAAGAAAUAUGAUUAACGUUUGGAGAAAAGUCAUGCCUUUUAAAAAGAAUAUGUAUACAAUACCAAUUCAUACUUUAUCUUACCAUAAAAAAAUUGUUUAAAAUAGAUUUAAUGCACAAAUAUGAUGACUUUUGGCAGAAAUGAGUUUCGGAAAUAUUGGGAUGAAAACCAUAUUGGUUCAGACUUAAAAUUACUUAAUAAAAUUACUUAACUACCAUUUAAUAAAUAAAAAUCAUAUUAGUUGAAAGUUAAAUUAAGAUUUAAAUGUUGAGAUAUCUAACGUUACUCAAUCAGAAUAAACAAUAAUCAAUUCAAAUUAUGACUAUCAUGUAGAAGCAAAUGUUUAUGCUUGGGUCUUUUACUUCUUGAAUUUGAUUGGAAAAAUUUCUGAGACAGGGAAGUGAGUGUUUUGGAUAAUAUUUUUCGGGAUUGAAACCACAAGUUGGUCGAGGAAAAUAAUUUUGGACAAAUUUUUAUUAUAUUGUAGAACCUUUUUGGUUCCUUUUGUGUCGGCAGCCCCUCACUAUUCUCUUAACCCUGAGUUUUGAGAUAGAAAUUUCCCGAACUCCAACCCCACAUCCACAGACAAGUUGAUUGAAACAAUUGCUCUUGUAAUUAAGAGGAUGAGUUAGGGUUCAGUUCUUAUCAUUGUCUGUUAUUUCUUUGAAUCAUUAUCUUAGUUAAUUACAUCAAUUGUUUCUUUUCUUAAUUUAAAGAAUUUUUCUUUUAAAAAAAUAUUUUAAUAUCAAAAUGCGUUAAAUGGUAUUACUGCCGCAAUCCCAGUAACAGGAUUAAUUAAAAAAAUAUUCUUAGGAAGAUAUUUUGUUUAUUGUAAAAUCUUUUUAACCCAAAGGUUUAUUUAAAAUCGUUAUAAUAAAUAAAAAUAUAAAAAAAAAUAAAUAUCAUAAUUUAAAAUUUUAAUAUUAUUUUAAAUAUUAAAAAUACUUUAAUGCUAUUAGUCUACUACACAGGUUAUAUUACUUAUAUUAUAUUUGUAUAAAUUAAAACUUUUAAAGUUAAAUUUUUAAUUACUAUAUUGAAAAGGUAUUAUGGUUAAAAAAAGUUUUGGCAUUUGUUUUUUGAAAAUUUGAGGGUCUGCAUGACAAUUUGUCCAAAUCCUAGAGGUAUAGGUGUCUUUUUUUUUCGAUAAUUCAUUUUACUUUUGAGGGAAUCCGAUGAGAAAUAAGAUAAGAGAAACGUCAAUUUAACGUUCUCUAGGGAAAACCAAGAACUAUUCAAUUUUGUAUUUUUUGUUUGUAAAACAAAAAACAGUUUGCCAAAAAAGGUACCAAACAUAUCCUUAAUGUCUCACAUGAUUUCUUAUUAAGUCCAUACUCGAUAUAUUUAUACAUUUUAGGUAUUUUAGUUAUAAAAGAAGUUGGUCCUCCCUCUGUUUAUAAAAGGUAACUUUAUUUCGAGAUUACCACUAAAGUCUUACAAAGAAUUAGUGUAAUGUUAAGAGAGACUAACACAGUUUUCCAUUACCAUUUUGAAAAUAGAAAGAUAUGGAUGUGUGCAUUUAAUGGUGCGUUUACUUGCCGGAUUGGGGAAUCAGAAUCUGGAAUCAGAAUGAUUGAUGGUGUUUACUUCACAAAUAUGGAGCAGGAAUCGGAAUUGGAAUGGUGGGGCCCACCACUAUUUGGGAAUGGGAGAUUGAUUCCCAUGGGGGAAGGUGGGAAUGAGUCUCUCAUUCCCUGGAUUGACCAUUUUGCCCUCCCUCAAAAUUAAAAAUGCCUACUUUGUCCUCUUUUAUAAUUAAUUAAUAUAAUAUUAUAAUUAAUUAAUUAAUAUAUAAAUAUUUUAUUAACUAUAAUUAUUAAAAAUUAUAGUUCUUGAAUAAAUAAUCACAAUAAUUAAUUUAUUAUUAUUAUUGUUAAUGAAUUAAUAUAAUUAUUACUAUUAAUUAAUAUAUUAAUAUAUUAUUAACAAUAAUAUAUUAAUAAUUAUUGUUCGUGAAUAAAUAAUCACAAUAAUUAAUAUAUUAUUAUUGAAAUUAAUUAAUUAAUAUACUAUUAUAAUAAUUAUUAUAAUUAAUUCAUAUAUUAUUAUUAAUUAAUUAAUAAAAUUAAAAUUAUUAAUUAAAUAAAUAAUAUAAUUAUUACUACUAAUUAAUAUAUUAAUAUAUUAUUAAAAAUAAUUAUUAAUAAUUAUAAUUUUUGAAUAAAUAAUCACAAUAAUUAAUAUAUUAUUUUAAUUAAGUAAUUAAUAUUAAUAUUAUUAGUUAAUAUAUUUUUAUAAUAAUUUUUGAUAUAGUUAUUAUAAUUAAUUAAAAUUUUUUACAAUUAAUUAAUAUAUUAGUUAAUAAUAAUUAUGACAAUAAUUCAUUAAGUACUUUUUAGUAAUUUGUUACAAUCUAAUUCAUUCCGAUUCCGAUUUCAAGACAAAGUAAACACAUUAAUGGCAAUCUAGCUCAUUCCGAUUUCGAUUCUUACAGUUCAAGUAAACAACUUAUUUUGAUUCCCAUUACCUAUUCCCAUUCCAGCCCAUUCUCAUUUCUGCCCAUUUCAAUUCCAGCUCAUUCCGAUUCCAGUUUAGUAAACGCAGCAUAAGAGUUAUCAUGAAAAUCAUACAAUUUAAUUUCCUGAAAUAUAUAUUUUAUUCACAUGUGCCAAAAGAAUAAAUAGAUAGAAAGUAAAUUUACAAUCCUCACUCCCUCAUAAUUGUUAAAGUGAAUAUGCAUUACAACUGUGAACUGUCACUACUUUAGCCCUUUAUUUGUUUUUUCAAUUAUAGUGUGAUGGAGACAGUGAACAUUAAGGAUAAAGUGCUCUGCUGAAAGCCAAACUUCCUUUGGCUAAUUAAUUUAGAAGUAAAGCAGAGAAUAAAGUCCUUGAUGCCUUCUGAAAUUAGAAAUACAUUUUAUAUGCUUUAAUUAUGAUUAUUUGGUAGACUAUUGACCAAAAGACAUGUUAAAGUAUAAAACAGAGCGAUUAAAGAAAAAAAAAAGGAGCGUUUGUGACGUAGAAUAACAAUUUGUAAGCAAAGUCCUAAUUUGAGUUGUCAAAAAGCAAACAUAACAGAGAAGGUAAGAGAGAUGCAAAAACAGAAAACUAUUAGCUUAUCUUGAUUUUCCCACUAUAUUCAUUUUCGAUGCUUUUCAAACGAGAUUCUUUUAAUCCUUCUGGCGUCUGCAGCCCCUGCUCUUCUUAUAAAUCUCCUUCCCACAUCUGCACUACGAACAAGUUGACUAAAAUUAAAUAAUGUUGGAGACGAGGGGUGAGCCGUCAACUUAUUAAAAAAAACUCAUGUAUAAUAUUAUCAAUAAUAUAAAAUAUAUAAUAAUUAUUAUAAAGAAUCAUAAAUUAGAAAAAUUAAUUAUUUUACAAUUUAUUUCUUAAGUAAGAUAAAUCUCGUAAUAAGUUAAGUUUAAUGUAAAAAAUAUUUUCAAUUUAUAAUCAUUUAAGAAGUCAUUUAACAAUAAAAUCUUUUUUUUGAUCAGGUGGCCAUGCCAUAGAGUAUCAUCUAUAUUCGUGGUGAUAUUAUUAUUACUCAAUAUCCUCAAAAGACACUAUUUAACAUUUAGAGAAAAUUUCUGCCUUUUAAAAAGAACAUGUAUGCAAUAGCUAGCCACACUUUAUUUUACCACGACAAAAUUGAUAGUGAUUAAAUCAAUUUUCUCAAUUAAAGAAAUUUUUUUUAAAUUGAUUUAAUGCACAAAUAUGAUGAGUUUUUGCAAAAAUUAGUUUUGGAAAAUAUAGUGAGAGAGAAUGGUGACGAUUAUUUUUCAGAUGUGCAAAUAGCCUAAACAUAAUCUCUAAUACCAAUAUCCUUGUGCAUCUUAACACCUUUCAUGAUAUUCUUUCAUUCAUAACCAUUUGUUCAAUAUUUGAAUUUGAUUAUUAAAUUAUGUUCAAUAAUGUUAGAGACCCCAACAAUUGGGUACCAACUUAAAUCCCAAUGCUAUGUGUCAAUGUAACAUAGCAAAAUCCCAUUAACAAAUGUUGUGUCAUUUAUCAUUAUUGAAUGAAUAAUUCGUUAAUUUAUUGAUAAAUGAAAAUUUAUUAAUUUAAAGAGAGAUUUUUUUUUUUGGUUUUAAGAAGAGUUUUGUUGGUACAUGUACAUACUUAUAAAGGAAAAACUUGUAAUUAUACUAUAUCUUUCUUUCUUUGUUCAGUUUGGUGGGAUAUUGUGAUAAAUCAUUGGAUUAAAAUGCAUUUCUAAAUUGAAACUUGUUAAAAUCUAAUUUAUUUGGGAAACGCAUAUUAUUUGUCAGUCGUACUUCUCAACUUAGCAAGUUAUUUCUAACUUGUCGGUCUCUAUUGGUUCUCUUAAAACUAAUAGUCUCGUAUCUCCCGCAUUUGAUAUCUUGCCAUUACUGUUGGCAUUAACAUGUUACCUGAGAUUGGGAUUCAUUAAAAUCCUCAAUGUAAUCGGUGGAACGAAUGGAUUUCUUCUGUUCACCAAUCCACCAAAAUUUCUGUAAUUAAAUUCAAAAGUCAAGAUCUAUGCUUAUAAUCUAUUCAACAGCUAAUAUUCUAUUUUAUAUUUACUUAAAUAUGAAGAGCUAUGCUUGUAGUUAACUUCAAAUGUGAUCGAAGCAGCCUUACAUCUAUAUAUUACUUAUGCCCAACCUUUUUUUUUGACUUCAUAUACAUUCUUUUCAUGUUAUUUACUCUUUUUUCCCCCUCUCUGACAAUUGAGGUAGGGGGUCAAACUUGAAAGUAUCUUAAAAUCAGACAAUAAUUUUUUUUUUUUAAAGAUAGCUACUAAUAUGCUCUAUUAGACAAUGAUAAGUAAUAACCUAGUUGUUUGCAUUAGAAAUGAUAUUUUUUGUGGUGCUGAUAAAGAGGUUGAUUAUGAUUCAACAAUUUAAAAUAUGAAAACAUGUGGAAGACGGCCGCAAUUAAAUUGAUUGUAUGAAAAUAUUUCAAUGAAAUUUUAAAAGUUUAGUACUUGUUAUCUUAUCGAGAGUUUUUUUAAAUUAUAUUACUACUUGAACUUGACUGCUUUUGUAUUGAAUUCCUACCGUUGCCAUUGCUUCUACUCAAAAGCCAUUUAAGUUUGUGUAAGCUACCUAUAGUUUGAACAACAAUUUACUCAUGAAUUGUUGUUCAUAUUAGCAAUUUGAUUGAAAGUGCGGCUGCACUAAUUUUCUAGAUGAAUUUUUUCCUACAUGCUUGUUCUCGUAUGACCCAAAAUCCUACUACAUCAGUUGUAUUAGAAAUUAAUCAACUGGGUUACAAUUAUGCAUCCCCACCAAUAUUUAAGCAAUUUAAUUACAGAAAUAUUUCUUGAGGAAAGAAACUCAUAUCGCCACUAGGCUUGUAAUGAGGCUCAUUUUUAUGAAUCUGGAUGGCAUUAGAUAUCUCUACGAAUAUUGGUGGGAGUAGAUCGCAGAUCUCUGGGCUAUACUACAAAGUUUAUGUACGUUGACUCUCAAUAAAUACAAACGAUUCUCUGAUAUGAUUCAAACAUCAGUGCAUGCAUCAUUUUAAUGAGAAAGAAUAUUCUAAGAACGAAAUUGAAGGUGCAAUCAGCAGCUAAAAUGAAGCCAGAAAUGUACAUGCAUGAGGAAUUUUUCCUAGAAGAUUGAUAUUUCUUUGACUAGCAAACCAUACAAGUCCAAAGCUAGCCAAACCAUACCUGCAAGGUGGGGGUUUAAAUGGAAUACUUCUAAGCAUAAAACAUUGAUUAAAACAGAAUACACACAUACAUACCAGCAAAUUCAAAAUAGCAAGAGGAGUGCAAAAGUUCAAGUUUGUAGACAACAUUGCAACCAUGGCAAGUUUAUAGCAAAUCCUCGAAAUCUGCUAAAUAAAACAAUGCCCUGUCUCAUGAAUCAAUGCUUAAUUAAAAUUGAAACUGAAAGUCUGGCUGACGUUGUUUCCCUCUCCAAUUUUGCCUACAUAAGUGAAAAUAAGAAUAAUAAAUGAAAAUCUGCUUUUACAGUUCUUAUUAGAUAGAUAUAAAUGGAUCUUUCUUUGUUUCUCUGCUGUAUUUUGUGGCUAUCCCACUCUGUUUUGCCAGUCAAGCUGAGUCUAUGUUGAGACAUAAUUUUGACAUCAGAAGCAAUCUCAAUUAGUUUGGCACUUUUAUGACCUCCUUAAAGGUUUUACAAUAAACAUAAAUCUACUGAGAAAGUGGGAAAAAAAAGAAAAUGCAUAUAAAAAUAUGAGUUAUCAGAUAAGAUUAAAACUCACCCAAUUCAAUCCAUCAGAUUCCGUAAGGAUAUAACUGGAUGUCAUACCGCCACUCCAUAUCCUUGAAAGUCCGUAGUGUUUGUCUCAACUCUGUCUGAGGCCAAUGUAAAUUCAAUUUGCGCAAGCUCUUUAUGCACCACAGCUCUUCUGGAAGCUUUCUCAAGUAAGCACAUGGGUUGACGAUUAAGCUUUCAAGUUUCGGCAUUGCUCCAGCCCCCAUCGUCCACUCAUCUAGCCAAUACAUUGAUUUCAGGUGCAAAACCUUAAGUUCGGGAAAGCUACUCAAGCCAACACAAGCAAGCUUUCUUCCUAAAUACGAGUUCUGCUUCAGUUUCAGCACUCGAAGGCGUGGAAGAUUUUCCAGAAUUGGCAUGGGAUCCUCCAUUAGCUCAGUAUUUGAUAAGCUCAGUUGGAUCAGACUUGGGGGAAAUUGGUAUUCAGACAGGACCAUCCGUGAGGGCUUGCUCUCAUUCACCAGCUUCAAGCAUUCAAGUUUGUGGACUUCGCAAAGGCUUUUGGAAACCCCAGAUUGAUAGUAACUCAAAUCUCCAGAUAUCCGAAGAGUCUGAACACUAGGUAGUCUGCCCAAUAUUUCAGGAGUACAACUACUAGGGUUUAAAGCUGAUAUAAAAAUGAGUUUUUUCAGAGAGCUAGAAUAAUUUUUUGGAGGUGCGGGUAGAGUGAUAGAACCAAAGUUUAGAUGUAUGAGUUUUUGCAUCAUCCAAAUAUCCUCUGGUGACUGAUCUAUGUAGCUAGAUGGCAUUUCUAGUGUUUCAAGGUUUAAAAGGGUGCAUAGCAGUGGAGGAAGGCAUUUGAGCGAAGGGAUAUUCAUUUUCAAAUACUUCAAAAGAUAUAAAUUUUCUAAUCCAGGUGGAAAUUGGUCGAGAACUGCAGAACCGAAGUUCAGUACCCGAAGGUGUUUGAACUUUUUACAAAAAUUCUCGCAAUCUAUCACAGCGAGAUGAUCGCCUUCUGAACUUUGAUUGAUAAAAGAUUGGAGAUAGAUCUCACCAUGUUCUAAAGAAAUGAACUCAGUCAGAUGCUCCAAAAUGAUGUACCGUUUAACAUUUGCAAAUGGUUCCGCUUCCCUGUCAGGCAUCCAGAGAAAUUUCGUCUUGUCUGCCAUCAAACCCAAUGAAGUAUAUACAAAACUUGGAACAUAGCAAGCUGUAAUUGUGCCGCCGGCUCUUCUCUUACUCACAUGAAUGAAGCCGCGAUGGAUUAGCUCUUUUAAGUAAUGUUCGGCAGUUUCCUCACCGUUGUAUGGAAUAAAGCCUUCAGCUAUCCACAACUGACAUAAUUGCCUGGUAGAUAUCUCAAUGCCUGGACGGAAGACACACAAAUAAAGGCAGCAGACUUUCAAGUGAAAAGGUAACUCCAACACAGAACAAAUUCGACUCAAGAGUGUCAAAACCACUUUUUCAUCCAUAUAAUUUACUAAUGGGGCACUUCCAUAGUGUAGGAUGAAAAAUUUCCAGGCUUCAUGCUUUAAUCUGAUCAAUGGUCCUCCAACAGGCACUGAAUAAAGCGGAAUGAUCCCUCCAUGCUCCAAUUCAAAAAAGGUAAGGAGGAAUGGAUCAGUGACCAAUAUCAAUACUCUGCUUCCAUUCUGCUUAUCAGGAAGAACUUCUUCAAGAUCAUCCCAUAUGUCACUGUCAUUGAAGACAUCAUCAAGCACAAUAAAGUACUUCUUGUUUGUCAGGUAAUCUCGAAGAAUAGAUUUCUUCAAGUGAUAAUCUUCACCGAUAAUUACCCUAGCCCGAGAUGGAGGCAUUAAAGAAUUGAUUAUGUCAUCCAAUAUCUUGCCAAAAUAGUAGCCUAUAGAAACCCUUACCCAAGCAAGACAGUCAAAAUAGAACUUGACAUGAUUAUUAUUGUAAAUAUCUGCAGCAAAAACAGUCUUAUGGAAGCCAUUGCUGUCGAGAAUUGCAAUCACUGAAAGCCCAGAUGGUCCCUCAAUCAAUAGAUCAAACAACUCCUCUCUGCCCCUUUCAAAUUCACUGACAUCAAGCCAGUGUUGUCCCUUACUCAAUAGGCGAAUGAUUUUGUUACUUUGUUCAGUGAUAUCAAAACCAUUGUCGCUGGGUGGAAGUUGUUGCAUUCGAUCUCUAAUAUCAAUGAUUUUACUGUGGAGUCCAACAAGAAGAGCCAUAUUAGUACUGCUUUCACUUUCGUUUUCACUGUUUUGCUGCUGCAUGAUGUUGAUGAAGAAUGUGUCAAUCGCUUCAUCAGAUUCAUGGACAAAGUGAUUGAUGUCGUCCAGAAUUUCCAAAAUGUCCCGUCUUUUUACGUCUUCAUCAGUGUCUUCUAAGUCUAACAGUUGCAGACAAAGCCAAGCCAUUUCAGCUCCAUUGAGUUGUUCUCUAAUGAUGCGUCGAAUCACACGACGAGUCAUGUCACCUUCAUAGUUCCCGAGCAGAGUAGUAAUAAUUUCAGUCUCCGUAAAAAGGUUUUGAAAAAGCGGGGCUAAGUUUGUUGAAUCAGGCAACGUUAACGUGCCUUCUUCACCUGCUACCACCCUUUUCAACCUCUCACAAAAUAGUCGGAGGUGGACGUCCAGCAUAUCUCCUUCUCUCUGUGGCACCCAGAGGUAUUGUUAUUUGCUCCAAGAAAUGUUAAAAGGAUUGGUCCUAUCUCAAAGAGGUUAGUGGUGUAAAGUUAAACACAAUGGAAGAAUUUGAAAGGAAUAUACCAAGAAACUGUGUAAGUGGCUAAAUUCCACAAAUAUGGCAUUGUUGCUCAUUUUUAACUCAAAAAAAUACACGUUAAUUUAGCGAAAAGUCCAAGACACGUGCUUUUUGAAAAGAACAGGUAUCCCAAUAGGUAUCCAACCUUUAUCUUAAUCAAUUACUACCAUGACAUACUUGAUGGUGCUUAAAUCAAUUUUUCUUUUCUUAAUGUAAAGAUUUUAUUUUUUUAAAACAGAUUUUAAUAUCAAGAAAAAAUAUCACUCGUAUAUCCUUAAAUGACACUUGUAUCAAACGUACUACAACACUUUUAACAUGUAUCACUUGUAUACCUUAAGUUGACAAAUUGUGUCUACCAUCCACCAAACCGUUAGUUGCCGUUUGCAAGCGCUGACAUCAUAAAGGUAAUCUAGUCUUUUCAAAUGGAAGAAACUUUGAUUAAAAAAACGACAUGUCAUCCCAUUUACCUCGUAAAAAAUGACAUAUCAUAUGAUAUAUAUUGACAAAAAAUGACAUGUCAUCCCAUUUAUCGGAAGAUGAUGUCAUCUAUGUGAAACAACGUUGUUUCAACGGGACUAAAAAAAAAAUGAUACUCCACAACCGAAUCGACUCCUCCAAACUUUAACUUGAAUAUUUGAAGAUCUACUCAUCCAAGCUCCAACUGGAAUUUUUUAUGGUAUAAUAUGUUGUUAAUAAUUUUUUAUGGUAUAAUAUGGAUUAUUUUUUAUGGAUAAUUGUUAAUAAUACGUACCAUUAAUAAUUCAUUUUUUAAUAAAAAAUGUAUUGUUAAUAAAAAAUAAAAAAUAUAUUGAAAAUUUACGUUAAUUUUUUGGGCAAAUAUGUAUUUUUACCUUAUUUUGAGUUUCAAGGGCGAAAUAGUCAAUUUGUCAUAAUUCUGUUAACUUUCUAAUGGUAGCUAACAGUUUGGUGGACAGCAGACACAUUUUGUCAACUUAGGGUGUACGAGUAAUACAUGUUAAAAGUGCUGCAAUACGUUUGAUACAAGUGUCAUUUAAAGGUAUAUGAGUGAUACAUGUUAAAAGAGUUGUAGUACAUUUGAUACAAGUGUCAUUUAAGGGGAUAUAAGUGAUAUUUUCCCUAAUAUCAAAUUGCCUUCGAUGUUUUUACAGCUACAAGCUCAGUAACAGGAUUAAUUAAAAAGUUUAGAAUUGUUGGGCGUGCAAAGAGUAGUUUUAAACACCAGAAAGCAAAGGUUGUUAUUGACAUAAUUUUAUUUUUGUUUUCGAGGGAAUUUGUUUUUUUUGUUGACAAGAAAAUAGUAUUAUAUUUUACAAUCUAUUAUACAUAUUUUAUCAUAUUAAAGUAAUUUUAAUAUUAAAUGGAAACAUUAAAUUUAAAUUAAUUAAUUAAAAAUUGAAUUAUUUUGAAUAUUAUGUAAAAAAUUAUUUUAAUAUCAUUAAUAAGGAGAUAUUUUGUUAAUUGUAAAAUAUUUUUAACCCAAAUAUAUAUUAAAUUUUUUAUAAUAAAUACAAAUACAAAUAUAAAAAUAAAAUAAAUAUCAUAGUUUAAAAUUUUAAUGUUAUUUUAAAUAUUAAAAAUAAUUUAAUGCUAUUAGUCUAUUACACAGGUUAUAUUAUAUUUGCAUUAAUUAAAAGUUUUAAAGUCAAUUUUCCAGUUUCUAUAUUCAAAGGUAUAAUGGUUAAAAGAAAGUUCUUGGUGUUUCUUUUUAAAAAUUUGAGGGUCUUAAUGAUAAUUUUUCUAAAUCGUAAGGGUAUAGGUGUCUUUUUUUCCGAUAAUUUAUUUCACGGGUAUCCAAUAAGAAACAUGGUAAGAGAACGUCAAUUACUUAUCAUUUUCUAUUUUUUCUAUGAGUCAUUUAUUUUGAGCAUUAGUGAUCUUAUCUGGACUACUCCAACUAUUGAUGCAACUCCAGUGGCUGCAUCCACAGUUAAAUAUAUGAUAGUGUUAGCUCUUAUUUGAGAAUUUAGAGGGAUCUUUCUUUGUUUCUCUGUUGCAAUGUGCUAGUAUAAAUUUCUUUACCUUAAAAUUUAUAUAGUCUUGCAGUUAAAGAAUUCACUGAGGCAUUGUUGAUUCAAUUUCAGUGAAGCAAUUGUGGGUGAAAGAUAAAUGAAGGAAAAGAGAACAGAGCUGAAGUGCUAAAUUGGCUAUUGAAGAAGGAUGUCACAUGAUCACAAUCACAUUGAUGCACAACUCUCUGGAGGCAAAGUUUGUCUAUAUGUACUCUGAAUUCAGCCAAGCCAUACAUGCAUGAACAAAAAUUAAACCGUAGUUCUAAUCACAACAGUAAUUGAAGCUACAAAAGCCAGCAAAUCUGAACGAAGACUUAAAAGAAAGAUCUUAUUCAAGUUUGUCCCCAAAAGACAGCUGAAAUGAAAAAUAUUGACUGUUGAAUGGGCCAAUGCUGAAUUACAUUUCAAAUGGAAAGCUUGGCAGCAGUUACAAUGUUUCCCCCUCUGAUUUUCCUCCAAAACAAAUUCAGUUGUAAACAAUAACCGAAGUAGUAAUAAUUUAUUCAUCAAAGAAAAUGCCCCCAAGUUUUCAAUUAAAAAAUCCUCUUGUCCAAACUAAAAGAACUCAUAUCUCUAAAAUUUAUUUGCAAAAUGUUGGAAAUGAGGAGUGAUCCGUUAACUCUGUAAAUAAACUCAUGCAUAAUGUUAACAAUAAUGAUAAAUUACAUAAUAAUUAUUAUAGAGAAUCAUAAAUUGGAAACGCUAAUCAUUCUACUAUUAUAUAAGUAAGAUAAAUAUCAUAAUAAGUUAAGUUAUAAUGUAAUAAAUAUUUGCAAUAUAUAAUUAUUUAAGAAGUCAUUUAACAAUAAAAUAUUUUUUUAUCCAGUUGAUCAUAUAGCGUUAUCUAAACUCUUGACAAUAUUAUUAUUACUCACUUUUCUCAAAAAAACAUGAUUAACUUUUAGAGAAAGUCAUGUCUUUGAGAAAGAAUAUGUAUACAAGCUAUCCAUACUUUAUCUUACUGUGACAAAAUUGAUGGUGAUUAAUUGUAUUUUUUAAAAUAGAUUUAACGCACAAAUAAGAUGACUUUUGGCAAAAAUUAUUUUCGGAAGAUAUAGUGAUAGAAAAUAGUGAUGAUAAUUAUUGUUUAAAUGUGUAAAUAGCCUAAGCAUAGCCCGUAAUACCAAUAUUCAUUUGCACCUUGAAAGAAACUUAGUUCUAUAUUGUUUGGCAAGCAAGAAAGUAAAGGAAAAUGAAAGAGAACUCUAAAGAACCUUUUUUAUUAUACUCAGAUAUCUCAACUUAAUGAAUACUGAUUGACAUUUAUACUAAGCUACAAUCUUCACUACACACACGAGUUUGUAACAUCACAUAACCAUUUGCUGCAUAACUAACUUUACACAUCAGCUCAACCAGCUAACUAACUUUGACAGGUCAGCUCAGUGAGUUGAUCUGCUACAACCAGCUACACAGCAACAGCAUGCUCUGCUCCAGCUAUACAGCAACAUCAUGCUCUGUUCCAGCUUUAUCCGCUCUGCUUUGCUCUGCUCCAGCUUUGACAGGUCAGCUCAGUGAGUUGAUCUGCUACAACCAGCUACACAGCAACAACAUGCUCUGCUCCAGCUAUACAGCAACAUCAUGCUCUGCUCCAGCUUUAUCCAAUUCACUAACAUCCCCCCUCAAGCUAAAAUGUUUAGGAUGAACAUUCAGCUUGCUUCUGAAGUAACUGAAUUGUUUGAAAGUAAGAGCCUUAGUUAACACAUCUGCUGUUUGAUCUGGACUAGGCACAUAGCAUACUGCAACCUCUUUAGCAGUGACCUUAUCUCGGAUAAAAUGUAUAUCCAAUUCAACAUGCUUAGUCUUAGCAUGAUAAACUGGAUUAUAAGCUAAAGCAAUUGCUCCUUGAUUAUCACACCACAUUAUAGGAGUGGAGCUUAAUGUGAUACUAAGUUCACCAAGUAAGGAUUUAAUCCAGGUAACCUCUGAAGCAGCAUGGGCAAGAGAUCUAUACUCAGCUUCUGUGCUGGAUCUGGAAACAACAACUUGUUUCUUUGACGACCAGGAAACAAGAUUAGGACCUAGAUAAACAGCAAAGCCAGCCACUGACUUCCUAUCAUCAUGAUCACAAGCCCAAUCAGAAUCUGAAAAACAAUGUAAUUGCAGAGCUCCUUGAUUGUAGAAAUGCAGCCCCAGAUGGAUAGUGCCUUUUAAGUACCUCAAUAACCUUUUACAUGCUUCCCAAUGUUGAGUUCUAGGACUGGAAAGGAACUGACUUAACUUGUUUACAGAGAAGGCAAUGUCAGGUCUGGUAAGAGUAACAUAUUGAAGAGCUCCUAUAACACUUCGAUAUUGAGAAACAUUUUCAAGUGGCUCUCCUGAGUCUUUGGUGAGAUAAAAGCCUGUAGACAUUGGAGUUGGCACAGGACUGCAGUCUGUCAUGCCAUGUUUAUCCAGAAUAUUAGCAAUGUACUUUGCUUGUGUCAAGGAAACCCCUUGUGAAGAUUUGCUGACUUCAAUCCCCAGAAAAUAGUGAAGUUCCCCCAGGUCUUUUAAAGCAAAAGCUUGAUGCAUAUGCUGGAUAACUUGUUGAAUUAUGGAUGGACUGGAACCAGUGAUGAUAAUAUCAUCAACAUAGACCAAAACAACAGUUAGAUGACCACUGUUCCAGGCAUAAAAGAGAGAGUUAUCAGACCUGGAAUGCUGAAAAUGCCACUUGGAGAUCAUUGCAUCCUUAAACCUAUCAAACCAGGCUCUAGGAGCUUGUUUUAAGCCAUACAAAGCCUUAUUUAGCUUGCAGAUAUGAUUAGGUUUAGUUGAAUCAACAAAACCUUGAGGUUGAGCCAUGUACACAUCUUCAAUUAAAAUGCCAUUUAGAAAGGCAUUGUUAACAUCCACCUGCCUUACAACCCAGUGACUCAAUACUGCUAAGCUAAGAAUAACUCUAACAGUGGAGGACUUAACCACUGGACUGAAGGUUUCUGUGUAGUCAAUCCCAUGUGUCUGAUGAAACCCUUUAGCCACAAGCCUGGCUUUAUACCUUGAAACUGAACCAUCUGAGUUAUACUUUACUCGAAAUACCCACUUGUUGCCAACUAUCUUCACUGGAGUAGCAGGUAAGACUAAAUCCCAGGUGUGAUUGGUUUUAAGAGCUAGAUACUCUUCUUGCAUAGCUUUAUACCACAUAGGAUCAGAAAGUGCUUUGGAAACAGAGGUUGGUUCUGACUUCUGAGCUAGUAAAGCUGACAAGUAGAUCUUGGGCUUGAAGAUACCUGCUUUUGACCUGGUUAUCAUUGGAUGACCAGAUGAUGCAGGUUGUGACAAGGUAUGUGGAGGUGAAUGAUGGGAUGGUGAAGAAGGAGAAGAAGAAGUGGAAUUGAAAUUAUCAGAAAAGUAAACUGGAGUAGAAUUUGGGAAGGAAAUAGAAGCAUGUGACUGAGAAUCAUUAAGAAGAUAUUCUGAUGAUGCUGCUAAAGGUGCUUGUAACUGAGUAACAAAAGGAGUAGAAGAAUUAAAAGAAGACUCAGAAUGAGUUGAUGACUGACAGUUUGAAGAAACUGAAGAAAAAUCUGUUCCUGACUCAUAAGGAAAAGAACGUUCAUAAAAGGUUACAUGAUUUGAAAUAUAGACCCUCCCAGAAGAGUGAAGACACUGAUAUCCCUUGUGUUGUGAACUGUAGCCAAUGAAUAUACAUCUAGCUGUUCUGAAAUCAAACUUAUGUCUAUUGUAUGGUCUGAGUGUUGGAUAACAAGCACAGCCGAAAAUUUUAAGUGUUGAAUAAUCUGGUUGGGAAUGAAACAACUUUUGAAAAGGAGAAAUGCUGUUUAGAACUGGAGUUGGAAGUCUGUUUAUCAAGUAGACAGCUGUAUGGAAUGCAUUCCACCAAAAUUUGAGUGGUAAAUGUGCUUGAGCUAAUAAAGUCAGUCCUACAUCAACUAUGUGUCUAUGUUUCCUCUCAAUUUUUCCAUUUUGAUGAUGAAUGUGGGGGCAAGGAUGUCGAAAAUGGAUGCCAGAAGUGGUGAGUAAUGAUGAAAAUGUUCUGAACUCCCCUCCCCAGUCAGUUUGGACAGUUUUGAUGGAAAGUUGAAGAUGCUUCUCAAUGAAUAUUUUGAAAUUGGUAAAAACUUCAAGAGCAUCAGAUUUUGCUGAUAAGGGAAAAAUCCAGGUAAACCUACUGUAAUCAUCUAGGAUUGACAAGUAGUAAUUAUAUCCUUGGGUAGAACAAACAUGAGAAGGGCCCCAAAGAUCUGCAUAUAUCAGUUGUAAAGGUGCUGAAGUUUUUGUUUCUACUGAAUCAAAAUGCAGCAUGUGAUUUUUACCAUAUUGGCAUGCUGAACAAAAUUUCAAACUGUCAACUUUAUUAAAAGCAGUAGAGUUGUUACAAGCUUUGAGAAUGGUUUUGAGAGUAUAAGAUGCUGGGUGUCAUAAUCUUCUAUGAAGAAGAUUUACAUCAAUAGAACCCUUUACAACAACUGACAGACAUGACUUUUUAUUCAACUCAUAAGAGCUAACAGUAGAGAGCUGAGCAGAAUUAAAAACAGGAGAACAAGCAAAAAGAGACUGAAUUUUGUUUUGACCAACUGAACUGAGAAAGACUGAAUGAACAGCAGCAUGAGAAGAGACUUUAUACAAGCUGUUGUGCAAAUUUUAAUGUACUCGCAAGCGCACGAAUCUAUUAUAGUAUAGAUCAAUGGUGACGAGUGUCGAUCCCACGAGGAGGUAGAUUUUAAUUGUGUAUAGAAUUAAUUUUGCAAAUGGUUGAUUGGAUUUGUAGUGGAAAUGAUUAGGAAUAUGCUAAAACUUAAAUUAAAAUGGCGAGAAUAAAUUCUAAAAUUGGAAUUGCAAUGGCGAGAAUAAAUUGAAGAGAAAUGUAUUGAAAUGACGUACUUGGGUAUCUGGAUCCGUAUCAACAUGCAUCAUGGGCUAAAUAAUCCGUAUUAAUGCCAAUUAAAUCAUGAGGGGGGAAUCCACACCUCAUGAACCACGCUCUAAUCAAUAUGGUGCUAAGGGCUUAUCGUGCCAAAUAAUAAUAACCUUAUACUAGAGAGCCGGUGUAACCAAGGCGGUAUCUAGACAAGAUCAGUAUUAUUUGUCGACGAUAAGUCAAAUCAUCCACAAAAACUAGAGGGGAAAAGAAAAUAAAUUUACCAAAUAAAGCCCAUGACACAUGUUGAGACUUCACCUUCAACCCAAGCUUGAAAGGAAAUUAGCUACUCAUAAUUGAACUAGGGGCAAAAUGGGAAUUUAUUAAAAUACAAAGAAAAUACAAGAUGGAGAGGGAAUUACAGAAAAUGGAUCCCAAAAAUGGAUUCAGAGAUAUCAAAUUAGGGGGGGAGGCCCAUUUUUUAUAGAUACAUGGAGUAAAUCAUGGCCAUCGGAUUAAAAACAGUUUGGACGCUCAGGAUUGCGCCACGUCAUCAGUCAACAGUCAACGGUUUGACCACGCGGAUGAACAGUAACAUGGUUUGGUUGAAAAUAAUCCUGUGUGAUGCAUACACCGUACGCGAGAUUUUUCGUCCACUGAUAUGCUGCCACGUCACCAUCAACAGUACAUAAGAAUUUUAGUCCAACAGGAUCGUGACACCUCAUCAGUCAAUGCCACAUCAUCGGUCAAUGCCACGUCAUCGAUCCGUCUAUGUGAACAGUGUCGUGAACAGUAACGUAGACAGUACCGUAUACGUGAAUAGUACCGUACAUGUGAAUAGUGCCAUUUUUCCUUUUAUGCUCCUCCUAAGGUUUUCGACCGUCCUGAGUUCAAAAGUGAUGUCCGUUUUGCCGUCUGAUCUCUCCUUUAUUGUGAAAUGACUAUAAUGCCCCUAAAAUACAUAAAAUACUUAAUUAAAAUAACACACACGUAAUUACAUCACAAGAGGGUUAAAUACAUAAAAGUAAGGGUUGUUAGUAAGACUUGAAACGUAAAAUGACGGUUUUCUCCUUUAUAAAUAUGCAUUUUCUAACACUCAACACAAGCCACCUUUAGCAACACCUUCAAGUAAAAUUUUCCCUGUGUUCCUGGCCUUUAUAAAACACAAAUUACCAAGAAAUUCAACAGUAACUGGAUUGUCAGCCAACAAUUUUGAGAUGCUAAGCAAAUUCUUAGUAAUAAAAGGGACAUGAAGAACAUGGUUAAGAAAUAAGGAUUGAGAAGCUGAAGUAUUUAGCACAACUGACCCUACAUGUGUAAUAGCUAAUGCAUUUCCAUCUCCAACAAAUAACCUUUCAGUACCAGUGUAAACUUUUGAAUCCAGAAGCUUACCUAGAUCAUUGGUAAUAUGAUUUGUUGCUCCACUAUCAAUAUACCAGGAAGGAUCUUCAAUGUGUUCAGGUGGGAGUGAAGAAGACAUAGCAGAGGAGGAGGAAGCACUUGACUGUUCCAGAUUAUUAUGUCCUAGACAGAAACAAAAUUAGAUGAUCCAGGGUUGAAUGAGAAAUAAGCAGAUGGGUUGCUUUCUGGAUAUACUAUAUUUCCUUGAUAGCCAAAACCCCUGGGGGCAUUACCAAAACCAACAUUUUGUCCAAAACCAGCAUUUGAACCAAAACCUCCAAAACCUCUUCCACUAUUACCAUUAAAGGCUCUUCCUCGACCAUAUUGCCCUUGAUUAAAACCUCUGCCACCAUUCAUAUUACCUCUACCAUGGUUCCUCUGUGGAACAAAAGAUGAGUUGUACCUAUUUCUGCAUUUAUAGGCUGCAUGACCAGGUAUGAAGCAAAUUUGGCAAACAACUUCAGAGAAAUUACUAUUAUUAUUAAACUGACCAUAUCCAUAUCCAGAAUUAUUACCACCUCCAGAGUUAUUUCCAUACUGUUUCUGAAAAUUUCCAUUAUUCUUUCCAGCAUAUGAGUUCUUCUGAACAAUAUUUGCUGUCAUGUUAUGCAUCACAUCACCAGCAAUUUUUCCUUUCUUUUGCUCAACUCUAUUUUCAUGAUUCAACAGCAAAGAAUAUAGUUCAUCUAAUGUUAUCUUUUCACCUCGAGCUAACACAGCAGUGACUAAAGAUUCAUAAUCUGAUGAAUCAAGACCAGUUAAUACAUGCAUCACAAGAUCAUUUAACUCAACAGGUUUUCCAGCUAGAGCUAAAGUAUCAGCUAUACGUUUUACUUUUACAAAGUAAUCAGACAUAUGCAUUGCACCUUUCUUAAUAGUUUGAAUCUGCAUUCUAAGUGUUUGAAUUCUAGCUUGUGAUUGAGAGAUAAACAUACUAGCAAGAGUCUCCCAAAGCUGUUUUGAGGUUGUUGAGUCAAUCACAGUAGCAAGCAGAUUUUGUUGUAUCAAUGACAUCAUCCAACUCAGCAGAAGUUGAUCAGCCUUCAUCCAAGCUACGAACUCUGGAUUAACAGAUCUGGAUCCAGAUUCAGUAACAGAUCUGGAUCCAGAUUCAAUUAAGAUUUCAGCUCCAUUGUUGUUGCCAGAAGAAAGAAACUGCUCAGGACAUUCUCGAUCACCAUUGAUAAAACCUUCCAAACCAUUUCCUUUGAUCGAAGCUAGAAUUUGUGUGCGCCACAAAAUAUAGUUGUUUUGAUCUAGCUUUACAGGCGUAACAAAACUAAAAGAGUUGUUGUUUUGAACUGUAUUUGCCAUUUAUGGCUCUGAUACCAUGAAAGAAACUUAGUUCUAUAUUGUUUGGCAAGCAAGAAAGUAAAGGAAAAUGAAAGAGAACUCUAAAGAACCUUUUUUAUUAUACUCAGAUAUCUCAACUUAAUGAAUAUUGAUUGACAUUUAUACUAAGCUACAAUCUUCACUACACACACGAGUUUGUUACAUCACAUAACCAUUUGCUGCAUAACUAACUUUACACAUCAGCUCAACCAGCUAACUAACUUUGAUAGGUCAGCUCAGUGAGUUGAUCUGCUACAACCAGCUACACAGCAACAGCAUGCUCUGCUCCAGCUAUACAGCAACAUCAUGCUCUGCUCCAGCUUUAUCCGCUCUGCUCUGCUCUGCUCCAGCUUUGACAGGUCAGCUCAGUGAGUUGAUCUGCUACAACCAGCUACACAGCAACAGCAUGCUCUGCUCCAGCUAUACAGCAACAUCAUGCUCUGCUCCGGCUUUAUCCAAUUCACUAACACACCUUCAUUUGUGUUAUCACAUUUCAUGAUAUUCUUUCAUUUAUGACCAUUGUUCAAGAUUUUAAUUUGAUUAUAAACUAAGUUGCAAGGGAGCUUACUUCAGUUUCUAAGCUUUUCAAUCGUGAUUCCUGCAUGCCAAACGUAACUGACCUUAUAAUUGGUCUGUAUAAGAAAUCAAGCCCUUUCAGGAUCGUUUUCUUUUUCUCCCUAUUGUAGUAGUCAACUAAAUAAAGAAUGAACAACUAAACUUGGUCUAUUUCGAGGAAGACUAAGGCUUCCAAUACUAGAUGAACUUUGAAGAAAAUUAAUCCGUUGUUUUUAUUCAUCUUUGGACUAUGAAUUUAUACAAAGACUUUAACAGAAAAUAACAAAGACACAGCUAAAUGAUAGCAAUAAGUGCUGACUUGGUGGACCACUUCUGCAAGUAAAUAAAAACUAAAUAUUUAUUUUGACUAUAACAACAACUACGCUGAUGAAUAGGAUUUCACAGCAGCCACGUGACAACUAAUUUCUCCUUAAUAUUAUUAUUAGUAGAAGUAGAUUUUAAAACUAGUCUUGAUAUAUUUCAAAGUUGUAUUAUCAAUGUAUAUGUGUCUAGAUUGUAACUAUAUUUUAAAAAAUAUAAAAUUUUUAAUUAUUGCACAGUAUAUGUAGCAAAAUAUCUAUAGAAUGAUAUUAUUAGGACUAAGAUUUUUUUUUAUUUUAGAUAAGUUAUUUAUUUAUUAUCGAAUGAAUAAUUUAUUAAUUUACUGAUAAAUGAAUAUUUAUUAAUUUAAAGAGAGAUUUUUUUGGUUUUAACAAGAGUUUGUUUGGUAAAUGUACACACUUAUAAAGAAACAUAAAAAGUGGUUCCUCAAGUCAAUAGUAUUUGCUUCAAUCGCAAUGGUUCAUAAUAAUAUAGCAUAGUUAGGAAAUUUGUAAUUAUAUUAUGGCUCUGUUUGGUAGUAAAACUCAUUUAAGUAGAGUUGUUGUUAAUAGAGCUUUUAUAAAUAAAGCUUUUACUAAAAAAAAUUUAGUUGUUUGCUUGUCAAUGUCCAAAUUGAUAAACUUUUGUUCUUUUGUUAAGAUAUGUUUGUUUUACUUAAUAAUAGCAUCGGCAAGAGUUUUCGAUUGUUGCAACUUGCAAUGCACGCGGUGAGAGAAAAUGAGAAUCUUGUUUAAUUGUCAAUAUAUAAUGACAAACCUAAUCCUUUCAUUAGGAGUAAUUUAAUAAUCGUUUGUUAUAACUGAAUAUGUAUAAAGAAAGGAAAAUUCUAUUCAUAAAUUUCGACUUAUUUUUUGUUUAAAGUAAUUAAUCAUUCAACCAUCUUCAUUUGCCUCUGGCCAAUGCCCUUGUAGAUUAGUUUACUUAAUUAUGAUUAUAUACAUUUUCAUAUAGCAAGUGGCAUUGUAGAUCUAAACUAAGUUGCUAUUUCAAUACCAGCAAAUUCAAAAUAGAAAAGGAGUGCAACUAUUCAACUUUGUAGACAAUAUUGCAACCAUGGCAUAUUUAUAGCAAAUCAUUGAAAUCUGCUAAAGAAAACAAUGCCCUGUCUCAUGAAUCGAUGCUCAAUUAAAAUUUAAAUUGAAAGUCCGGCUGGUGUUGUUUUCCUCUCCAGCGAAAUAAGAAUCAUAAGUGAAAAUAGGCUUUGACAGGUCUUAUUUCUUUGUUUCUCUGCUGCAAUGUGUGGUUAUCCCACUCUGUUUUGCCACUCAAGCUGAGUCUACGUUGAGACAUUAUUUCAGUAUUGAGGUAACAAUAAUUUCGGACUCCGUAAGAAGGUUUUGAAAAAGUGGAGUCACAUUUGUUGAAUCAGGCAACGUCAACGUGCCUUCUUCACCUGCUAACACCCUUUUCAACCUCUCACAAAAUAGUCGGAGGUGGACGUCCAGCAUAUCUCAUUCACAUUUGUUGAAUUUGCAUGGAAUUUGCAAGGAGUAUGCCAAAGAAUUUGCAAGGAAUAUGCCAAGAAUUUGCAAGGAAUAUGCCAAGAAACUGGCCAACCCGCUUAGCUUAAUUCCACAAAUAUGACGUUAUUGCUCAUUUUUCUCUCAAGCACAUAAUACACGUUCUUCGAGACGCGUGCCUUCUGAAAAGGACAGGUAUCCAACCUCAUCUUAAUUACUACCAUGACAUAAUUGAUGGUUGCUUAAAUCAAUUUUUUCUUCUUUUUUUUUUUUAAUUUAAAGAAUUUUCCCUUAAAAAAAAUUUAAUAUCAAAAUGCCUUCAAUGUUAUUACUGCCGAAAGCCAAACUUCCUUUGGGUAAUUAAUUUAGAAGUGAAGCAGAGAAUAAAGUCCUAGAUGCCUUUUGAAAUUAGAAAUACAUUUUAUAUGCUUUAAUUAAUCAAUUCACUGAGGCAUUAUUGAUCCAAUCCCAGUGAAGUAAUUGUGGGUGAAAAAAAAAUAAAGUGCUGAAUUGGCUACUAAGAAAGAGUGUCACUUGAUCACAAUCACAUUGAUCCACAACUCACUCGAGGCAAAUUUCAUCUAUGUGUACUGCAAAUUUAGCCAAACCAUACAUGCAUGAACAAAAUUAGGCCGUAGUCCUCAUCACAACAUUAAUUGAAGCCACAAAAGCCAGCAAAUCCAAACAAAAACUUAAAAGAAAAUGCUUGGUAUAGAGAAGCACGAGAGAAAGACGAGAAAAACAAUGAAGAAAGUGGUAGAGAGAGAGUGAGUGGGUAGAGAGAGAGCAAAAUUCUCUCGUCUUUCUCUCGUGCUUCUCUCUCUCUAUCACUACUCAAACUUAAAAGGAAGAUCUUAUUCAAGUUUGUCCCCAAAAGACAGCUGAAAUGAAAAAUAUUGACUAUUGAGUGGGUCGAUGCUGAAUUACAUUUGACAUGGAAAGCUUGGCUGCAGUUGCGAUGUUCCCCCUUCUGAUUUUCCUCCAAAACAAAUUCAUUUGUAAACAAUAACGGAAGUAGCAACAAUUUAUUCAUUAUAGAAAAUACCUAAAUUUUCAACUAUCAAAUCCUCUUGUCUAAACUAAAAAACUCAUAUCUCUAAAAUCUAUAUACAAAAUGUCAAAAACGGGUGAUCUCUCAAUUCGAUAAAUAAAUUCAUGCAUAAUGUUACUAGUAAUGAUAAAUUACAUAAUAAUUAUUAUAAAGAAUCAUAAAUUGGAAACAUUAAUCAUUUUACAAUAUAUUACAUAAUAAAGAUAAAUUUUAUAACAAGUUAAGUUAGAACAUAUCAAAUAUUUUCAAUAUAUAUAAUUAUUUAAGAAGUCUUUUAACAAUAAUUUUUUUCUUUUUCAGUUAAUCAUGUCAUAUACCGUUAUCUAAAAUGCUGGCGAUAUUAUUAUUCCUCACUUUUCUCAAACAAAAAAGAAAAGAAAAAAGAAACAUGAUUAACGUUUAGAGAAAAGUCACGCCUUUUAAAAACAAUAUGUAUACAAUAGCAAUCCAUACUUUAUAAAAUUGAUGGUGAUUACAAAGAAAAAUUGUUUAAAAUAGAUUUAAUGCACAAAUAUGAUGACUUUUGGCAAAAAUUAGUUUCGGAAAUGUUGGGAUGAAAACCAUAUUAAUUGAGAAUUAAAAUUACUUAAUAAAAUUACUUAACUACCAUCUAAUAGAUGAAAACCAUAUCAAUUGGGACUUAAAUUAAGAUUUAAAUGUUGAAAUAUCUAGCAUUACUCACAAUAACCAAUUCAAAUUAUGACUAUCAUGUAGAAGCAAAUGUUUAUGCUUGGGUUUUUUACUUCUUGAAUUUGAUUGGAAAAAUUUCUGAGAUAGAGAAGUGUUUUGGAUAAUUUUUUCGGGAUUGAAACCACAAAUUGGUAGAGGAAAUUAAUUUUGGACAAAUUUUUCUUAUAUUGUAGGACCUUCUAGUUGGAGUAGUGAUGGCUUUGUCUUCAUUUUUGGUUCCUUUUGUGUCAGCAACCCCUUACUAUUCUCUUGACCCUGAGUUUGAGAUAGAAAUUUAUCAACCUCCAACCCCACAUCCACAAACAAGUUGAUUGAAACAAUUACUCUUUUAAUUAAGAGGACCCAAAUGAUUUAGGUUUCAGUUCUUAUCAUUUGUCUAUUAUUUCUUUGAAACAUUUAUUUUGAGCGUUACUGAUCUUAAUUAUCUGUAUUUCUCCAAUUAUUGAAGAAUUUCAAGUGGCCACUUUUUCUCCUUUUUAUAUAUGUUUAUUUUUUGGAGUGAUCAAACGGGUGAAAAAUCAAGUAUUCGCUGGUCUGUAGUUUAGCCAACGAUGGCUGAUCCACACAGUUGAUUAUAUGAUACUAUUAGCUCUCAAAAUCUUUCUUAUUUGAGAACAUAAAUUGCCCAUUGAAGUUAAACUAUGUUACCCAGCUCCAUGCACAUACAUUAAAUGUUUAGGUAGUUUUACAAAAUGAUAACAGCAUGCCAAAACUUGAUGUUGUCAUAUUCGACAUUUCAAAUUGAAAAAUAUGCAAGCAAUCUUCAGUGACCAUUACGUUUUUAUUGAAUAAUUUAAAUGGCCAGUAAAUCAACAGUCCGUGAGUUUUAAAUCUGUUAUGACUUAAUGUAUCUUUCUGUAUUCGUACACAGGUUAUAUUAUCAUAGUUUAAAAUUUUAAUAUUAUUUUAAAUGUUAUAAAUACUUUAAUGCUAUUAGUCUACUACACAGGUUAUAUUAUUUAUAUUAUAUUUGUAUUAAUUAAAACUUUUAAUGUCAACUUUCUAAUUACUAUAUUGAAAAGGUAUUAUGGUUAAGAAAAAGUUUUGGCAUUUCUUCUAAAAAAUUUGAGGGUAUGCAUGACAACACUACAAGAAAAAUGACCUACCAUGACAGUCCUCUGUGUGACAGUUUUUGGUCUGCAGAGCUACUACGAUAGAUGGAUGAUAAAUUUUUUUUCUAUCAUUCAUUUAUGACAUACUUGUGAUAGAAAUUUCAUCUAUCAAGCACUUAUGAUAGACUGAUGAUAAAUUAUUUGGUUAUCAAGAAGUAAUGACAAGUUUGUGAUAUAAUUUAGAUCAUCAAGUAGCUUUUUUAUUUUGACUUUAUUUCACAAGGUUGACUGAAAAUUUUAAAAUGAAUGAAAAAAAUAAAUAAAGAAUAAACGGUACCGUUUGGAUUAAAAGUUUCUCUUUGGACAAGAAACGACACCGUUUAGAUUGAAGCUAAAUAAAAACAAAACCCUCUUCAGUUUUCACUAAUCGAAUUUUUUUUCCCUAAGUGUCGGCACUCUCACUCACUCUCGUCUCUCGCUCAGUCAUUCUCGUCAAUCUCACACUCACAAAGCCCUUUUCACCCGAAAUCCUUGCAUGGGCACUGAACCACUGCCGCCAUUCUCUUGUAUUUGACUAUCAAUUUUGGCUCUCACCGAGAACUAUAUGGAAUACCCACCAAACGCAUGUGCUUCUACUAUUGAAUUUCAAUACCCUAACUGAGAGCCCACGCUCACCCACUAUUGUAACCGUUCGAUCAAUACAGGUAAAUAAUAUUUCUAGUGUUGUGUUCCAUUUCAAUUUUAAUGUUCUUGUCAAACUCGAACCCUAUAUAUGUAAACUUAAAAACCCUAGAUGUGUUCUUGUCAAAUUCGAACCCUACACACCUAAAUCUUGUAAAACCUAGAUGUUUUCUUGUCAAAUUUGAACCCUGUACGUGUAAAACUUGAAAAUCCUAGGUGUGCUCUUGUUAAAUUUGGAUCUAUUUGAUUGGUCUUCUAUGUUUCUUUAUUUAUGGAAUUUUAAACAUUUAUUUGAUUUUUUUGGAAUUUAAUUAUUAUAGUUUUAUUGUUAAAUUAAUUUGAUUUAGGCUGUAAAGAUCCUUGCCAAUUUAAUCGUGAUGGGUGUUGGGAUAUUGUCUAGGCUGCUUUAUCUUUGGGGUUUUCUAAUAACUAAUUUUUUUUUUUCACUUUUUUGUGGAUGCAUGGAACUAUAUAUAUAGAUAAUUCUCAAAUUCGUUCACUGUGAUGCAAAGUCUUUUUUUUUUCAAUUUCAUUGGUUAAAUUCACUAAUUCGUUGAAAUUAGUGGUGAUUGUGGGCCGAGUCGCAUGUGCAGGAAGUGGUGUCAGGUCUGGGCGCACAUUGAGUCAUGCACUUGGUGGGCAAUUGGUAUUGUUUCUAUUGUGUGUGUUGGAAAUAAUGUCAAUAUCAUCCAACCAAUGUGUGUUUCUAGUGGCUGUUUUUGCACCGAGCAGAUAAUUUAUUAUUACAUCAGAGUUCCCCAUCCCUUGUUUCUCUUUUGGGUAAUGCAGGUAUUGACUAGUUCAUUUCCAUUUUCAUUUGUCUUGAGGGAAUGUUAUCAAUUUUUCGAUCUUACAAGAUAUUGAUUGAUACAUAUGUGUACAAUACAUUAAAAAUCAUUAAACAUUUUGCUCUUAGUUACAAUUUUGAAUGAAUGUCACAUGGAAAGAUCCUCUAAGAAUAUCAAUAGUAUUGUGGUUUCUACUCAAUUUCCACUCUCCGCACUCAUAUGAGCAUGGUUUGAAUCUCAAGCCUUUUGUACCAUUCAAAAAUUUAUACCAAUUAACAACAUAGCUUGCUAGCACCACAAAUUGUUUCAACUCCAAGGCAGAGAAUUCCUAGAAGAUAUAUACAUAUUGAUAUAUACUUGCAUGUAGCCGUAUGCUCACUACCUUCGAAUUGGGGAUAUAGUCACUAUUUUUGUAUUCCCUCCAAGUGUUUGAUAAAAAGCAUGAAUGAAUCUUGGCUCUUUAAUUGUUGCAGGCCAUUUCUACCUAUGAGGAGCAAAGGAAUAUGAAGCUUAUUAUAUUCAUUCACAAAGCAAAGCUGAUAUAAUUCAUGGCAAAGCUUGAUGAGGUGUUGUAUUUAAUCUUGCUCAUGAGAUCAAUUACCUAUCUUGUUGGACUUUAUUCUUGUAAUUAAGGUCCAUCCAAAGUUGAUGGCUUGUUUGUCAGAAAGAUAAUCUGAAGGCUAUGAUUGAUUACUUGCGGGCCGAUGGAAAUGUCUCCAUGAUUGGUUUAUGAGGUUGUUAAAUUACUAAAUAGGUAUAUUUACUUUUCAUGAGCUUUAUCUUCGUUUUUCCAUUAUGGAAAUGUCUCUAUGAUUGUAACUUUUAACACGUGGAACUCUUGAACCCUAUGUUUAGUUAUAUACUUAUAUUGGGACUUGUAUAAAUUAAUAUGAUGGUUUUAUUAUUAUUAUUAUUAGUAGUAGUAGUAGUAGUAGUAGCAGCUACAAAAGAUCAAAAGAACUUAAAGGUGUGGCUUGUGGCUUUCUUGCUGUUUGGGCUUUAACUGCUGCCUCACUUGUCAUUGUUGCUAAUCUGGUGUGCCACGUCCAUUUCAGUGUAAUUACAUAAGUUAGUUUGCUUGAUUAAUUAAUUAAUUAGUUAGCGGAUUGAAUAGCCAGAGUACUACAUUUUGCAUAGGUCUGAUGCUGGAUGAAUUUUCAUGUCUUGGCUUUGGGGCUGCUGGAUUUUGCUGCUGGAAGACUAGAUUUUGCAAUUUUGUUGCUGGAAGACUACAUUUUGUGUAGGUUUGUUGCUGGAUGUUGCUGAAUGCGGAGUACUUUGCUUGGUUUUGGAUUGGCCUUUGUUGUCUAUUGGCUCGACUUUGGAAUAUGGAUUAACUAAUGUAAUGUACUUUGGAUAUUUUUAUGGUUAAUAAAGUUCACUAAUUUAGUUCAUUAGUUUUGGAUUUAAUUGCAUUUAGUAAUUUAUUUUCUUUCAUAUAAUUUUAAUAAUUUUAAUAAUUUUAAUUUUUAAAUUUCAUAAUUUUUAUUUUAAAUUAAUAAAUAAAAUAAAUAAUCAAUUUUUUCAAAAAAAAUGUGAUAGAAAAUACUAGUCAUACACACAAUUGAUAUCCCAAAAAAAAAUACAAUCCAAAAAUUUCUAAAAAAAUGAAAAUAUAAAAUAAAAAAAUAAUUUCCCUCUUCUAAGUAGUAUGACAUAAUUAUGAUAGGUAAAAUCUAUCACAACUUGUGACGCGAUUUUAUCUGUCAUCUUUUCUUGACGCUGACUAUAAUGACAGUAAGGAUAACCGUCAUCUACCCCCUAAGAUGACAGUUUUUACCUAUCAUAAUAGGUCAUUUUUCUUGUAGUGCAAUUUUUCCAAUUCUAAGGGUAUAGGUUUGAAAAUUUAACGUUAUUUAACUUAAUGAAACAAAAGGGGAAACCAAGAACUAUUCAAUUUUGUAUUUUUUGUUUGUAAUUCAAAAAAUACAUCCACCAAACAAGUUUUACACAUUAAUGCUGUCAUAAAACGAAAAACAGUUUGCCAAAAAAUGGUACCGUCACAUGAUUUCUUAGUAAGUCCAUAUUAGAUAUAUUUAUACAUUUUAGGUAUUUUAGUUAUAAAAGAAGUUGGUCCUCCCCCUAUUUAUAAAAGAUAACUUUGUUUCGAUAUUACCACUAAACUCUUACAUAGAAUUAGUGUAAUGUUAAGAGAGAGUAAUGCGGUUUUCCAUUACCAUCUUUGAAAAUAGAAAGAUAUGGAUGCGUGCAUUUAAGAGUCAUCGUGAAAAUCAUACAAUUCAAUUUCCUGACAUAUAUAUUUAUGCACGUAUGCCAAAAGAAUAAAUAGACAGAAAGUAAAUUUAUAGUCCUCACUUCCUCACAAUUGUUAACGUGGAGAUGCAUUACAACUGUGAACUGUCACUACUUUAGCCUUUUUUUUUUUUAAUUAUAGUGUGAUGGAGACAUUAAGGAUGAGCAUAAUAGUUAAAGAUGACUCAUUUCUCAUUUUCUUUUUAAAGUGCUCUGCUGAAAGCCAAACUUCCUUUGGCUAAUUAAUUUAGAAGUAAAGCAGAGAAUAAAGUCCUAGAUGCCUUCUGAAAUUAGAAAUACAUUUUAUAUGCUUUAAUUAUGAUUAUUUGGUAGACUAAAGACCUAAAAGAUAUGUCAAAAGUAUAAAACAGAGCGAUUAAAGAAAAAAGAAAAAAAAAACAGAGUAUUUGUGACGUAGAAUAACAAUUGGUAAAUAAAUCCUAAAUAUUUGAGUUGUUAAAAGCAAAUAUAACAGAGACGGUAAGAGAGAUGCUGAAACAGAAAACUAUUAGCUUAUCUUGAUUUUCCCACUAUAUUCAUUUUCGAUGCUUUUCAAACGAGAUUCUUUUAAUUCUUCUGGUGUCUCUUAUAGAUCUCCAUCCCACAUCUGCACUACGAACAAGUUGAUUAAAAUUAAAUACUGUUGGAGAUGUGGGGUGAGCGGUCAACUUGGUAAAAAAACUAUGUAUAAUAUUGUUAAUAAUAUAAAAUAUAAAAUAAUAAUUACAAAGAAUCAUAAAUUAGAAAAAUUAUUUAUUUUACAAUCUAUUUCUUAAGUAAGAUAAAUCUCGUAAUAAGUUAAGUUAUAAUGUAAAAAAUAUUUUCAAUUUAUAAUCAUUUAAGGAGUCAUUUAACAAUAAAAUCUUUCUUUUUUUGAUCAAUUGGUCAUGCUACAGAGCAUCAUCUAUUCGUGGUGAUAUUAUUAUUACUCCGUAUUCUCAAAAAACACGAUUUAACAUUUAGAGAAAGUUCCUACCUUUUAAAAAGAACAUGUAUGCAACAACUACCCAUACUUUAUCUUACCACGACAAAACUAAUAGUGACUAAAUCAAUUUUCUCGAAUAAAGAAAAAUUUCUUAAAAUUAAUUUAAUAUACAAAUAUGAUGACUUUUUGCAAAAAUUAGUUUUGGAAAAUUAGUGACAGAAAAUAGUAACGAUUAUUGUUUAGAUGUGUAAAUAGCCUAAACAUGAUCCCUAAUACCAAUAUCCACGUGCAUCUUAACACCUUUCGUCAUAUUCUUUCAUUCAUGGUCACUGGUUCAAGAUUUGAAUUUGAUCAUUAAAUCAUGUUCAAUAAUAUUAGAGAUCCCAACAAUUGAGUACCAACUUAAAUCCCAAUGCUAUGUGUCAUUAACAAAUGUUGUGUCAUUUAUAAUUAUUGAAUGAAUAAUUCGUUAAUUUAUUGAUAAAUGAAAAUUUAUUAAUUUAAAGAGAGAUAUUUUUUUUUUGGGUUUUAAGAAGAGUUUUGUUGGUACAUGUACAUACUUAUAAAGAAAUAAACUUGUAAUUAUACUAUAUCUUUCUUUCUUUAUUCAGUUUGGUGGGAUAUUGUGAUAAAUCAUUGGAUUAAAAUGCAUUUCUAAAUUAAAACUUGUUAAAAUCUAAUUUAUUUGGGAAGCGCAUAUUAUUUGUCAGUCGUACUUCUCAAGUCUCAACUUAGCAAGUUAUUUCUAACUUGUCAGUCUCUAUUUGUUCUCUAAAAGCUAAUAGUCUCGAAUCUCCCGCAUUUGAUAUCUUGCCAUUAUUGUUGGCAUUAACAUGUUACCUGAGAUUGGGAUUCAUUAAAAUCCUCAAUGUAAUCGGUGGAACGAAUGGAUUUCUUCUGUUCACCAAUCCACCAAAAUUUCUGUAAUUAAAUUCAAGAGUCAAGAUCUAUGCUUAUAAUCUAUUCUAACAGCUAAUAUUCUAUUUUAUAUUUACUUAAAUAUGAAGAGCUAUGCUUGUCAUUAACUUCAAAUGUGAUCGAAGCAGCCAUACAUCUGUAUAUUACUUAUUCCCAACCUUUUUUUUUGACUUCAUAUACUUUCUUUUCAUGUUAUUUACUCUUUUUUUCCCCUCUCUGACAAUUGAGGUAGGGGGUCAAACUUGAAAGUAUCUUAAAAUCAGACAAUUUUUUUUUUUUUUAAGAUAGCUGCUAAUAUGCUCUAUUAGACAAUGAUAAGUAAUAACCUAGUUGUUUGCAUUAGAAAUGAUAUUUUUUGUGGUGCUGAUAAAGAGGUUGAUUAUGAUUCAACAAUUUAAAAUAUGAAAACAUGUGGAAGACGGCCGCAAUUAAAUUGAUUGUAUGAAAAUAUUUCAAUGAAAUUUUAAAAAUUUAGUACUUGUUAUCUUAUCGAGAGUUUUUUUAAAUUAUAUUACUACUUGAACUUGGGUACUUGUUAUCUUAUCGAGAGUUUUUUUAAAUUAUAUUACUACUUGAACUUGGCUGCUUUUGUAUUGAAUUCCUAGCGUUGCCAUUGCUUCUACUCAAAAGCCAUUUAAGUUUGUGUAAGCUACCUAUAGUUUGAACAACAAUUUACUCAUGAAUUGUUGUUCAUAAUAGCAAUUUGAUUGAAAGUGCGGCUGCACUAAUUUUCUAGAUGAAUUUUUUCCUACAUGCUUGUUCUCGUAUGACCCAAAAUCCUGCUACAUCAGUUGUAUUAGAAAUUAAUACUGGGUUACAAUUAUGCAUCCCCACCAAUAUUUAAGCAAUUUAAUUACAGGAACAUUUCUUGAGGAAAGAAACUCAUAUCGCCCCUAGGCUUUUAAUGAGGCUCAUUUUUAUGAAUCUGGAUGGCAUUAGAUAUCUCUCCGAAUAUUGGUGGGAGUAUAUCGCAGAUCUCUGGGCUAUACUACAAAGUGUAUGUACGUUGACUCUCAAUAAAUACAAACGAUUCUCUGAUAUGAUUCAAAACAUCAGUGCACGCAUCAUUUUAACGAGAGAGAAUAUUCUAAGAACGAAAUUGAAGGUGCAAUCAACAACUAAAAUGAAGCCAGAAAUGUACACGCAUGAGGAAGUUUUCCUAGAAGAUUGAUAUUUCUUUAACUAGCAAACAAUACAAGUCCAAAGCUAACCAAACCAUACCUGCAAGUCCGGGGCUUAAAUGGAGUACUUGUAAGCAUAAAACAUUAAUCAAAACACAGUAUAGACACACACACACACCCCUACAUACAUACCAGCAAAUUCGAAAUAGAAAAAGGAGUGCAACUAUUCAAGUUUGUUGACAAUAUUGCAACCAUGGCAUAUUAAAGCAAAUCCUUAAAAUCAGCUAAACGAAACAAUUCCCUGUCUCAUGAAUCGAUGCUCAAUUAAAAUUGAAAUUGAAAGUCCGGCUGGUGUUGUUUCCCUCUCCAGGUUUGCCUACAUAAGUAAAGGGAAAUGAGAAUCAUAAAUGAAAAUCUGCUUCGAUCACUGUUCACAAAUCACUGUUCACAAAUCCCUAAUUCAAAAAUUACUGUUGAUUAUCGUUUUACAGCAGCGCCUCAGCUCCAGCCUUCACCCCGCAACGCAAGCAGCAGCCAGCGCGAACCAGUCGCGCCCAACGCAAGCCCCAGCAACCCAGAUUGUUAGCUCCAGCCGCGCGCAACGUAGCUGAGCAGCAGCAGACCAGCAGCGCGAACCAGCUCUCGCGCGCAACACAACGCGAACGCAGCAGUGCGUAGAUGCAGCCCAGCAACGCAGCGCGAACCAGCAAUGCAGCCUCACCAGCGCGCAACGCAAGCCCCCGCACGCGCAGCACCAGCAUCCCGUUUCUCGCAGCGCAGCAGCGCGCAACGCAGCGCAGCACCCGCAAAGCAAGCCUCACCAGCGCGCAACGCAAGCCCGCAACGCAGCAACGAGCACGCCCUGCAACGCAACCAGCUUACGCCUUGUAUUCCAGCCGGGUAAAUCGAAAUCCGUGAGUACAAUUAUUGUAACAAUGCCGAAGAGGAAAGCAUCCACUUCCAAGUCAUCGAAAAAGACACCCAUCGCAAAGAAAUCUAAGAUUGCCGCUCCCACUACGGUUCCAUGGAACACAAUUUCAGAUUCACGCCAAGCCGUGAGACAAAGAUCGAAGCAUGGAAAAGGCAUGAGUAUUUUGCCACUUGCGGAAUCCAAUCUCGAAGGGUGCCUUGCAUUCGCGACUCAACAAGAGAAAGAGAGGUACAAAGAUAUUUCCACGGGCAAAAUACUUCCAGCUAAGAAUUUUUGGAUAUGUCUAUGUUUGAAAGAACAUGUGUGGUUGAAUUCAAGGAGGGGAGAUUUCAGUUUACUGAACCAGGACCCACUCAACUUCCGAAGAAGCUUUAUGCUAGGAGUGGUGCUACCUCUGAUGACGAGUUUGACGACGACACUGCUGCCCCGCCAACUAUUCCUUCUACAUCCGCACCACCUUUGAGCAUUCAAUUAGAGAAAAUGGAGCACAAGCUGAACAAGAUGGAGCAGAAUUUGGCCGCAUACUUCGAGAGUGUGGGAUUUACCCCACCAUUUCCGCCAAGCCCAUAGACGUUAUGUGGAUCAAAGCUCACAAUUCAGGGAAGUUUCUUUUUGCCCUUAAUCCUUUAUCCUUACGCUUUAAUUUUUAUGUGAGCUUUGAUUAUCUUACAUUGGGGACAAUGUAAGUUCUUGGUGUGGGGGAGGGAUUUUUGCAUUAUUGAUGUCUGGAAUUAUUGUUUUCACUCUACUUAUUUUUUUUUUUCACUCUACUCAUCCUUAAAUGAUUUUGGAGUUAGUAUGCUUUAUAUAUUAUUAUUUUUUCUUUUCUUUUAUUUCUCACAACUUUUUUUUUCCCAUCUAUCUCAAAUUAUUUACAUCUAUUUUUAUUCUAUCAUACUGUUUCAUCGCUCACAUUUUAUCUUUCACUUUUCAUCUUUCUCACUUCUUAUCAUUUUUACCUUUCCUUUUAUAUAUCACCCAUACCUUCUUCUCAUUCUACACCACUAUUGAUGGUUGAUUCAUUUGAAGAGUGUACAUGAUUUGAUGGCAAAUUUACCAACUUUGUGAGGAUUUGAGCCUAUGAGCAACCACUUUGCUCUAAUAUUUUUGUUAUGUGAAUAUCAAUCUUAGUUUGUUUAUUCUAGAACUUGCUUUGUUAUGCAUGUUGAAGCCGCAUUACGGGAUUUUAUGCACUAAAAUGAUAAGGGCAAACCCUUUUCCAUUUUUCUAUUCUCGCAUUUUUUUUCUCUACCCGAAGAUCUUUAUUUGCUAUCUUUGUUUGAGCCUUAACAAUUACCCAUCUAAUUCUCUCCGUCUACUUAACCAUUUUUCUUCUUUUUUUUGAGCCUCAAUUUAAGGAGAUUUUUGGACUCAUUGUGUGGAUAUAUUUUGUUGCUUUUUCUACCUUGUAAUAAAGUUUCUCAAUUAGAUCAACAAGCAUUAUGCUUGAAUUAAAUUGUGCAAGGUUCGUUUCUUUUGUUUGAUUCAAAAACAAAAACAAAAAAAAAAAAACAAAAAACAAAAAAAAAAAAGAAAAAAAAAGAAAAAAAAAAAGAAAAAGAAAAAUCACAAAAAAAAAACAAAAAAAAAUGUUUACAUUCUUGGUGACUUAAGUAGAAAUAAGCAUUUUGAUAUCAUAAGUUCAUUCAAUGAGUUCAUUUUUCUCGUUUUAAUCUCUUUUUCUUUCGUAAACCUUUCUUUUUCAUUUAACCCAUUUAACCCCAUUACAACCCUCUUAAGACCCUUAGAUUUUUGCAUUUUAUUCAUGUUUUGUGGAUUGAGAUGUGAUAUAUGAGCAAGCUUAUGGUAAUAGCAUUCUUUGAUUUGAUUUGAGUGGAUAAAUGACACCCUAAAAACUUUGAGUGCAUGGAGUGAAGUUAUUGAGAGGGCUAUUAAAUCUUGUUGCACUUGAAUUUUGAAUGGAUCUCCUUGGUGGUUGAAUGUUCUUAUUCUAUCUUAUGAAAUUCUAUGCUUUAAAAUCCUUGUCUCUCGAAUGUUAAUCGACUUAAUUUCUUGAGGUAUGCUUUCUUAAAAUUGUUUUUGGAUGAGUUGAGAUGAGAAUUGAGUGGAGAUUUGAGAUUAAUCUUGAGUUAUAUGCUUGAGGACAAGCAUCAUCUUGGUGUGGGGGAAUUUGUUAGAGUGCAAUUUAUGCACUAGUUUUGCAUUGUUUACUUCCCUUAAUAUCGAUGUUUUACACUUAAUAAUAAUGUUUUACUUGUGUUUUACUUUUGUAGGUGCAAUUCUAUUGAUUGGUGAUAAAAUUGAGCUAAAAGAUGAUGUUUAAGGAGGAUUGUUCUCUUGGAGAAAUUAUGAGCGUCGAAAGAACUUUGUUGAUAAGGCGUGGGCGCGUGCUGUCAACUGCGGACCUGCAGUUUUUAGUUUAACGUGUUUUGUAUUUUUGGUUAUUUUUGUAAUUACGAAUUUAAUAUUUCAGAUAUUAGUAUUUUAUUUUAAAUAGAAUUCUAAAAGAGAAGAGAGAGAGAGUAUUUAAGGGAGGAAUCUAUUGUGAAAAGGGGGAUUUGGAUUGGAGAAAAAGAAAGAAACCCUAGAUCUAAUUUUUCUCUUCUCUCUAUGAAGAACUAAACCUAUUUUUCUGGUUGAAGGAUAAUGACGCUUUGAUUCAUCACUACUGUGAGAUUUUUCUUAUGCUUUAAUUGUUUUAUUACUUUUUGGGUAUUUGUUUAUUCUCUGAAUUAGUUUCAUGAUUAUGUUUGUUAAUUAGGUAAUUGUCCACUAUUUAAUUAUCAACUUAAUCUAUUGUCAAUUAAAGGAUUCAUCGUAUGAAGAAUUUAAUGUUUGUGACAAAUAACAUAGCAGAGAGUUGUGUUGUGAGAAUAAACAAUCUAAUUUAAAUGAAUCAUCAUAUGUGUUGAUUAGGAUUUGGGUCUCUCUGGUUUUUCAGGCUGUCAAUUGAUUAAAUCCUAUGAUCGUAUCAAGGGUUGUCUAUUGAUUAGGGAAAUAUCCAACGGUCGUACCUUGGUUAUCGACUAGUUAAGGAGAGAUUGGCUAUUAGAGGGUCUCAAUAGCUAUAACCGGUCUAUUCAUAAGUAAUAAUAAUAUAUAUUUGAAUCAAUGAUCAGUAGUCGAAUCAAGCUGAGUUAAUUCCUUCAACCAGAGCUUUCUCCAAUUUGAAUUACAACUUUAAUUUGCAUUUUGUAUUUAAUUUGAUUUUUAUUAUUGUCUACAAUUCCCCCAUUUUAUGUUUUACGUUUCAAAAGGAUUUAAAUAAUUACCGAUCUCUGUGGACACGACCCUGCUCAAUCACUAUACACAAUUUAUUUAGAGUAGGAAUUUAUUUUUGUUGGCUUCGACACCCAUCAGUUGAUUUGUGUUGUUUAUUGCUAGAUUUCGCAUAAUUGUUUGCUGAUUACUAGAACUGGCUCUGUUUGGAUCUGAUACCAUGUUUAAAAACAUAAAAAAUCACUGAUCAGUUUGUUUGGUUGCUAAGAAAAUUUGCUCUGUUUGCUGAGAAAGUUUCAAAGAAGAUUCUCGAUUUUUUUUAUUUCAUCUUUCUUACUUCACGAAUGAUUACAAACACACCUUUUAUACACAACUCAACUAGCUAACAGAAAGAAAGCUACAAAACAGAAUCUCAGUAAGCUUAACUAAUUUUGCUGAGCUGGCAUUACACACUUAACUAACUUCGGCUAACUAAAUUCUCACAUGUGCUAAGCAUGAGCAGACUGUUUGUACACAUUAUGUGCUUCUUUAACACAAUGGAGUUUUAAAAAUUUGGUACUUGUUAUCUUAUCGAAAGUUUUCAAAAUUAUAUGAAUGUUCAAACUUAGCCCCUCCCGGCACUGCCACUGCUUCUACGUGAAAGUCAUUUAAGUUUGUGUUAGCUGCCUAUAGAUUGAAUAACAAUUUUACUCCGGAUUUUUUGUCCAUUAUGAAAAUUUGAUUGAAAGUGCGGCUGCACUAAUUUUCUAGAUGAACUUCCCUACAUGUUUUUUCUCAUAUGACCCAGAAUACUGCUAUAACAAUUGUAUUGGAAACUAUUCAACUGGGUUACUAUUCUACAUCCCCACCAAAAUUUAAACAGUCGACAUUGUGGAAAGAAACUCAUUUCGCCACUAGGCUUUUAGUGAGGCUAAUUUCUCUGAAUUUGGACAGAGUAGAUUUCUAAGCUAAUGCUUGGAAGAUCUCUGGCGAUAUUACAAAGUGCAUGUACAUUGAGUCUUAAUAAAUAUAAACGAUUCUCUAAUAUGAUUCAAAACAUCACUACAUGCAUAAGUUAAUAAGAGAAAAAAUUAUAAGAUUAUUUAUGCAUCACCAUUUAUAGUUGCACCCUCUCUAAUGAAAUUGAAGGUGCAGCCAGCAAUUAAAAUGAAGCAGAAAUGUACAUUGACCCUUAAUAAAUAGAAACUAAGGCGUUAUCGAUUCAACUUCAGUUGAUCAAUUGCGGGUGAAAGAUAAAUAAAGGAUAAGAGAAUAGAGCUGGAGUGCUAAAUUGGCUAUUGAAGAAGGGUGUCACAUGAUCACAAUCACAUUGACGCACAACUCUUUGGAGGCAAAUUUUGUCUAUGUGUACUCUAAAUUCAGCCAAACCAUACAUGUAUGAACAGAAUUUAAACCGUAGUUCUCAUCACAAUAGUAAUUGAAGCUACAAAAGCCAGAAAAUCUGAACAAAAACUUAAAAGGAAGAUUUUAUUCAAGUUUGCCCCCAAAAGACAGUUGAAAUGAAAAAUAUUGACUAUUGAAUGGGUCAAUGCUGAAUUACAUUUCAAAUGGAAAGCUUGGCAACAGUUACAAUGUUUCCCCUCUGAUUUUCCUCCAAAACAAAUUCAGUUAUAAACAAUAACUGAAGUAGGAAUAAUUUAUUCAUCAAAGAAAAUACCCUAGUUUUCAACUAACAAAUCCUGCUAUCCAAAUUAAAAAAACUCGCAUCUCUAAAAUUUAUUUGUAAACUGUUGGAAAUGAGGAGUGAUCUGUCAACUCCGUAAAUAAACUCAGGCAUAAUAUUAAUAAUAAUUAUAAAUUACAUAAUAAUUAUUAUAAAGAAUCAUAAAUUGGAAACGCUAAUCAUUCUACAAUCUAUUAUAUAAGUAAGAUAAGUCUCAUAAUAAGUUAAGUUAUAAUGUAAUAAAUACUUUCAAUAUAUAAUUAUUUAAGAAGGCAUUUAACAAUAAAAUAUUUUUUUUUCUAUUCGGUUGAUCAUAUAGUGUUAUCUAAACUCUUGACGAUAUUAUUAUUACUCACUUUUCUAAAAAAAAAACAUGAUUAACGUUUAGAGAAAAGUCAUGCCCCUUAAAAAUAAUAUGUAUACAAGCUAUCCAUACUUUAUCUUACCAUGACAAAAUUGAUGGUGAUUAAAUCUACUUUUAAAAUAGAUUUAAUGCACAGAUAUUAUGACUUCUGGCAAAAAUUAGUUUUGGAAGACAUAAUGGUAGAAAAUAGUGAUGAUCAUUAUUUAAAUGUGUAAAUAGCCUAGGCAUAGCCUGUAAUACCAAUAUCCAUUUGCCUUUAUUUGGAUUAUCACAUUUCAUGAUAUUCUUAUAUUUAUGACCAUUGUUCGAGAUUUGAACUUGAUCAUAAAUUAAGCUGCAAGAGAUUUUACUUCAGUUUCUAAGCUUUUCAAUCGUGAUUCAUCCAUGCCUUUCUUGGAUACCAUUAUGUUACGUGCCAAUGUAACUGACCUUGUAAUUGGUGUGUAUAAGGAAACAUGCCCUUUCAAGAUUGUUUUCUUUUGUUUCCUUAUUGUAGUAGUCAAAUAAAUAAAGAACGAACAAUUGAACUUGGUCUACUUCGAGGAAAACCAAGGCCUGCAAUAUUAGAUGAACUUUGAACAAAAUUAAUCUACUGCUUUUAUUCAUCUUUGGACUAUGAAUUUAUACAAAGACUUUAACAAAAAAUAACAAAGACACAACUGAAUGAUAGCAACAAGUGCUGACUUAGCGGACUACUGCAACAACUAAAUAAAAACUAAAUAUUUAUUUUGACUGUAACAACAAUUGCCCUGAUGAAUAGGACUCCACAGCAGCCACGUGACAACUAAUUUCUCCUUAAUAUUAUUAUUAGUAGAAGUAGAUUUUCAAACUAGUCUUGAUAUAUUUCGAAGUUGUAUUAUUAUCAAUGUAUAUGUAUCUAGAUUGUAACUAUAUUUUAAAAAAUAUAAUUUUUUUAAUUAUUGCACAGUAAAUGUAGAAAAAUAUCUAUAAAAUAAUAUUAUUAGGACUAAGAAAAAAAUAUUAUUUUAUAUAAGUUAUUUAUUUAUUAUUGAAUGAAUAAUUUAUUAAUUUAUUGAUAAACGAAUAUUUAUUAAUUUAAAGAGAGAUUAUUUUGGUUUUAAGAAGAGUUUGUUUGGUACAUGUACACACUUAUAAAGAAACACAAAAGGUGCUUCCUCAAGUUAAUAGUAUUUGCUUUAAUCGCUAUAGUUCACAAUAAUAUAGCAUAGUUUGGAAAAUUGUAAUUAUACUAUGUCUACGUUUGGUACAAUUUUUCAAGAAGAACUUAUUUAAAUAGAGUUUUUGUUAGUAGAACAUUUAUAAAUAAAAUUUUUACUGAAAAAAUUUAAGUUAUUUGGUUGUCAUUGUCAAAAUUGAUGAACUUUUGAUCUUUUGUUAACAUGUGUUUUUUUUACUAAAUAAUAAAUGUUAGGUUACAAUUAUUUUCAAUAGUUUUUGAAGGAAUCAAGUUAUGAAAUUUUUAUCAAUGAACUUUCAAUAUGUCAGCAUAUGGUCUGUAAAAUUUGAGAGUUUUCCAAUGAGGGAAUAAUUUAUUAAAAAUAAGAGAAUAUGGAUUGUUCUGUUUUAAGGGCCGAUUAUUGAGGACAUUUGAGGUUGAGCUUAGGAGAUGUUUAAAUUGAGAUAUUUGAGGACAUUAUGUUAGCCUAAAGGGCUACACAUAAUGUAAUUUUGAUGAUAACAAACAUGUGUCUUAAGUAAAAAUAAUAAAUAUUGUAUUUCACAUUUUCACUAGUUUUUGAAGGAUAAUAUUUAUGCAAGUGAAUCAAGUGAAAUCAAGAUUGAAGAUACUCAACGGACAACGGCGACAUCAAGAAUAUAGUUUAGAGCUCAAUGAACAAAUUAGUGCGAUAAAUUCUUGUAAAGCCGGUAUGAUUUAAUUGAUGCAUGAUUUAGCAUUUGAGAAGCUCAAGAGAUUAAUUUAAUUAAAUACUUUUCAUAAACUAAAAGGUUUUAUUUUUAUAAAGUAAAGUAUUUUGUGGAUUUGAGUAAUUUGGACUUAAAUGCUAAGAUUUGAAAUCUUUGAUUUUAAUAAGUAUUAAAUUUCGGAGUUGGACGUUUUGAUAAACAUUUGAAAUGUUUUGGGUCAUACUAUAAUUUAUAAAUAUUUUGGACUAAAGUGAAAGGUUUUGAGAACUUUGAAAAAUAUGGGUAUUAUGUUGAAAAGGACCUUUGUGCGAACUAAAAAUUUCUUUGGGGCCAUAUCAUAAUUUCAGAAAGUUUGGGAAGACAACUACUCUUAGGAAGUUCUGAAAUUGGACCUAUUUGCAAAGUUUUAUGACAUUUUGAGCCAUAGUAUAAUUAUAGAAAGUUUUGAGCCAAAGUAUAAUUUUAGUGAACAGUGUUACUAUAGCAAUUCAAAAAUAACGGUAAUAUCACUGUUCCUGAGCGGCUAGCCGGAUAAAUCAAGCGGCUAACUGCUUGGGCGAGGGAAUUUGCCUAUAACGGCUAGUUUUCAGGCUUUAACUAUAAAAACUCAGCUCAAACUUCAUUCUAAGUACUAAUGCAUGCAAAUAUAAGAUCAUACAACAUAUAUUGAGCUUCCAAAAUGCAAAUCAUCAUUGAUUGAAUCAUUGUUGAGCUAUUAGUUGCAUAUCCACUCUUAAAGAGAGUUUUUGUUGUAAUUUUCAUUUCUUAUCAAAUUGUGAGUGUGUGAGUGUGUAAGUGUGGGAAACACUUGGGGUGAAGAGAUUGGGGAGAUAAUCUCUUGGUUGUAAAGGUUCAUUGACACCUUGGAAGUCAAUUGUAAAAACUUGAACCCUUGAGAGGCUUGGAUAGUGAAAUCCUCGAGCAUGGUUGGCUUGGAGGCGUGGACGUAAGCAGGGAUUGCCGAACCACGUAAAAAUCCGCGUGUUUGUUUCUCUCUUCCCUUGCUCUUUUAUUUUUACGCUUGUUUGAAUUUAUUGUUCUCUAUUUCAUUAAGGCGUUAGAUUGAUUUAUUGUGCGAAUUGUAUUGCAUUAUUUUUAAAAACUCAAUUCACCCUCCCUCUUGGGUUGCAUUACUUGCAUUUACAUUAGAGUUUAUGAUUGAGACUCGAUUAUAUCUUAUGAGAAAUUUAUUGAUGAUUUUAGGUUGAUGAUAACAGUACGCAUUUGUUACAUGAGGAUGCCAAGAGGUAAGUAAACUAGACUUAAAAACGAAUCACAAUAAACAAUAUAUAUGUUUGACUUGUAUGAAAAGUCUAUUUUGAUAUGUACGAAUAUAGAUUUAUAUGUCUCUACUCAUGUGUUUAUGUGAUGUGUUGUUAUGUAUUGGGCGUGAUUAUGUACAUAGGCAUAUGUAUGUGUGAUGGUUCAUUGUCAUGAGCACGAAAAUGCAUUGAGUUUUCUAUGAAUGAAAAGUGGAUUUUAGCAAAUGAGAUUUCUCUUUUAUGAGAUUUUGCAUUGGGGGCCACCUCUUGAGGGCCAGAGUGCCGCAAAGUACCACGCACAACACAAAGUGCCACAUUGCAGGAUACGUAUUUUAUUGAAAGGAAAUAUGAAAGUUUGAAAGCGACAGAAAGAGAUUUUUAUGAAUUUGUUUUACAGUAUUUCCAAAAGAUCAUGGCAUAGCAUCCAUCUACAUUAUGUAUAAGUAUGCAUGUUUGCUUAUUGAGUUUUGUACUCAUUAUAGUUUAUUAUGAUUCAGUUUCCAGAAGUCAGGAUUGAUUCGUGAUGAGUGAGAAGAUGAAUUUAAAUUGAGGAUGGUAGAUGGUUUGGCUAAAUUUUUAAGUUAUUCCGCUGGCUUUUGUAUUCGAGGCUCGAAUUUUAUCGGUUGUAAAGAGUUAUUUAAAUUCAUAUGUGAGUUGUAGUCAGAUUUGCCCUCGGAGUUCGGGUUGGGGCGUUACAGAUGCAGAAACAGAAAACUAUUAGCUUAUCUUGAUUUUCCCACUAUAUUCAUUUUCGAUGCUUUUCAAACGAGAUUCUUUUAAUCCUUCUGGCGUAUGCAGCCCUUGCUCUUCUUAUAAAUCUCCAUCCGACAUCUGCACUAGGAACAAGUUGAUUGAAAUUAAAUAACAUUAGAGAUGACGGACGGUUGAGCCGUUAACUCGGUAAAAAAACUCAUAUAUAAUAUUACUAAUAAAAAAAAAUAUAAUAAUCAUUACUAAGAAUCAUAAAUUAGAAAAAUUAAUUAUUUUACAAUCUAUUUCGCAAGUAAGAUAAAUCUCAUAAUAAGUUAAGUUAUAACGUAAAAAACAUUUUCAAUUUAUAAUCGUUUAAGAAGUCAUUUAACAAUAAAAUCUUUCUUUUGGUCAGUUGGCCAUGCCACAGAGUAUCAUCUAUAUUCGUGGUGAUAUUAUUAUUACUCCGUAUUCUCAAAAAACUUGAUUUAACAUUUAGAGAAAAUUCCUACCAUUUAAAAAGAACAUGUAUGCAGCAGCUACCCAUACUUUAUCUUACCCCGACAAAAUUAAUGGUGACUAAAUCAAUUUUCUCGAUUAAAGCAAAAUUUUCUUAAAAACGAUUUAAUGCACAAAUAUGAUGACUUUUUGCAAAAAUUAGUUUUGGAAAAUAUAGUGAGAGAAAAUAGUGACGAUUAUUGUUUAGAUGUGUAAAUAGCCUAAACAUAAUUGCUAAUACCAACAUCCACGUGCAUCUUAACACCUUUCGUGAUAAUCUUUCAUUCAUGGUCACUGGUUCAAGAUUUGAAUUUGAUCAUUAAAUCAUGUUCAAGAAUAUUAGAGAUCCCAACAAUUGAGUUCCAACUUAAAUCCUAAUGCUAUGUGUCAUUGACCAAUAUUGUGUCAUUUUUUGUUAACUGGGUGAUGAAUUUCUAGUUGAUAAAAUUACUUAAAAAUAUCUUAAAAAUCAGAUAAUAGUUAGCUUAAUUUUUUGAAGCUAACUGCUCAAGAUGCUCUAUUAGAAAUGAUAACCUAAUUAUAUAAAAAAAAAAAUGAUGUAUUUUUUUCGGUGUUGAUAGUGAGAUUAUCAUUCAACAUGUUAAAAUAUGAAAACAUAUGGAAGAAGGUUGUAAAUUGAUUGAAUGAAAAUAUUUCAGUGAAGUCUAAAAAAUUUGGUACUUGUUAUCUUAUCGAAAGUUUUCUAAAUUACAUUCGUGGCACUGCCACUGCUUCCAUGUGAAGGUCAUUAAAAUUUGUGUUAGUUACCUAUAUGUUGAAUAAUAAUUUUAUUCAUGAAUUGUUGCUCAAUAUAGCAGUUUCUAGAUGAAUUUUCCUACAUGUUUGUCCUCAUAUGACCUAGAAUGCUGCCAUAUCAAUUGUAUUGGAAAUUAUUCAAGUGGGUUUGUGCUCUAUACCCCCACCAAAAUUUAAGCAAUCUACAGAACAUUCCUUGUGGAAAGAAACUUAUUUCGCUACUAGGUGGGAGUAGAUUUCUAAGCUAAUGCUCGGCAGAUCUCUAGGCUAUACUAAAAAGUGUAUGCACUUUGACUCUCAAUAUAUACGAGUGAUUCUAUGAUAUGACUGAAAACAUCAGUACAUGCAUGAUUUUAUAAGAAAGAAUAUUCUAAAAUUAUUUAUGUAUCACCAUUUGAAGUUGUACCCUCUCGAAUGAAGGUGCAAUCAGCAACUAAAAUGAAGCCCGAAAUGUACACGCGUGAAGCAGUUUUUCUAGAAGAUUGAUAUUUCUCAAACUAGCAAACCGUACAAGUCCAAAGCUAGAAAAAGGAGUGCUUCUAAGCAGAAAACAUUGAUUAAAACAGAAUGCACACAAACAUACCAGCAAAUUCAAAAUAGAAAAAGGAGUGCAACUGUUCAAGUUUGUGGACAAUAUUGCAACCGUGGCAUAUUUAUAGCAAAUCCUUGAAAUCUGCUAAAUAAACAAUGCCCUGUCUCAUGAAUCAAAGCCGAAUUAAAAUUGAAAUUGAAAGUCCGGCUGGUGUUGUUUCCCUCUCCAGUUUUGCCCACAUAAGUGAAGGGAAAUGAGAAUCAUAAACUAAAAUCUGCUUUUACAGUUCUUAUUAGAUAGAUAUAAAGGGAUCUUUCUUUGUUUCUCUGCUGCAAUUUGUGGCUAUCCCACUCUGUUUUGCCACUCAAGCUUAGUCUACGUUGAGACACAAUUUUGACAUCAGAAGCAACCUCAAUUAGUUUGGCAUUUUUAUGACCUCCUUGUACGUUUUACGAUAAACAUAAAUCUACUGAGAAAGUGGGAAAAAAAGAAAAUGCAUAUAAAAGUAUGAGUUAUCAGACAUGAUUAAAACUCACCCAAUUCAAUCCAUUAGAUUCCGUAAGGAUAUAACUGGAUGUCAUACCGCCAUUCCAUAUCCUCGAAAGUCCGUAGCCUCUGUCUCAACUCUGUCUGAGGCCAAUGUAAAUCCAAUAUGCGCAAGCUCUUUAUGCACCACAGCUCUUCUGGAAGCUUUCUCAAGUAAGCACAAGGGUUGACAAUUAAGCUUUCAAGUUUUGGCAUUGCUCCAGCCCCCAUCGUCCACUCAUCUAGCCAAAACAUUGAUUUCAGGUGCAAAACCUUACGUUCCGGAAAGCAACCAGGGCCAACGCAGGCCAGCUUUCUUCCUAAAUACGAGUUUUGCUUCAGUUUCAGCACUUGAAGGCGUGGAAGCUUUUCCAGCAUUGGCAUGGGAUCCUCCAUUAGCUCAGUAUUCGAUAAGCUCAGAUGGCUCAGACUUGGAGGAAAUUGGUAUUCAGACAGGAUAAUCCGUGAGGGCUUGCUCUCAUUCACCAGCUUCAAGCAUUCAAGUUUGUGCAGUUCGCAUAGGCUUUUGGAAACCCCGGAUUGAUAGUAACUCAAAUCUCCAGAUAUUCUUAGACUUUGGACAAGAUAUUCUUAGACUUUGGACAUUUGGUAGUCUGCCCAAUAUAGCUGGACUGCAACUACUAGGAUGUAAGGCUGAUAAGAAAAUGAGAUUUUUCAGAGAGCUUCAAUAAUUUUUUGGAGGUGCGGGCAGAGUGAUGCAACCGAAGUUUAGAUGCAUGAGUUUUUGCAUCAUCCAAAUAUCCUCUGGUGAAUGAUCUAUGUAGCUAGAUGGCAUUUCUAGCGUUUGAAGGUUUAAAAGGGAGCAUAGCAGUGAAGGAAUGCAUUUGAGCGAAGGGAUAUUCAAUUUCAAAUACUUCAAAAGGAAUAAAUUUUCUAAUCCGGCUGGAUAUUGGUCGAGAACUGCAGAACCCAAGUUCAAUACCCGAAGGUAUUUGAACUUGUCGCAAUCUAUCAGAGCGAGAUGAUCGCUUGCCGAACUGUUAUUCAGAAAAGAUUGGAGAUAC